GGAUUGCUUUACCUUCGCAAUCUCGUAGAUGUGCUUUAAGGUCACGCUGGAGGCGACGAUGUGACCAGGGCGGCCGCUGCCUAACUCAAUUCUGGCGGCCUUCUUGAGGUACCAGGUGACCGACGGAGACUUCACGGUAAAAUCGAAGGUGUUAUCCUUGUAGGCGGUGAUAGUCACGGCCAUGGGCGUAUCCGGCUUGUACUUUUGUAUCCGAGCGUUGAAGUCCUUGCAGAACGCCAUCAGAUUCAACCGGUGGUGCCGGCCGGAACUGUGAGGCGGAUGGUCGCUGACACCGGGCGCCGGGUUAGAAUCUCCUUCAGUGAAGACAUGCUUGGUGGCGUGAGUGAGGAAAAUCUGUUAGGUCAUACUAUCUUGAACAUACUUCCCAUGGAUUCAUUCCUCCAAGAUUUAGAAUGCCAUAAAAGAAGAAUUAUAAGCAAAUAUACUCUCUGUUUGGUUGCUCAAAAUAUGGAGGAAACAGAAAAAGUAGAGUUUUUGAAUGUUUUUCUUUUGGUUGUUUUGGUUUCACAGGGUGUACAAGUCGAUUCAAAUAAUAAUGAAUAAAACUCAACCAACCAAACAUUGAAAUAGCUCAAAUGGGAGAAGAAAACUGAAUAAAGAAUAUAGUCAGGACUCAGGACUACAAUAAGGGAAAAUUCCAACAAGCAACAAGUAGCAUACUCAUGAUUAAAAUUGAAUAUCAAAAGGUCCAAUGAAACCGAUUUCAUACACAAACAAAAGUACAAUUUAAACAAGACUUUCUGACCAGAAAUGGCCAAAUGGAAAAUUAUGCUCCCCAGUUCAAAAUAUACAAUUUAGCUACAUAAUUUAACCAUAAAACCAUCACAGAAUUGGCAAGCAAAUGGGCACACAGCCAAAACACAAGGAUUUGUAUAUUCACUAUAAUAAUAGAUGAAUGAAAAUGUUGCGCACUAAUCACUAUAUACUCUGCCUCUAGAGAUCUGAAGGUUAAUAAAACUAUCGAUAAGUAACAGUCGAAUCAGAUUAACCCCGAUUACUCUAAAACGAGGAUGGGAAAAUGUGGGGAUUUAAAUUUAUUCACUGUUCGGUACCACCGGAAAAUAGAAACAACUCACGAGUAUUUGGCUCGAUUAUAAGGGGAAUAUGAUGAAAUGAUUAUAGGGACUACUCCCAAACGCACACAUGGCAACCCUGCAGAGCAUUCCUUCAUGGGACACGUGGCACAUCAACUUUUUGUCCGGAUUCCCUCAGGGGAGCAUAUGGCACUCUCAAACCCGUCAUCCGGACGACCCCCUCUCUUGUCCGAACCUAGCGCUAGCGACUCAACUAAAAGCUUUGGCCGUGAAACGCGGGUCAUCCUUGUCUACACUACCAAAAGCACUCUCGACGGGACCAUCCAGAGUCACUUCAGGCAACCUACCUACACCUCGCCGCCUGCAGAGCGAAAGGACAGGAAUGACAACAAGUUAUCCCUCCCACGAUUUCUGACAGCCUCUUACAGGACAAUGAUGACUCUGCCACCACCUCAGCGCCAUCAUAACAAGCCAAAAAGUCUUCCCAUAAUUAAAAGGGACAUAGCUUCUGACACUAUAAAGAGGACCCUCAUACAAUGAAAGAAGGUAAACUUUCUUACUUAAUAAAGAGGAGAGAUUGAGUAUCAGAAAAAAGGUUAACAAAACCAUGGUGUGUUCGGACUCCUUUGUUCGGACUUCUUUUGCACGUUGAUUAAAGCGGGUAUCAUCUUCAGUUGAAAAGGCUGUUAUUUCCACAUUAAAUUAAGUGGGUGACCCACUAACCUAUUAUUUAGCCAAUUAAAUUAAUAUCCACUAUUUUAAACUGUUAUAGAUAUUUACCAAUUGAUGGACCGGGUAAAUUACAAUUAUUUUAAUAUUAUUAUUUGAGAUAAUUAACAGUUAUUUUGAGUGACACGUUCAGAACGGUUUUGAACGUGUAUUCUUGGCCCUCUCCUCCUAUCAAUAAAAGACAUAUACAGAAACCCCUUCGUGUGUGCUUUUUCCAUCAAUUACAGAAAAUAACUCUGUGUAUUAAGGUUUGAUAAGGAGAAGAAGAAUCAAGGAUUUAAGAUCUAUAAGUUGAAGGGAAAUCUCUCAUGGCUGCGUCUUCUUCAAACGGUAUGUGAUUUAUUUAUUAAUUAAAGUUUUUAUUAUUAUUUUAUUAUCAGAGACGAGUUUGAAUCAUAAUGAUCUGGAUAAUUGUAUGUUAGUUUCCGUGUUAAAUACUAUCAAUUGGUAUCAGAGCUUGGUUUUGAAUUUAAAUAUUCAGAUCAAUUUAUAAAAGAUUAGAUUUUUUGAGAUUUAUCUUCCAUUAAUUCGUCUCACUAAAUUACUAAAAUAAAAUAAAAUAAUAAUAAAAUUAAAGACCUGCUUCAACGCUGACUGGUGCCGGUGAGGGGUGCUGGUUUGACUUCAGCCAUUGUUGACCAUUUUAGGUGCCUUUGCUGGCCAUUCUCACGCACCGUUUUUAGGUGCCUUUGCUGGCCAUUUUCAGGCACCAUUUUAGGUGCCUUUGCUGGCCAUUUUCCGGCACCAUUUCAGGCGCCUUUGCUGGCCAUUUUCAGGCACCAUUUCAGGCGCCUUUGCUGGCCAUUUUCAGGCACCAUUUCAGGCGCCUUUGCUGGCCAUUUUCAGGCACCAUUUCAGGUGCCUUUGCUGGCCAUUUUCAGGCACCAUUUGAAGGCGCCAUUGCUAGUCGUUUUUUAGGCGCAAUUGUUGGCCACUUUCAGGCGCCAUUGCUGGCCGUUUUCUGGUGCCAUUGUCGGCGCUGGUUGCAGGCACCAUUGCGGUGCCAUUGAAGGCGCCAUUGUCGGCGCCAUUGAAGGCGCUGGUUGCAGGCACCAUUGCCGAUGCCAUUGAGGGCGCUAUUUGCAGGCGCUGUUGCCGUUUGCAGUGCUGUUUGAGGUGCGCUUCAGGCACCACUUACAGGCUCCGUUUCUCAGGCGCCAUAAUAGGCGCUGUUUUCUAGCUGAUUGCAGAUUAGAUCUGACACUUUCAAUAUUCGUAAGGGAGCUUACUAUUUUCUGGCACAUCUCAUACCCGUAGUACCGGGUCUUGACCACGUAAUCAAAGGCUUUAAAAGGUCUCUGCAGUGGAAUAUAUAUAUAUAUAUAUAUAUAUUUUUUUUUUUAUGUGCACUAAUUCAAAGAUCUUAAUUAUUAUUAUUAUAUAUGAGGAAUGCAAGUAUUAGCUUUAGUAUAAUCAAUGAAUGCAGAUUUCUUUAAUUUUAUUAUGAUUGAUUAAUGAAUCUGUUGAUUAUUAAAGAUACUAUAUUAUGAUUGAUUAUUGAAUCUGUUAUAGAUACUAUUUCCUUGUUUUUUUUAACUCAAAUAAAAGAAUUAAUUUCAUCUUGUGAAUAUUUUAUCUAAAGACAAUUUAUAAAUAUAUGGUUAACUAAUUUGGAUAGUUGCCAAAGUAACCUAAAUUAGUGAGCCUUGUAUUUAUUGAAUUGUAUGAAAGAAUAAAGGGAGACUUGUAAAAUUCUUAAUAUUUUUCUUUAUAAUUAGGAGAAUGAGACUAACCCAAAGGAGAGUCAAUUUCUGCUAAUUAUUAAUUAAUGUUUUAUUUUGUGUUGCUUAGAAAAGUAAAAUGGAUACCCAAAGGUAACAUAUAAAUGACACAAAAUAGUAAAGUGUUUUAAGCUCCCUCCAAGUGAACACUAGAUAUGUUAAAAUUUACCCAAAGGAGAAUUUUAAUGAUAUCAAUAGUUCAUUGUUUUUUAUUUUAUACUUGAAGCUUAUUGUGAGCAUUGUUCUAUUUUGUACAGUUCCCACUUCAUUACACUCUCUUGCAUCUGGAAUGACUAUUUUUGAUGGGUCAAACUUUUCUGAAUGGUAUGAAAGAGUUCAAUUCUCACUGGGUGUAUUGGAUCUUGACUUGGCUUUAAUUUCUGAUAAACCUCCUGAAGCUACGGAUGAUAGUACUCCGGAGCAGGUGGAACAAUCAAAAGCCUGGUCAAAAUCAAACAGACUCAGUCUGAUGUUUAUGAGAAUGACUAUUGCCAAUAAUAUCAAGACCUCUCUCCCUCAAACCGAGUUUGCCUCGGAAUUUCUGAAAUCUGUUGAGGAGCGCUUCAAACGCGCUGAUAAGUCCCUUGCAGGCACAUUGAUGGCUGAAUUGACCACCAUGAAAUAUGAUGGUCAGAAAGGUAUUCAGCAACAUAUUUUGAACAUGACUGAAAAGGCUGCAAAGCUUAAGGCACUAGGUAUGGGUAUGGAUGAGUCCUUCUUGGUACAGUUUGUCCUUAACUCACUUCCAUCACAAUUUGCUCCAUUCAAAAUCCACUAUAAUACUAACAGUGAUCAGUGGAACUUGAAUGAGCUCACCAGUAAAUGUAUACAAGAGGAAGUGAGAUUAAGACAAGAAGGACAUAAUCAUGCUUUUGCUGUAACUCAUGGAGUCACGAAGAAGAAAGGAAAAUUCAAAAAGGGAAAGAACUUUCCACCUAAGAAAAGCGGACCUGGGGAAGGUAGCCAGAGUCAUGAUGGAAAAUUCACUGUAAGUUGCUACUUUUGUGGCAAGAAAGGGCAUGUGAAGAAGGACUGUAUCAAGCGCAAGGCUUGGUUCGAAAAGAGAGGUAUAAAUCUUUCUUUUGUAUGUUAUGAAUCUAAUCUUGCUGAAGUUCCUUCAAAUACUUGGUGGAUUGAUUCUGGAGCCACAACUCAUGUGACUAAUUUAAUGCAGGGAUUCCUUACAACCAGGAAACCAAAGGAAAGUGAAAAGUUCCUCUAUAUGGGAAACCGUCUCAAGGUUGAAGUGGUAGCUGUUGGUACCUAUCGCUUACUAUUAGAGACGGGUCAUCGGAUGGAUCUUUUAAACACUUUUUAUGUACCUUCUAUCUCUAGGAAUUUAGUUUCCUUGUCUAAAUUAGAUGCUACUGGAUAUUCUGUUUUAUUCAGUUCUGGACAAUUAAGUUUGAUGUUGAAUUCUGUUACAGUUGGUUCUGGUAUUUUAUGUGAUGGUUUAUAUAAAAUUUCCUUGAAUCAUGAAUUUGCACAAGCUUUGAUAACCCUGCAUUCAAAUGUUGGUUCAAAACGUGGCUUAAUUAAUGAAAAUUCUUCAAUCUUGUGGCACAGAAGACUAGGGCACAUCUCUAGGGAAAGAAUUGAAAGAUUAGUGAAGGAAGGAAUUUUACAAAAUCUUGACUUCACUGAUUUUCAUGUAUGCGUGGAUUGCAUAAAGGGAAAGCAAACUAAACAUACAAAGAAAGGUGCCACAAGAAGUAAUGAGCUCCUUGAGAUAAUUCAUAUAGAUAUUUGUGGACCACUCUCUGUUCCAUGUUUCACAGGAGAGAAAUAUUUUAUCACCUUUAUAGAUGAUCUAUCUCGUUAUGGUUAUGUUUAUCUAAUGCAUGAAAAGUCUCAGGCCAUUGACAUCUUUGAGAUGUUCAUAACAGAGGUCGAGAGACAAUUAGAUAAAAAGAUUAAAAUUGUGAGAUCAGAUCGAGGCGGUGAAUAUUAUGGCAGAUAUGAUGAAUCAGGACAAAAUCCUGGUCCUUUUGCCAAAUUCCUUGAAAAGCAUGGCAUUCGUGCUCAGUACACAAUGCCUGGUACGCCACAGCAGAAUGGUGUUGCUGAAAGGCGUAAUCGCACAUUAAUGGAAAUGGUUAGGAGUAUGAUGAGUUACUCUUCUGUACCUAUUUCAUUGUGGGGUGAAGCCUUAAAAACCGCAAUGUAUAUCUUGAACAGAGUUCCUAGUAAGGCAGUUCCAAAAACUCCUUUCGAGUUAUGGACUGGUAGGAAACCUAGCUUGAGACAUAUACAUAUAUGGGGUUGUCCAGCGGAGGCAAGAAUCUAUAACCCACAUGAGAAAAAGCUUGAUUCAAGAACGGUAUCUGGAUAUUUCAUUGGUUAUCCGGAUAAAUCGAAAGGGUACAGAUUUUAUUGUCCUAACCAUAGUGUGAGAAUAGUUGAAACCGGUAAUGCCAGAUUCUUAGAGAAUGGCGAAAUCAGUGGGAGUAAUGAACCAAGAAAGGUAGAUAUUGAGGAGAUAAGAGUGGAUAUCCCACCGCCUUUUUUACCUCAAGAAAUUAUUGUUCCUCAACCUGUUCAACAAGUUGAGGAUAAUGAGCAAAAUAAUAGAGAUGGUUCAUUACCACUAGAAAAUAUUGCCAUUGAAAAUGUUGUAGAGCCACCACAACCGGCACCUUUGAGGAGAUCUCAAAGAGAAAGGAGACCUGCCAUUACAGAUGAUUAUGUGGUGUAUUUACAGGAAUCUGAUUAUGAUAUUGGGAUAAGGAAGGAUCCGGUUUCGUUUUCACAAGCCAUGGAAAGUGAUGAUUCUAGUAAAUGGAUGGAAGCUAUGAAUGAAGAGUUGAAAUCUAUGGCCCAUAAUGGUGUUUGGGAUCUCAUCGAAUUGCCUAAUAAUUGUAAACCCGUCGGCUGUAAAUGGGUCUUUAAGACAAAGCGCGACGCUAAAGGCAAUAUCGAACGAUUUAAGGCCAGACUUGUGGCCAAAGGUUUCACUCAAAAGGAAGGUAUCGAUUACAAAGAUACCUUCUCUCCAGUUUCCAAGAAAGAUUCGCUUAGAAUCAUUAUGGCACUUGUAGCUCAUUUUGAUUUAGAGUUACAUCAAAUGGAUGUGAAAACUGCAUUCUUAAAUGGGAAUUUGGAUGAAGAUAUCUAUAUGGAACAACCUGAAGGGUUCGCAAAGAAAGGAAAUGAACACCUAGUUUGCAAAUUAAAGAAAUCCAUUUACGGUCUUAAACAAGCUUCCAGACAAUGGUAUAUUAAGUUCAAUAAUACCAUUACAUCUUUCGGAUUUAAAGAGAACAUUGUUGAUCAGUGUAUAUAUCUGAAAGUUAGUGGGAGCAAGUUUAUAUUUCUGAUACUGUAUGUGGAUGAUAUUUUGCUUGCCAGCAGUGAUCUUGGUUUAUUACGUGAAACCAAGGAAUAUCUCUCUAAAAACUUUCAUAUGGUUGAUAUGGGUGAGGCAAACUAUGUUAUUGGCAUUGAGAUCUUUAGGGAUCGAUCUCGAGGAGUGCUAGGUUUAUCUCAGAAAGGAUAUAUUGAUCGGGUUUUAGAGAGAUUUAAUAUGCAGUCAUGUUCAUCGGGUAUUGCACCUAUAUUGAAAGGUGACAAAUUAAGUAAAAUGCAGUGCCCAAGGAAUAACAUUGAAAGAGAGCAAAUGAAGAAAAUUCCUUAUGCAUCAGCUGUGGGGAGUUUGAUGUACGCUCAAACAUGUACAAGACCGGAUAUCAGCUUUGCUGUAGGCAUGUUAGGAAGAUACCAAAGUGAUCCAGGAUUCGAACACUGGAAAGCUGCAAAGAAGGUGAUGAGGUACUUACAAGGGACAAAGGAUUAUAUGCUCACAUAUAAAAGAUCAGAACAAUUAGAGGUUGUCGGUUACUCGGAUUCUGAUUAUGGUGGCUGUCUCGAUAGCUUAAAGUCAACUUCAGGGUUUGUCUUUAUGCUAGCAAAUGGGGCAAUCUCGUGGAAGAGUGAAAAACAAUCAAUUACUGCUUCAUCCACGAUGGAGGCCGAGUUUGUUGCUUGUUUUGAAGCUUCAAGUCAUGCUUUAUGGUUGCGGAAUUUUAUCUCAGGGCUUGGUGUUGUCGACUCUAUUGCUAAACCUUUGAGAAUAUAUUGUGAUAACACCGCAGCUGUUUUCUUCUCUAAGAAUGGCAAAUUUUCUAGUGGAUCAAAACACAUGGAUUUAAAGUAUUUAGUUGUUAAAGAAAGAGUCCAGAAACAACAAGUGUCAAUUGAAAAUAUUAGGACCACACUUAUGGUUGCUGAUCCAUUAACUAAAGGAUUACCUCCAAAGGCAUAUUUGGAACAUGUUAUGAGGAUGGGUCUUUUGAGUAAUCCAUAAUGUGUAUGAUGAUGAAUGGUGGUUAUGUAAUUGACAAUUUGCGCAUUAAAAUUGUUUCUGUUUAUUCUUGUUUUCAAUUAUGGGUGCACAUUUUAUUGUUUGAUAAACAAGAAUUGUCCUGACAAGACAAAUUACAGGGGCUAUUUGGCAUUAAGGACUGGGUUAGUAAGGGUUAUUGAUGUGUGGUGCAUGGAAGGAAACAUGACAUUAUGGUCAUGUGACCGCCAUGACUCGCAUUUAUGAUCUAAAUUGAUUCAGUAUUAUGGCAAAUGAUUUUGGAUGUAUUGGCUAAGUUUAUUGAAAUCGUGAUCACGUGUCAAAUUUAUUUUCCAGUAUAUAUUUUAUAUAUAAACUAAAUAUAUUAUAGUUUUCAUAAUCGGUUUAGUGGGCCAAGUGGGAGAAUGUUAUUUCCACAUUAAAUUAAGUGGGUGACCCACUAACCUAUUAUUUAGCCAAUUAAAUUAAUAUCCACUAUUUUAAACUGUUAUAGAUAUUUACCAAUUGAUGGACUGGGUAAAUUACAAUUAUUUUAAUAUUAUUAUUUGAGAUAAUUAACAGUUAUUUUGAGUGACACGUUCAGAACGGUUUUGAACGUGUAUUCUUGGCCCUCUCCUCCUAUCAAUAAAAGACAUAUACAGAAACCCCUUCGUGUGUGCUUUUUCCAUCAAUUACAGAAAAUAACUCUGUGUAUUAAGGUUUGAUAAGGAGAAGAAGAAUCAAGGAUUUAAGAUCUAUAAGUUGAAGGGAAAUCUCUCAUGGCUGCGUCUUCUUCAAACGGUAUGUGAUUUAUUUAUUAAUUAAAGUUUUUAUUAUUAUUUUAUUAUCAGAGACGAGUUUGAAUCAUAAUGAUCUGGAUAAUUGUAUGUUAGUUUCCGUGUUAAAUACUAUCAAAGGCACGUCCAUCUGGUAAUUGCAGUGACCCCGGUGACGCGAGGCUUCAACAAUGAUAAGAUUUGAAGAUGAAAUUUAUGCUAUUAGUUUUCUAGGCAACCACACAGAGUGCUAGAGGGAGACAAAACAGAAUGUGGGAUCAGAGACAAACCUGAGAAUUGGAGGUGAAAAUGGAGAGGCAGCUGCCACUGCUUCCGAAUUCGGAGGUUUUGUUAAAAUCCUAACCCCAUCUCUGGAGUUUAUACAGUGGUGAACUGACCCUUUUGGCCUUUAGCGGUGAUAGCCUAGUCAUGGACCCAUUCCCCAGAGUUAGAAUGGACCUGGCCUUUCCGUAUGGGCCCAGUCGGCAAUGGACAUGCAACCAAAUGAAAGACAAUAUUUGAUGAUAAGAGGAGUACUAAAAAUAAUAGAUGACGGGCUCCAAUAAUUUUGUAAGAAAAAAAAAAAAAAAAACUAAGGGAAUGUUUGGUAAUAUUUUUGAAAUAGUUUUAAAAAUGAGUUUUUGAGGGCGGAAUUAAAUCAAUAAUUUUUUCAAAUCUCAAAUGUCAUUUGUCUUAAUUAUCCUUAUUUUUCUUUUAUGACCUCAUUGUUUAUUAUUAAAAAUGGUAAAUAAAUCAAUUUAAUCAUUUAAAAAAAAAUCUUGAAUUGGUUUGACAAGCCAUCCUAAUACUACAAAUAAAACUUAAGUAAUAAGUUUUAACCUGAUAAUGUAAAUAUUAAUUUAACUAAUCUUCUUAAGUAAUCCAACAUUAAACACUAAAUUUUACCAAACUUCACUCAAGUAUAAAUGACUUUAAAUUAUUAUGGGUUUGUGUUGGAGGUCAUUUCAUAAAUAAAAAUUUAUUAAUAUGUUAUAUGUAAAAAGCAAAAAAAAAAAAAAAAAAAGUGAUUUUUGAAAAAUCAUUUACCGACGAGUUGUCCAUAAAUCAUUUGAUGCAAUUUUCUAGAUUUUCAAAAUAUCAAACUCUUAAAUUUUGUAAGAAAACAUUUUCAAGUUUUAUGAAAUAGUUCCAACUCUAGUUGAAUCACUCGCAAUAAGAAUAUUAGUUAAUUUAAUACAUUUAUGAGUGAUUUCUAUUCAAACACUUUAAUUUAUUGUGUUUUAAUCAAUUUGUUAGAAACGUUUUUAAGGAGAAUCACUAAAAGUGUGUUUGACAAUAAUUUUAGGAAAUGUUUUUAUAAUUUAUAAUACUUGAAAGAUACAAAAUUUUAAAUAUUAAAAAUAUUAGAAACAUUUUCUAAAAUCACUACUAAACACAUUUUAAGAGUGCAUUUGAUUGUAAUUUUAGAAAAAAUUUCUACUCUUUUUAACACUUACAUUUUUUUAUCUUUCAAAUAUAAAAAAUAUUAGAAAUACUUCCUAAAAUCAUUAUCAAAUAUAUUCUAAAUGCUUAACACAUUUAAAAUAGUGUUUUAAUAAUAUUUUUGUUUAUAUAGAAAAAAAAAUUUUAAAUAAUCAUUUGUUUAGAAUGUGUUUGGGAGUGAUUUUAAAAAGCAUUUCUAAUAUUUCAAACACUUGAAUGAUAAAAAAUUUUAAGUAUUAAAAAUAUUAAAAGUGUUUCCUAUAAUCAUCACCAAACGAACUAUUAGUAAUUAAUAAAAAAAAUCACUGGAAAUGAUUUGUGAAAUAUUUAAAAUUACUUUUUAAAAUUUUAUGAAAUGUUUAGAGUGUGUUUGAAAAUAUUUUUAUUUGAAAUAUUUUUAGUGAAAGUAUUUUCUUUAGAAGUAUUUAUAGGAGAAUCACCUUUCAAAAUGUUUUUUUAAAAAUACUAUAAAUAAUUUUCCAACAUUAUAAAUGAUUUUUUAGAUUUUUAAAAGUAUUUUUAAAAAUUUUAAAAGUAUUUUUUAAAUUUUACUAAAUACUUAUUUUUUUUUAAAUUAUAGACUCUUAAAAUACAUUUGAUAAUGACUUUAAAAACGUAUUUUUAACUUUUAAUUUUUUAAUAUUUAAAAAAUAAAAAAUUUUACUUAUUACAAAUACUAAAAACACUUUUUGAAAUGUAUCCAAUACACAAAUCACUUAUAAUAUGUACCUCAAAAUCAUUCUUUGUUGGGUAUUGAUGCGGGGAAAACCUAGAGGCAUUGUAGCUCCCUGAUGUUUUCACCCUCUCAACUGAGAACGAUGCUUCCUUCCAUCUGGACACAUCCUCUGAAGCUUUUGUCAGAUUGGCGAUCAAACAUAUUGGUCUUAUGAGACUUUUUUUAAUGAAUGCUUACCUUUUUUACUGAGUCAUCGGAGCCUUUUAUAAUAUCUGAAGAUGGGGAGACUCUUUGACUUUCGCAGUCAUGAUGGUUGCUUAGAGGGUGGCAGAACAAUCAUUAUUCUGCAGGUGGCUGAUAAGGAUUGUUGGUAGGAUGACUUGUCAUCUCAGUUGUCCUUUCACUUUACAGACGUCGCAGGGUAGGGCGUAAUAGGUCUUAUGAAAAGACUUGGAGAUGUCCUAUCGAAUGUGCUUUUGACGAGAUGAGUAAUGAUAGUCCGUGAAAUAUGGUCAAGGGGUCCUAUUUAGGACGACAAUUACCGCGUCCGGAUUGAACGUCCGAAUAGAGGGUAGGACGUGCCACGUGUCCAUCGGAGAAGUGCCUUGUGAGGCCGGGGUGGUUUGCCACGUGUACACUUAGGGGUGGUCCCUACGAUGGGUACUUAUAAAAGUUAUAAAACACCUUUCAUAAGAUGUGAAAACAAUGACCAAAUACCGUGGAGUGUAACAACCAAGUCAUUCUUUCAAUCGAAACAGAGUGGGGAAAUCGUGAGUCGAUUUCCAAAUACAGCCAAAUUUUUUGUUUGCUUGACUAGUUGACCAUUUUAGUCAAGUUUCAGACCCUUUCUAAUGGGUCUUGGAGAAGGAAAGGGAAGAAUGAUUCCACAUAUGUUGACUAGUCAAAAAGUACUUUGGCUAAAUGCUUGGAAGGGUACUGGUAAGUGGUGAUGUCAAUUCAAAGAUGUAAGUUUUUGACAUUCCCAUACUUUAAAGAGUAUUUCGAUACUUUUUUGGAAUAUAUUUUAUUUCUAAUAUGUUAAUAUAUAAAUUUUAAAAUUAUUAUAGAAGGGUUUAAAUUAUAAUUUAUAUUUGCAUUUGAGUAGAGAAGCUGUCAAUUGAAGUACAGUUCACAUUUAUAAUAUUUUAAACAUAAUUUUUUAUUUUAUGUAUGUUUGUAAUUUGUAAUUGUUUCUAAAAAAUAUGACCAAAAAUCUAAUUUUAUCAUAAAUUAGUUUUUAGAACAGUUUUUAAGAACCAAUUCUAUAUUAUUAUCACAAAUAAAAUUUUAUUUGAGAAUUCUAUUUUAAAAAGCAAUUUGUUGAAUCUAUUCUCCAUAAAUGAAUCAUGCACUGAUGCUUAGUACAAUAUUUUUGGCUUAUUCUUUAAUUUUUUAAAUUAUUUUUUAGUAUAUCCUAUAAAAAAAGAAAGACCCAAAAAUAAUUUAAAUUUACUCUAAAAAUUUUGCUUGUUUUUACUACAAAAUAUUAAAAAAUAUUAAUUUUUAGUUUAAAUUUGAUCAACUAUGUUUUUAUGUUAAAAAAAUUAUUUCCCAUUUUAAAUAAUAGAAAACAAAUGUUAAAAAUAGUUGAUGAAUAAGAAACAUGACAUAGUGAAUCAAAACCUUGCAAAAUUAAGUUAUUGGGAAAAUGUUAUUUUAAGUUAUUAAAAAAAUGUUAGCUUAAUACAGUAUCAAAAUUUGGUUUGACGGGGCAACAUAAAUUCAAGCCAACUCUCCGUAAUUUGUAUGUUUGUUUCUCUAUUUAAUAUCUCACCCUUUUUGUAAUUCUUUGAUACCUUUUCCUCUAAUUUGUAAUUCUAUGGUAUAUCUUCAUGUGUCGGUAUAAGAUUGAGAUUACACAUAAUCCGAUGAUAUCAUAGUAAACAGAUUCUUGUUACUUUUGUACUCGAUUUUCAUUACUUUGUAUCUUAAAUGUAGUUUUCUUAAUGCAUAUUUUGAUUUAAAAUUUUUAAAUAUUUUAGUGUCAUUUUUUUUUAUUUUUUUUUGCAUUUUGACUUGAUUAAUAAAUAAUACUUUUUACCGUUUAAAUUUCAAUAUAUACUUAAAUACAUAUCAAAAAGUUUAUUAGUCCAUGUAGUAUAGAGUGUUCCAUCUACUAUUAAUUCUACAAAGUCCAUGCAAGGGAUGACUAAGAUAGGGCCCGUUAAAGAAAUAAAAACGAAGACAUCAUUUUAUUAAUGUUAUGGAUAUGGAUUUUAAUAUUUUGAUUCCUACCAUUAAUAAAAAUCAAAUGGAAUGCUCUCAAUUAAUUAUACCAAUCAAUGAUUAUAGAAUUUAGAGCAUGUUUCUUAGUGUGAUUUAAUUUUUUUAUAUUAUAAAACAAAAAUAUAAUUAAUUUGGAAGAUUAUAAAACACAGAGACUCCUUCACAAAAUUAACAUCAUAAUAAUAAUAAUAAUAAAUACAUAAAAUAAUUAAAGAAACCAUCAAUAUAAUAUACUUUUUUUUUAACUUACCCCCCAAGGUAUUGAUUUUGGUUUUCUUAGGAAAAGAGGGAUGUGAGAUCACAUCACACCCAAAGCAGGGAAUUACUUGUUGGGAAGGGGAUAGAUUGUCAAAGGUUUCAAAGAUCUUCAUAAACUUGGUCAAAAUCCAAUUUUAUUUGACUUUAUUCUCGGCCAACGGAUGAGAUUCAACUAGGGAAAUAGUGGGACCCAAAUAGAGGAAAUGUACAAACCGCCAAGUACAAAGGAACAAAGAAUACUACGCGUUGGAUUUGAGGACGAGAAGUCAACAGAGUCAAUGGCGUGAGGAUUGGACGGAGGAGGACGCCUUAUGCCUUAGACUAUAUAUUAAAAUAGGCGAGGCGGUACUGGAUCAAUGAGAAAGUGGUGUCUAUAUAUGCCUUAAGCCGGACUCAUCUUCCUGACAUUUUCAUUGCACCAACGCUGCGGUUUCUCUCAAAAUCUCCCGCAACACGUACCCUCGAAACGCGCUCUACGCCAAACCCAUAAAGCAAAAACCGCCAUAGGAGAUAUUUUAGAAUCAAAUCUCCCCCGAUUUCUUCUGUGUAUCAAUGGCGGAACCAUCGUCUUUAUCAUCAUCAUGUUUUUCUUCACAGAGAAGCGAAACCCAGAAGGGUUUUACGGACCCAGAAAUGGCAGCGGCUCAGCAGCUGAUGCAACUGAGCGGAGACGAAGAAGACAACGACUGCAAGAGCAAGAACAAGGGAAACCCAGAUGGAGAAGAGGAAGAGUUGGAGCAAAACCAAAGCGAGAUUACUUCUGCUAAGAUUGAGGAGAUUUUUGGAAGAGAAGAAGAAGAAGAAGAGGAAAAGCAGUUGCGGCCGAGGAAGCGGAGGUAUCGCUCUCUGGUUCAUAUAUAUAUGACCACCGAGCCAGUGAAUGUGAAGAAGGUGAGGUGUUGAAGAAAGCCCUUGGUAGUUUUCGCGAGACCGAUCCAGUAAGUUUUGUAAAGAGACGAUGAUCUGAAUAAUAAAAUUUUCUUUAAUUUUCAGGGAAAAAGAAUGGUGACUUUUUCCUUUGGUUUAAUCUGAUAUUCUCUGAUUACAGCAGCACAUUGCAUGUGGCGGUGGGUUGAUGAUGAAAUUAGGAUUUUGUUUAUCUAAUUAUUUAGUGAUUUUGAUUAAAUACCAAUUAAAAGUGAGGCGGCAAAGAGCUGCUGUGAUCUUUUGGGAGAGAGAGAGAGAGGUUCUUUUAUUUAUUUAUUGAUUAUUCUUUCCCUUCUUACUCAUGUUUUUGGCAAAUUUGAGAAUUUUGUCACAAAUGGGGCUGCAUGUACGGACCCCACACAGUGUCGGUUGUGAACGGAUGAUGACAAGCCAAACAAUCUCUUCUAUUUUGUGCUGAUUUGGACCAGCACAAGCCCUACUGCAUCGUAUACCAAGGCCUUUGUGGUAUUAGAUUAAGAAAAAAAGAGAGAAACAUCUGCAUAUAUUCCAAAGUUUAUACAGUCUUUUUGAAGCUGAAAUGCUUAGAUGCCAAAUCUUCGGAGAGUCAGCAGUUUCCCACCAAGGUUUAGGAUCAUUCUAAUGUUUGACCCAGUUGGAAGCUGAAAAAUCCUAGGUGAAGACGUCUGCAUAGAGGUCUUGAUCAAAUCUGGGGGCAUAUUAUAUGUGAGAUGGACCACGCUGUCAAUGUCUGUCGUUCGAUCAGAUUUCAGUCUUCUGUUGAUUAAUUAUAACCAAAAUGUGGGGUUUGACCCAGUUUGUUAAACCCCUAAAACCCUGGCUGAGAAUGUUAAUGAUAAGAGUUAGGUCCAGGGCAGCUCCACAUCUAGCUACAAGCCAAACAGAACUUCCUCAGUACAAGUUUGAAACGGCCUUGUUUUAGCCACCGUUAAUUGCAAACUAUUUUAAUGAAGUUUCUCUCAAAUGAGAGAAGCUAAAAGGAGAGCUGUCUAUUGUUCUAUCAUGUCCAUAUUAAUGUCAGGUUUGCAUGGAAAUGAAUUCGUUCACAUAAUUUUCUCGUGAAUUUAUGGUGUGAUUUCAAAUCUAGAGGUUGAUGUUUUGGGUGAUAGUGGAAGAUCAACUGUCGUAUGAUUCUCAAUUCUUUCCAAUUCAGUGGUUUUUUUUCCUUUUUUUUUGGUCGAUUUCUGGUCUAUAAUCGUUAUGUAGGAGAGAUGAGGAGUAUCGAAAGUAAGUUUUAUAAAUGAGUUAUUUCCGAUUGAUGCAUGACUCUUGACUCUUGAUAAAGGAAAUUAAAAAUAUUCUUAAGAUGAUUGAUUUUUUACCAAACUUAUUUUGAGUAUGUUUGUUAAUGAUUUUAGAAAACACUUUUAACUUUUUAACACUUUGAAAUUAUUUUAGGGUUAUUAAUUAGAAGAAUAUUGAUUAAAAACUUAUGAAUAUGGUUGUUUAUGAUGCCACCAUGUACAUAUCAUUCUUUGAUUAGGGACGAGAUCGAGUUCAAUUUUUUAUUGUAUAUAUAAUCCCUAUUUGAAAAUUAAAUACAAUUUUUUUUUUAAAAAAUAUUUGGAUAUAAUCCUUUUUUAUAAUAAUUUUUGAAAAAUUGUUUUUAAAAACUAUUUUUUAAUGUUUUGUAAAAUAAAUGACGGUUUUGAAACUUGAGAUGUUUUUAACUCAUUUAUUAUUUUUUAAAAUAACUUUUAGGUGUAGUGUUUAUUUUUAAUCAUUCUUUUAUAAUUAUCUUCCUAAAGAAUAGAAAUUUAUUUUUAAAAACAAUUAACAAGUAGACUAUAGAAAAUUAGUAAAGAGAUUCUUAGUUUUUCUUGAGAAAAUUUUUUUUAAGACUAUUUUUUUUUUAAAAAAUGUUAUAAUUAUCCCCAUUUUUUGUAAAAAUAUAAUUUUCAAACAGAGAAUAUUAAAAAUUAUUUUUAAAAAUAGAUUUAUUUAUUUAUUUCAUUUUUAAAUCUAAAUCAAUUUUCUAGUUCAAAAAAGAUAUGUUCUGAACUAAUAAUUCAAAAUAUACCUUAAAAAAUAUUUAACUUUUUUUUUUUUUUGCAUUCUAUAUAAAUACAUAAUAAUUUGAUGAAGAACAAGAGAAAAAACAAUGGAUAACUGCUUUUAAGAACAGAUUUGGAAAAUAUUCACAUAGACACCCUAAACGCCCGGUAUCGACAGAAUCCUAUAUGUUACAUGCAUCAAAGACUUCCUUCGCAUCCUUGAGUGACACCAGUAAAUGAUAGCAGGCCAUAUAGCUAAGGUUUUUGAGGGUGGUCCUCCAUGCACGCACUUCUAGCUAGUUCAUUAACAGAAAUGUAGGAUGUCAUCUCAGAAACCCAUGGUUGAUGAUGCCGAUAAGCCACUCUACAGUUGCGAGUUUGGGACCGAACGCAGGCAAAUCAAUGUAGACCGGUAAUAUUUUCAUCGUAUAGAAUGCUUUGGAGCUUCUUACUCGGACCCAAUAUCAUCGUAACCUUCUUUGAGUUGAUUGUGAUGUUGGGUCUCAGUCCACGAUUUCAAUCAAAUAUGGUUUUAUUAAUCAGGAUUAUUUCAAGCAAAUUUACCUUUGGUUGAUAUUUUAUUCGGUAAUCAAUCAAGAUUCAAGACUAAUAAUCCAUUUUGGACCAACCUGAUGGGAACUAAAGAUUUUCACCAGGCACCUCCAGGCUCCAGCCGCCUAGACUUUGGGCCAUUCAUUGUCAAAGGGAUGGUGCAUAAGCAGCCACCUCCAGCGUUGUGUUAAAGCAUUAGACUAGGAAACCCAGGCCUCCUCCAACAGCCAUCUCCAGUCUUUUUGACCAACUGUCACUAGAAGCUUCUUUGAGAUAAUUCUAGUCCCGGCUCCGUUUCCGAGAUUUCAUGUUUUUAAUCGUGACAGAAUAUUUGUUAUGGUCUCUAAAAGCCUUCUUUGGGAUGGUUCUGGCCGCCGGUCCGUUUCCACGAUUUUUUGUUUUUAAUCGUGACAAAAUUUUUGUUGUGGACAGAGUUGGUGGAUUUGAGAAUAUAUAGAUUUAAAAAACUGAUUUUCAUCCUUUUAACACAAAUAAAAAAAAUUACUUCUAAAAAAAUAAAUUAUUAAAAAAAUUAAUUUUCUUAUUUUUUAUUUAAAUUAUUUUGAUAUCAUAUUUUUUAAUAAAAUUAAUCAGAGUUUAGAUUAAGAAUGUUUAAAUUAAUUUUUAAGAAGCUAAAACGUAUAUUUUAUAGGAGCUUCUGUCCUAUUUAGAUGUACUUUGUGGGGGCAAAAAUUUUUUAAUGCUAGAAAGGAGUUUAAUAUCAAUUUGGAUGAUUUUAUUAAAGGAGUUUAUUGUUUCAGUCUUGUUUGAUACAAUUUAUUGUUUUUUUAUUUAAGUAAAAGUUAAAAUUAAAGUCAUAGUGGCAUAUUUUAAAAAAGGUAUAUUGAUAGUGUAACUUUGAAAAGACUAAGGUUUUAACUAAUAAAUAAUAAUUUAUUGAAUUUUAUAUUAAGCUCUCUUAACAAAAAUUAAUCUAGACCGAUCAAAGUAUAUGAUGAAAUCAAUGAAUAAGGGUUCCAAGAAAUAAGACCAAGAUAAAGUACACUGAUCGAUAAUGGGAUCUACUUGGAGACACCACCAUCUACAUAGCCAGACCUUUUUCCACGUGCAUACCAUUGUUUUCAGUAGUUAUGGUCUUUAAAGAGUGUUCUUAUUUUACUUCUGGGAACAAGAAAGAUGGAGAGAACAAAGAAGAAUGUCAUAGUACCAAGAAUAGAGACUUGACAGCCUACAUUGUCCAAAAUGUAAUGUAAUGAAGUGAGAAGAAGUUACAUGAAAAUAAACCUUUGAGAUGGCCCCUGUUGAAAAGGGAAUGAAUUCUAUAGUUCAAUGAAAUAACCCCAGAACAUAAAAGGUAGAAAAUAAAAAAUCAGAAGCUCAGAUGCAUCUAAUGAAAGAAUCAAUCAAACCCUGUAAAAAAAAUCAAAUGAAAAUCGAUCCGUCAGCUUCUGCGUUUUUCUUUGUUGUAACUAUACAUCUUCCUGCUCUAGCUUUCUUCAGCAAUGGACAUUCUCCUUGGCCCUGGAAUGUCUAGUCAUCUUGCAGAUCCUGGCAGCAGAGAAGUGUUCUUGCAGCUGGUCCAAAGGACAAAAAUCUGUCUUGCAAACCGGAAAAAAAACUGCUUCUCUGGGAUGCAAGUAAAAACGAUCUAAACUCUGUUUAAUAUCUUAGUCACAAUCCAAUCCACAAACCUCCAGGACAAGGCCGUCUUUGGUCAAAAAUGGAUUGAUUCGAACCCACAAAAGAGUUAAGAGUGAGGCCAGCAGAAUUGACCAGACCAGGAUGAUGGUGGGCAGCCUGUCUUUUUUUCCAAUCAGUCCUUUGAGGAAGGGGUAGAGGUGGACUAUCACCCAUAAGGCAAAGAAUAGUUUACCAAACAGGGGGCCCCAGGAUUCGUAUCCAUUGUUGAUGGCAUCGGAGAUGCCAACCACGACGGCAACUAUGUUUAUGAUCAGUAAUGUGGUUGGAGGAAUUAACAAAGAUGUCCAUUUGAAGAGGUAAAGCUCAGAAUAUUCUCCAUCGUCACCUGCUUUGGAGGUAACGGUGAAAUUUGUGUUGACGCCGGCCAAAACCUUGAGUAAACCCUGGAAAAGAGCAAAAAGGUGUGAUGAAACACCUCCUAUUACCCAGAACUGCUCAUUUCUCCACCAAUCAUCUAUUCCUACGCCACCCCAUCGCAUCUCGAUGAUGCCUGUUGCAGCUAUGGAUAUGAAGAGUGCUAUGAACACGAUGCUUGCGUAGUUGCUGAUCUGUAAACAGUUUGAGUAAGGGAUGAGCUCUGUAAGAGGCUCACAGAAAAUGACAAUCAUCCUUCUCUAAUGGGUUAUUUCCAAAAUUCCCAAUAUGAUAUCAACGAAUAGGAUUAGGGGAUACCUCAGGGACGAUGAAUUUCCCGGUGAGGAGGCAGAUGGCUGGCAAGGUACAGUAAAUGAUCAAUGGAAUUGAGGUCCAAGGAUACACGACGGAGUUUAUGUAGGAAAAUCGUUCCAGCCAUUUCAAGCCACCCCCGUAGCCAUACCAGACUGGACAGUGUUUGCUAAAGAAAAUCUCAACAGACCCAAGGGCCCACCGAAGAACCUGGUGCAGACGAUCUGAGAGGUUGAUGGGAGCUGAGCCCUUGAAUGCAGGCCGCUUGGGUAUGCAGUAAACAGACCGCCAUCCAUGGCAGUGCAUCUUGAACCCUGUUAGUAUAUCCUCUGUCACAGAGCCAUAUAUCCAGCCAACCUGGUUCAGUGUUUGAAAAUUUAGAAAGGAAUGAAGUGAUAAUGGUAGAACUUGCUAAUGGAAGGUUUUCAGAACUUUGAAUUUUUUUCUCCUUACCUCCUUUCCCCAAUCUGUUUUAUCUUCAUAGCCACAGCUAAUGACUUGGAUGGCUUCUUUCAAGAGUGACGCAGGACGGGCUUCAUCAGGAAUUCCACCGUUCUCCAAAAGCGUAGAGGCUAUGAACACGGGUGACUGCCCAAACUUCUUCUCAAGUUCAUCUGGGGAUGUCUUGGAUGCUUGCUCGGUGUAGAUUCCUGCAAUAACAAAUCCCCGAUUUAGUCCCAAAACUAGGGUGUAACUUGAAUGGAUUGCUCCAAUCCAAUUAGAACUUAACUCGUGGUUUGUACAUGAUUGAGUAAUCAUUGUAAUUAUUUUGAAUACUUGAGUUGAGUUUGAGUUAGAAUUUUUUAACUGGAACUCAAUUUGAUUUGGACUCCAACCAAGUUCAAAUAACCCAACUAAUUCUAAUUUAAUAUUUUUAUAAUAUUGAUGACAUAUAUAUUACAAUAUUGUUCUUUUUUCUUUUUAGACUUUUAAGAAAAAUCAUAUUAUAUUACUUUUUUUUAUUACUAUCUUAAAAUUUUAUCCUAUUCACUAUUUAAAUUAUCAUAUAAAUAUAUAAUUUUUAAAAAAAAAAAUUUACGGAACAUGGAUUUUAAAUUAUGCAACUCCAUUAGCUCAAUCUUAAAAAAACGAAGUUGGGUUAGGUUUGGGUUGAAUAUUUCCAAUUAGAAAUGGUCAAUUGUUUCUUAAUUUGGAUUGAACUUGAAUUACCUAUCAACCCGACCGACUCUUGCAAAAUGCAAUCCUACAUAGAGCAAAAUGGCAAAUUGUCUUUGAAAGUAAAUCCACACCUUUAAUUCCCCCCUGAAUGGUUUCAAGUGCAUAUAUCUGGUUUGAAGACUCCCUGUGCUUCAUUUUCUUCUUUUUUUGGUCCCUUUGCUUCACUUUUUUGCCCUUUCGAGACCCACAACACAGGCAGCAACAUCGGGGACAGUUACAGGUCUUGCCAGGGGGUUUCUUCUUGACAGGAGCAUCAUAACCAUAAAGUGCUUGCCUUCUGAAGACACAACCGGUUCCAACAUAUAUCGGUCCUUGUAUACCAUCUAAGCCUCUCAUGUUAAUCUGUUUCAAUUGAAAAAUCAGCUUUCCCAAUGAUAUAAGAAACAAUAAAGGGAAAAAAAAGAAAAGAAAAAGGUAUACAUACAUCAAAGAAGACGAUAUUUCGAUUUGAGUAUCUAUCAUGACGAUCGAUCCCAUCAAAUCUUUGGGGAAACUGGACAUAGCAAACUCUCUUACCCAAUGAGGGGUCCAUCAUGAAACACAUAGCUUCUCUAAGUGCCUUGCUAUUGUUGAUAUAAUGGUCACAGUCAACGUUCAGAAGAUACGGGGCAUUUGAAAUGACUGCUGAAACUCGCACCUUGGAUAUUCAUAAAAACAGCAACAAAGCUCAAUAAAUUCUGUGCCAAGUGUUUAUUCAUCGAAACCAGGUAUUAUACUAAAAGUAAAAACAGAAGACAAGGAAAGGCAACCAAAGAAAAAGGAUCUAUGAAGGUGUUAUUGAUUUAAGGUUUACCAGAGCAUUCAUAGCACCAGCUUUUUUGUGAUGUUCAAACCCUGGCCUCUUCUCACGAGAGACAUAAACUAGACGAGGUAAUUCAUUUCCUUCAAUAUCAUGAACACCAACGUGGCCUAGGAACACCUGAGAAAAACAUUUAACAAUUAGGAAACACAAGAUAUUUCUAUGAAGGACAUGCCCUUGUUGUGUAAAUAUUAUCCCAACUUUAACGCUAUAUGUUUGCUUCUUGAAAAGUGUUAGGAAAAGAAAAAUAUAUAUAUAUUAAGAAUUUUUUUUUUUCAUAUUUUGUUUUACUAUGAAAAAUGAAAAAUAAAGUCAAAUAUAAUUAAAAUUAUUAAGAAAUUUGUAUAUUUUUAAAUUAUUUAAUUUUUAUAUAAAAGAAUUAAAUAAGUGAAAAAGUUUGAAGUAAUAUAUAAACAUAAUUUAAUUUUAAAUCAUUUUUUAUUGUUCUUCAAUUAUUUUUUUCUCUUUAUUUUCUUUCUCUUACAUUCUCCUUCAAACUUUCUAGGAACUAAACAUAGUUUAAAGGCUCAAAUAUUACAAUUACCCAACAUAGGAUUGUAUGAAACAAACCCUCCAUGCAGACAGGAUUGGUUAAACAAAUAAACAUAACAUCCCUUGUGAAAAACACCCUGACCCCCAAUCCAGCUUUGAUGGUCUAAUUCUAAUGUUAUUUAUAAUGAUCUACUCCCAAUUAUGUAAAUAUUGUUCAUUUUGGACCUAAAGGGCUCUUGGGAGUUUAAAACAUGUCUAUCCGAUUAAGAGAAAUUCAUACAUAUUAUUAGAAACUUUUUCCUAUCCUACAUAGAAUAUCACAUUCAUGAUACAUUUAACAGAACCUAUUCAAUUCCAACAAGGUUCCGUGACAACCAAGAGAAGACAGUUCUUGCAAAAUGGAAAGAUAAGUCAUCACCUGGAUCAGGCCAGGAUGAUUGCGAACAUUGUUUCCAGGCCAUGGAGUUCCAUCCUGCAUUGUCCAGCCUUCCUCAGGAACCUUUUGUGCCAUGGAAACUAACCCAUUUAUUCGAACUUUGAACUCCUCAUACUCUCUCUGAACCCGGAAAAUAAUAUAAUCAAACAUUACCUUUAUAUGGAAACUUAAGGUAUUAUACAGGAAAUUGCACCUUCAUUGAAACAGAUCAACUGUAAUGAGAAUUUAUGUCUUUAUAUAGGGGACAGUAGCAAACCUUCAUUGCGCGUCGUUGUUUCACAAAUGCCGGAUGAACUUUGUUUUUGAGAUAGUCGAUUUUCUGAGAAAAAUACCAUUCAGGGGCACGGGGCUCAAUACUAAAUUUUUUACAGAAAGGGACCCAUUUCCUGGCAAAUUCAGAGGUCUCAGAAAGUGCUUCAAAAGUGAGCAUGGCAGCACCAUCAUCUGAGACGUAGCAUGCAACUUUAUCAACUGGAUAAUCCACAGCAAGGAUGGAGAGAACCGUGUUUGCAGUGAUUAAUGGAGGUUCUUUUGUAGGAUCAACCGUGCUCACAAAGAUGUCUAUGCUGGCCAAUUCAGUAGGCUUCCCUUCUUUUUCAUACCUGAGAAUUUAAGGAGCAGAUGAUGAGCUUGAACACAUCAGAAGACCACUUCGCAAAAAUGAUGAAUCAAAUUAGAUGGUUGGCCUAGUUACCUUAGUGAGAGCCGAUCAAGGUAUGUUUCUCGACGUACUGGACACCAUUUUGGAAACUGAUCCAGAAUCCAUGAUAUAGCAAACCAUAUUUCACAUAUAACUGAUGUUACCCACAAGCCAUAUGCAUCAUGAACUGGAUGAAGAAGUCUAUAAUGGAAAAAGAAGCCAAGAAUUAUGAGUCGGAGUAUAAUUAUCAAUCUGUAAGGGCUUAUUAUGCUUGAAGGAAUGGGUAACUUCCUUGAAAGUGGUUGCCUCGCUUCAUCCAUCCUGAUAAAAUAUAUCAACCAAUCUCAUAAAUAACCCCAAAAAAAAUGGAAAAAGGAAAAAAGAAUGAGCCAGGGUACAGAUAAAAGCAAGCAUAGAACAGUGUAUAGGAAAAGAUUAGAUGGAACAUACUGUGAAGAUAAACAGUAUAAAAUCUCAUCUGAGAAUUCCAUAGUUUGAAACAUAUUUUUUACCCUCCCAAUGAAGGUCUCAAAUAUUGGUUUUGGAGUUAAGCAAUCACCAAAAAGGAGGGGGAAAAAGAACUAAAAAGGAGAUUAUUCACAUGAGAGCUCAAAAACCCCCAAAAAGGGAAGAAGGGACAAGCCCAUCAAAGCCUCAAAAACUCCUGAUGAACAUGACUCACCACUAAUCUUAAGCUAUGCAAAAUCAGAAUUCUGCAGUUCAAAACAAAUCAAAUAGAGUGUCCACGGUUCAAAAAGACUACCAUACUUCUCUCCUUCUACGUCUCAAAGCCCAAAAGUAAGUUUCCCAAGCAAAGGAAGAAAGGCUCUCAAACUUGUACGAAAGCAAAAUGUAGGGGGUAAGGGAAGAAAAUGUUGAAAAUAAAUAAAGAUAUUGAGCUUUUAAUUAAUCUUAGGUAGAACAAUAAUGUGGACACCAUGAUGCAGACUAUCAAUAUCGGUUUUCAACCCACCCUAAUUCUAGACUUAAAAGCCAAAAUUAUGCAUAUAGAAGCCCUCCUAUUUAAGAUAUUAUAGCUCCAUGCCUUUGCCAUAGUUCUUGAGAAGCUUAGUUCUAGGCACCUAGACAAUUUUCCAGACAUCAGAAGGCAAUCAACCAAGUAAUGUCAGUGUGAGUCUGCAACUAGCAUGAAAGAUGAGCGGUUUCCACUUCUUAAUGGUUCUUAAUAACCUUCAUCUUGUACUGAAAAUAUAUCAUUAUGCUAUUUUUUUUAGUAGAACACUUCGGAUUUUAUUCUAAGGUGGAGAAUUGUAUAAUAAUUUAGCAAGAGGACAUGAAAGAAUUUUGAAUAGUUUCUUACUUAGGCAAAUCAGUAUCAUCUGGUCCAUCCCCACCAACAUCUCCAUCCUCAUUUUGUCUUUGAUGCUCAACCAUCUGAAGUUUCUCAUUCUGCCUUUUCUUCCACUCGACCACUCGAUCCUUCCAUGCCACACUUCCAUAUCCAUAUACAGCUACAUCUUUCUUAGGAACGAUUGGCCUGGAUUGCACUAAGACAUGGAAAUCACUAAGUAUUUAAAAAUGAAAUUUAUCAAAAUGCAAGCAAGUGAAAUAUGGAAAUGUGAAUGAACAGAGGAAAAAGACUUACAAGAUACAGAUGGAUCGUUAUAUGGUGUGGGAUAAAUUCUAUUUCUGUAACCCGUAAAUGGGGGCACUAUUAAGGCAUGUUGGUCAGCAUGUAUAUCAGCAUUCUAGAACAAGAAAAAGACUAUAUCAUAGUGUGUUGAAUGCAUUUAUAAACACACUCAGGCAUAUAAAGAUGGAGAGAUUCAGAAAGCUAAUUGAUUCACCUCCAUGGGGUAGCUCAAUAGCGGGACUUGAGAGCUAAGGGGAGGGGAAACCAAUUCUGAACAUGUAGAGAUCCCAGAGGCACUAUCAUGGUUACCGCAAUCAAUAUCAAGGCAUACAGUGAGCAUCUCCCCUGCAACUUCUUGUGUGGCCCAAGUAUUAGAAUUUGCAUAAUCAAACUCAUGUUCUAGAUCAUCAAUAUCGUCCUCUUCCUCAUCGCCUUCAACCCUGGGACUGCCUGCAAAUCAUGCUGCUUAUCAGAGAUAAUUCACAAAGCUUAAGGGCUGUGCCAUGGAAUCUCCACAUUGAAGAAUGCAGAGACUUACCUUUCAUGCGCUUGUAUCUGGUUUUACACUGAGGACACACCUUAUUUCCUUCCCUUCUCUCAUAUUCGUAGCAAGGCCUGCACACAGGGAAGGCACAUUCAUUGCAGGCAACGAAGAGCUCACCGUCCACUGUAAUCUCCACUCCAUCCCCACAUAUGUGACAAAUUUGCCCACUCAAUUCUCGCACAGACUUGAUCUGAAAAAAACCCACGAACCAUAAUAACAAUGUUAUGAACUUUUGAUUAUGGAAGGAUGAGAACUAAAACAAAACUAAGGUUCAGGGUCAGUUUAAUCCAGAAUACAUCCCAAUCCUUAUAGGCCAACCACCAAGCACACACCCCAACCCCAUAAAAAAAAUAUCAGUGCACUGAAUUUGUUAAUAAAAUAUCAUUCAGACAGGGUCUGAAAAAUAAAAAAAUCUAUAUCUAGUAUUCCAACUUUUAAAUUAUUGAAUUUUCAAACAGGACCAAAACUCCAGUAUUUUAACCAAAACUUAGUUCCCAUGUUCAAUAAAUAAUUAAAAAAUCUUAGUUAUGAAAACUUCUCUCUGUUCUUCUUUCAGGUUUUCUGUUCAGCUAUCUAGUAUGGUUGUAUUUGAUUAUCAUAUUGCAUAGCCUAAAAACCAUCAUUCAGUCAGGAAAACCAAAACCGACAAAAAUCUAUCCAUCAAAAAUCCCAGUCCACCACUUGAGACCAAAAGCAAAGACACAUAAACCGCAUCAAUCUACCAUCAACAACCAAAUUUUCUUGGAAAAAAUUAACAGAACAGGAAAAUAGGUAUUCUCAAAAAAGAAAAUAUGAAUCGAACAGGAACUUUGAAACUUGAAAGAUCCUUACACGAGCAAUGUCAUCAGCAUUGAUAAGCACGAACUCAUUUCUGUGAUGAGAACCAGCAACGAGUCGACCUCCGGUGGCCAUAACCCAAAAACCCACCUUGAAAACCGAUCACCCGGGGAAUUGAUUCGCCCGGAAACCCCCAACUCUGCACUGAAAAACAGAAACACUCCCUUGUUCCCCCAAACAGCACAUAGCAAAAGACAAUGGAACUGAGUGUACGAAAUUAUAAAGAACCCGAAAGGGUCCCUUCCUUCGCGCUUGUGCUGAUUCCACGACACACCCACCUCCCUGGCUGGUGCCCACAGAUCAAUGACACGAGUCCAGAUACAAAACAACGGAGAUUUUGAAAGAACGGAGGCGUACGGGAGAAGAUGAGAGCGCAAUCAUCCGAGUGGGAUCCAGUGGCUCCUGUCCCCACCACAAAAAGUUGACAAACCAAAAAGGAAAGGAAGUAAAACCCUCUUCCCUAGAAAGGAAUAGAGUGAAUUGGGAGCAGAAAUUUUGGAAAAUUUUUGGUUUCUGAAUCAGAAAUCUUCUCUGGCGUUCAAAAAUCCAUGGUUUUUGGCGACUUAGCAAUAAAUUAACACCCGUGAAGAGAGAUUAGAUAGAGAAGAAAUGACAUGAUCUUCCUCCUCUUGAGCAGAUCCUACUUCAUAGGCUUCACCAACAACACUACUCCAGAACCUCUUUUUCCACUACUCACCCUUUGGCCACCUUCAUCUCAUAUUUUUCUCACUCUGUAUUUAUUUUGUUUCUCAUAAAAUUUCUCUCCUAAUUUGAUCAUUGAUUAAAAAAAAAACACAAGGUAUAAAAAUAAAUAUUUUCCCAUAAAAAAAAUUAGAACUUUAUGAAUGGUUGUAAUCCUGCCCAUUUAUGAAAAAAAAAAUUUAAAUAAAUAAAAAUAAAAAGAGUGAUUAAUGAAGAAAUUAAAAAAAUAAAAUAUUAGUUUAAUUAAAUUUACCUGUGAAAAAAAUUUGAAAUAUGAAACAAAAAGAUAAUGUUAAAUAGGCCAUUGAUAAUGUAAAUUUGCGGUGAUUUUUUUUUUUUUUGCUAUUAAUGUGUUUAAUUUUGAUGAAUUUUAUUUUAUUUUUUUAAUAAAAAUUGAGCUAUCUAAUUAAGUCAAAAUAUAUUGACAUAUUCGCAUGCAUUGAAUACAUUUUCUAUAUAUGGUUGAAAAUUUAUAUUUAAUUUUUGAAGUAAUGAAUUUUUUUAAUUAUUUUAAAUUUUUUAUUGAUAAAUAUUAAAAAAAUUGUGUUUAAUCACUAGUUUAAAAAUAGAAAAAAAUGUUAUAUUCUUUUAAUCAUAUGAUAAAUGGGAUGAUCUAAAAGAAGUAAGCAUAAGUUUUAUCACCAUAAAUUUUAUUAUUUAUCAUUAAAAAAUCUAAGAAAUUUAUAAAGAAAUGAGAGAAAAAUUAAUUUCACAAACACCCAAAAAGAAAAAAGGCUUCAAUCUUGUUAUUUUGUAUUUUUAUUAAAAAAAUUUAAAUUUAAUUAUUUAUAUCAAUUGACUUGAAUUUGGGAGGAAUGUAGUGGACGUUUUCAUUUUCCUUUGGCUAGUAUAAUAAAAGAAAAUUAUGUGAGAUGUACACUUGUCAAACAACUAUUGGUCGAUAUCUUAUUCUAAACAUACCCCAAUGAUGAUUCUCUUACAUAUUCUUCGGUGCAAUACUUUAUACUUAAUUGCUUCUUAUUCGCUACGUAAAUUCAAUGGAAGACCCGCAAAUCUAAAAUCCAACAAUACAACGCCACGUGCUAAAAUUUUUGGGUCAUGGUCAACACACUUGUCUGCUAAUCCGUGUAGACCACGGUCCACCUGGUGACGCAUGUAAAGUGGGACCCAGAAAGGGUACAGCUGGCUGAUGAUGCUCGGAUGUAAAGUUAGAAAUCCCGAGAAAGUGUGAGAAACUUCUGGCAGAAUUGAUGGGAAAGAGUGGUAUUGGCUCAGAGUUUGGAUUGGUUGGUUGAGAGGCCAGUACGGUGACAAGGACGGGAGGUUGUACUUGACCGUACGCAUUGGGUGCGAGCUUGGGCUGGUUUGUCUUCACUCUCGAAGCAAUGGGCUUGGUUAUGGGCUUAUGGCAACUAUUUUAGUUAUUUAUUUAUUUAUUUGUUAUUACGAUAAAUGCGAUGAUAUUUUCUACCUAUACUUUUUAAGUUAUUAAUUAAAAAGUUAAGAUAAAGAGAAUGAACGGUUUUCUUUUAUUUUUAAUUUAAAUUGAGUUAGUUUAUAAACUAACACCUAAGUUUUUUAUUAAGCAUCGUGAUUAAUUUGUUUAUUGAAAAGGUAAUUGUCUAAACGGUAUUCCCAAUAUAUACUGACCGUCUUUUUUUUAUCAAACGGAUAACUACUCAUCUUGUUAUUAUCAAAUUAUUUAUUUUAUCUAUCAAGUUCAAAAAAACCUAUGAACAUGGAGAGCAAAAAAUUUCAACAUUGAAUCGUGUGGCUGCUGGGAUUCGAGCCCAGGUCUCCACGGCCACAACGUGGAAUUCUUACCACUAAACUACAGCCACUUGAUGUUAUGUUUUGCCUGGGAUUCUAUAUUUAUAAAAUUUGUGUGGUCUUAACACGAAGAAAGUUGUGUUCCAUGAGCUACUUGCUACAUUUUUAUAAUUUUUUGUUAUUUUUGGUCUUUCAGAUUACAUGUAACUGCCGACUUACAGAGAUUUGAAUAAAUGAGUAGAGUCUCCAAAUCUUCCAAUGGGCUGAUUUUAAACGGCUAUUGAAGCAACCAGAAGGUCCCAUUCAAUACCUCAAUCUUCCUCAAGGCAGCACAGCCAUGCAAAAAGCUGUCCAGAGGACUUUUCAUUAGAUUCUAGGCCUAGAUUAAUUGCAGAAAGUGGCCUCCAAGUAUGAUGUUUGAUCAGCAAAACUGACCGUUUCUGAAACCCAUCAUCUGUCUUCUCCAUUUGCAUUUAAUUAAUGGAGAAUUAAGCCAUGUAAAUGGUGACAAUAAUCACAUAUUUAGUGUCAGGCCUCUCCUCUCCCUGGCCUGCAACACUAUAAAAUCACCUCCAACCUUCAUCUUUUUCUUCAUCUUUCUCUGUCCAGAUAUAAGUACAUCAUGGCUCUGAUCAAGAACGUGUUUCUCUUGGUGGCACUCUCAUGGCUGAUAACCAACGCGUCUGCAUCGAGGGAACUGCCCAUGAGCAUGAAGCCUGCAGAGCUGGACCUUGUGGCGAGGCUGGAGACGAGCGGAGGGUUAGUAGAAUGCUGGAAUGCGCUUGUAGAGCUGAAGUCAUGCACGAAUGAGAUUAUCCUCUUCUUCCUCAAUGGCCAGGCUGAUAUCGGACCGGACUGUUGCGGGGCAAUCGAUAUCAUCACCAGGAAUUGCUGGCCUACAAUGCUCACUUCCCUGGGUUUCACUGCUGAAGAAGGCAACAUUCUGCGAGGCUACUGCGAUGCAUACACGCCUAGCCCUGCUGCCCCGCCUCCUGCAGCCGAGUCCCCGGUUCAGCCACCGAGUAUCUGAUUGGAGUGGAGGCUAGGAGAUAAGCCUUUGGGCAGCUUUAUAUAUAUACAUACUUACAUAUGUUGGAAGCUUUUUUGAGUCUUUGUUUGGUUUGGUUUGUUUUAACUUGGUUUUGGGUAUUGUUGAAGUUGUUUUUGUAGUUUUUGUGGUUGAAUUUGAAUGGGAUAUUUACUAGUAUCGUGUGGUCUUUCAUCUAUGGCACUUGUUUUUGUCUAAUUUAAUUCCUCUUGUAUAAACCAUGACAUUACUCUCUGGUGUGUUUAGACAACGCCCAAAGCAAAUUUUCCCUUUUAAGAAACCAAAUUUCACUGUAGAGGAUAUACAGAAAUGCAUUAGAUAUAUAUAUGAGAGACUAAAAUCUUAAAAAAUGGUGAGUCACUUCUAAGUAUAUUUUGGCUCUUUCUCAUUUCCUAAUCUUUUUCUAAGCUUGUUCUGCAAUUCCUUCUCCCAUUCUGUUUCUAAUCUUUUACUUGUUAGAUCUCCUAUUUUCUUUCCAGGAGUGCAUUUUUCGUCUGAUAUGCAAAAUCAUGGUCUCAUCAACCUUAGUAGCCAGCCUUCAGGUUUUGGGCUGGCUAAAGGGCCCAUGAAGACAUAAAACAGGUGGGUGACAGUCCAAUCCAGCCCACGUUGUCAAGUUUGAUAUAAUUUGUCAAUAUAUAAUGAUAUUUAGAUCAAUUUCAUAUCGACUUGUAGAACUCAUUUAAUAAAUAAAUUGAUUUUGGUCUAUAUGCAUAAUAGAAAUUGACUAGAAUUGACUUAUUUAACUAUUGUGUUGAUUACCUUAUUAUAAUUAUAAUCCAUCUAAUUUAUAUUUGAUUAAUCUAAUUAUCAAUUAAAUCAUAAACUUGUCUCACUGAGAGGCUAACUAUUAUAUAAGAUUUGAUUAUUAAAUGAAUUACAUAAUAUUAUUACAUUUUUUUUGUUGGUUUUUAUUUUAUUUCUAUUUUAAAAAAAAUUUGUCUGGUAGCAGUAUCACUAGCCAUUGUUGACCAGCGGUAUGGCAAUUAUAUCCAACCCCAUCUAUCCCAGCAGCCCUACUGAAUUGUAUUGAAGUGUGGCAUGCAUUCAGAAUCAGUGAAGUACCCUGAACCCUAUCUUAAAGGGCACUGAGUAUUGAAAUGGGUAACUCACUUUUGAUCACCUUAAUGCAUUAACCGUUUUGCCCUCUGAUGGGGCCUUCCAUUGAAUGAAAUUAACUCAUUUUUGCUCUGAGGUUGUAAGAAAGUACAAUAUGAUACAUGGAAUUUGAGUUGUGGUGGAAAAUUCUAAGAGGUUUCAUAUGCGUUUAAUUGAUAUCACUGGAUUAGAUAUAUGCAUAAUCACACAAAAAUCUAAGUUUUGAUCUAAAUUCAAUACAUUUCAAUUGAGUUGAAUUUUUACUAGUCGAAUAUAUUUUGGUCAUGAAGAAUCUAAAAUUUUUCUCGAAUAACUAAAAACUUUAUUCUUUCAUUUGUUGGAUACAAAAAAGGAUUUCUGGUAGGGAGAGGACCUUAUUGAAAAUUUUUAUAGGAAUUUUGAGUGGUUACCAAGGCUAUCGAAUGCUUCCCUUGCCCUAUGGUGAGGGCUUUGUACCAAUUUUUGCUUUAUGAUUGCUACAAACUGUUACAAGCUUUGUUGACUUUUGGGCACAUGUGGACAAAAGAAGUUAGGUUCUACUUUUUAGGUGCAGAUCACUCGAUCAGGUCAACCUACAAGUUUGGAGGUUGUCUCUAUGGUGAGGGCUUCAUGUCGACUUUUGCUUUGUGAUUGUUACAGACUACUAUAAGCUUUGUUGACUUUUGAACUAUAAGAACAAUUAAGCUCUACUUUUUAGAUGCAAGUUAAUAAGUCAAGUCAACCCGCAAAUUUGAAGGUAGUCUCUUUUCAUGGUCCUCAUUUUGGGGUAUGGUGAAUUUGUGCUCUCAGGUUCUGAAGUAGACCAUUCUUGUAGUGAAUCAAUUUUUUGUAGCUCCAAGUCGGAUAUAGAAUCAUUCUUUGCAAAACUUUUCACUACAAGUCGACAAUAUAGAAUCAUUCUUGAUAAAAAAUUUCUUUAUGAAUAUUGAAAAUGAAAGAGAAUUUAGGAUUCUAAAGACAAAAAUGACAAAUAUUGAAUUUAGUCAAAUCUUUUGAACAUAUUCAAUUACUCAAUCUCCUUAAGCCAUUGGAAUUCAAAUUUCCUUCCUAUUAUAAAAAACUUUUCACUUCUUUGAUUGAUCAAUAAGAUUUAACCACUUGGGUCAAGUCUAACAUUCUCUACAUCAAUCAAUCAAGCAAAUACAUGAAUCAAUGGUGGGAAAUUAUCCCUAUUCAGCAAACAAAUGAUUAUUAGAUACGAUUUUAUGAACGUUUACAACACCUUCCUAUUAACAUGUUGACAUGAUGCAGUACUUAUGAUAACUUUUUCAUUAGUAUAUCUUGCAUAUUACCUCAAACAAUACCUUCAAAUACUUCAUGAAUCAGCAAGCAAAAUUAGGCUAAGCAUGAAUUUAUUCUAUUUUAUUUAUGAAUCCCAACAUCUUACACAUUUUCAUCCAUCACAUAGUGAUUAUUUCCUCAAACUUUGAUUCCUUUCCAACGUGACUCCAUGUAGCUGGAGGGAUCAUUCUGGGUAUAAACCCCAAACUUGAAGUAAUGGGAGCUGCCUCCAUCAUCUGAGCCGUCAUACUUGAGAGUCCCAUCAAUGUAAAUCUGAACUCUUCCAGCAUCUGCAUUAUGAAUUACAUUUAAUCGAAACCACUUGUUAUAGAUGUUGGACGCUAGCACUGGGCUUCGGUAGUUGGUAAGCGAGCCAUCAUAAACUCUAACCAUUAAGGUCGUGGCUCGACUACUUCCUCCGAACACCUGCAUGAUGCUCACACCAGUCGUGCCGCUUGGCACGUAUCCAUAACCUUCAAAUUGCCAAGUACCCGAGGAAUAAUCGUAGCCCUAACAUUCACAUGCAUUAGCAUAAUCCAAUUUAGUACAUUUUUGAAAAAGUAUAUUUCUGUAUUGUAAAUGGACCACGACUUAAAAAUCCGAAAAAUUUAUGACAUGCUUACGCGAAUACGGAUCUCGGUGCGUGGAAGAGACCCAGAGCUUGUGGACACCGGCUGGUCUUGAGACACAUCGUAGGGCUUUUGCACUUCAAAUUUGGAUUGGUGGAAAUUGAGAUGAAAGAAGCUCAAGUGAAACAGAGCUAAGGCAACAACAAAAGAAGUACUACUCAUUGUCUUGUUUGUGAAGAAGAAGAAUGGGUGUGAGGAGAGUGACUAUAGAGGGUUGGAAGGGUUAGUAUAUAUAGAAAGUGAGAAUGGCUGUUUGGGAGAUUUGUUUGGUUCAAUCUUCUAUCGUGAUAUAUAUAUAUAUAUAUAUAUAUAUAUAUAUAUAUAUAUAUAUAUAUAUAUAUAUAUAUAUAUAUUAUUCUAUUUUCAAAAUUUAUGUAUUUUUAUAUAAAAAAGAAAAUAAUAAAAAUAAUAAAACAAGCAUAAAUACUAUGGAAAAAAAUCAAGAGAAUAUGUUUUUUAUUUUUGGUUUUAGCAUAAAAAUAUAAAAAUUAAAUAUAAUUAAAAUUAAUUAAACUUUUCUAUAUUUUAAAAUUAUUUAAUCUUUUAAAAUAAAUGGAAUAUAUAAAAAUAAAUGAAGUAGCAUAUUAGAAUAAAGGAUUAAUAUAUAUAUAUAUAUAAAAUCCUUGAAAUUUUGAGGUUUUUUUCUUGUAUUUUGGAACUUCCAAAUGGGCAUAAAGUUAUGACUUCAUGAAGCAUUGUAUCUUACUACUACCUCUCAUAAAGUGAAUUGGGAGACAGCCAUAGAAGGACAAGGAACCUUAUCCUUGUUUGCUUGACCGGAAAAUGAGGUGUGAAGAAAGAAAUUGUAAGAAUAGGGGCGAGAAUUCUAGCAAUGUUUGUAUGGACAAUUAUGAUGUUGAGUAUUAAAAUUAAUCUAUAAGAAAUUAAUCCAUUUAUAUCUUUGUUUUUUUAAUUUUAUUCUAAUUAAACUAAAGACUAAAUAAUAUUUAAUAGUAUUAAAUAUUAAAUUAAUUUUUAAUAUCUUAUUUUUAUUAAAUAUUAUAAAAUAAACAAAAUCAAACAGAUUCAUUAAUUAAUUUUUAAUAUUAAAAAAAUCAUAUAUUUUAAUAUUUUAUAUUCAAUUAAAAAUUUUAAAAAUAUAUAAUAAGUCAACGAAAAAAUUUUAAAAAUAAAUUAUCUGAAAUAGAAAAUAAUAAGUUAUUGAAAAUAACUAAUUAUAUUGUAAAAAAAAAUGUGUUAAAAUAUGCUCAAAUCAUAUUAGAACUCAUUUGUGACAUAACCUUAAAGCAAAAGAAAAAAAAAUCAAUAAAUUUAUGAUUUUGUAUCUUGUCAAAUAUGAAAAAAAAUUAUACAUCAAACCAUAAUGUAAAACCAAAAAACAUCCGACCUGCCGGAUUCGAACCAGCGACCUAAGGAUAGCUGUUGCACACUACAGUCCUCCGCUCUACCAACUGAGCUAAGGUCGGAUACGCUCAUGAAGGGGAAAGGAAAAAAAAAUAGAAUUAAAAGUCUUAAUAGAACUCUGCGCACUUCCACAACUAAUUCAUGAAUGAUUGCUUUUUAGUACUUUUAUAUUUAGUGUAGAAAAUACUGAGUUGAUCAACUUUUAUAUUUAGUGUAGUUUAAUGAUUUUUUUAUAUAUUAUGAUAUUAUCUAGAGCCCCGAGUGAUUAAAAUGUUAUCAAUUUAUAACAUUUUUAUUAGUAACACUUUUAUUAUAAUAUGUUUGGUUUUAGAAAAAUGUUAAAAAAAUAUUAUGUAAAAUAUUUUUUUCAUAUUUGAUUUUAUCAAAAAAUCGUUAUUUAUAUCAUCCAGAAACUCUAGGGUUAAUUAUGUCAUCCAUACCCUUGAGUCAUUUACAGUAUCUAAAACCCUAAGCUCUUUACAAAUAGUUAUUUUUGUAAUUAAAAACUUGUCAAUAAUACUUUUAAAAAUAAAAAGUAAUUUUCUAUUUUCUAAAUGGGUCCCAAAACUAUUACACAAACUUAUAAUUUAAUCCAAAAGUAGAAAUCAAUGUCCAAAGGGGCGCGGACUAAAGCUCUCACACGUGUAUACACAGUGCAUAGUCACUCUUAGCUGAUCACUUUGAGCUCAACAUGAAGAAGAUUAUUCUAAUUUAUUUAUUUCAAUAUUUAUUAUAUAUUUUUUAAGAGUUAUUAUUUCCUACUAUUAUUAAAAUAUUAUAUAAUAUUUUAUAUUUUAAUUUAAAUAUUUUUAUAUUUAAAUUACUCAACUAAUCGCUGUAAGCUGAAGAAGCUUAUUCUAGCUAAUUUAUUUAUUCCAAUAUUUCUGAGAUAUUUUCUGCGAGUGAUUAUUUCUUGAAAACUUUGAUUUCCUUCCAACGCGACUCCAUAUAGUUGGAACUGUCGUUCUGCUCAUAAACCCCAAACUUGAAGUAAUGAGACUUGCCGCCAUCAUCCGGACCCUCAUACUUCAGAUCUCCAUCAAUGUAAAUCUUUACCAUUCCAGCAUCUGCAUCAUGAAUCACAUUCAAUCGGAACCACCUGUUGUAAAUAUCAGAUACUAGCACUGGACUUCUGUAGUUGGUGAGUGAACCAUCAUAAACCUAACCAUUAAGGUUGUGGCUCGAUUGGUGGCUCCGAACACCUGCAUGAUGGACACACCAGUGGUCCCGCUUGGCACGUAUCCAUGUCCUUCAUAUUGCCAAACACACGAAGAAUAAUCAUAUCCCUGGAAGUAAUUCAAAGAUCAAUUGUGUAGUUACCUGACAAUUUAAGUUUGUUAGUGCUAAAUAAAAAAUAUACUGCUUACCCGAAUACGGAUUUCGGUCCGUGAGGCAGUGUGGCUGGUGGUGGUGUGAGCCUUGUCCGUGGAGUACACCCACAGCUUGUGGACGCCAUUGAUGUGGCUGUAACGCUGGUUUUGAGGGACAUCAUAGGGCUUUUGGACCUCGAAAUUUGAUUGAUGUAAAGGGACUGGGGUGAACCCAUCCGUGGGAUCAACCAUGGUUCAGUGGGAAAUGGGUUAAAUGAGACUCAAAUGCAAGAGAGCUAAGACAACAAAAGUAGUACUCAUCAGAUACUUCGUCUUAGUGAGGAGUGAAUGAAAAUGUAAAUGAUGGAGUUUAGCAUAUUAUAAUAAUAAUAAUAAAUAUAAAAAUGCGAGAAAUAUAAAAUAGAAAAGAGAAGUAGAGAAAAAAAAAAAAAAAUUAAUAAAUUAUUCUUACAUUCUACUUCAAACUUAUUUCACUUAUUUAACUAUUCUAUAUAAAAUAUCAAAUAAUUUAAAAAUAUAUAAGUUUUUUACUAAUUUUAAUUAUAAUUAAAUUUUUUCAUAAUAAAACUAAAAAUAAGAAAAUAUUUCCUUAACAUUUUUUUUUUUAGUAUUUUUCAAUAAUCAAGUAUAAUUUUAAUUUUUACUUUAAGUAUUAAGGUUGUUUAAUAGAGGUAACUUAAAAUUUAUUUUAAAUCGUCAAAUUGACAUAUUCACACCCUUAUUAAUUUUAACUGAUAUAUAUUUUUACUAAUCUUAAAUAAUAAAUUUAUUUGUUAAAUAUUCACAUUAAAGUAUUAUAGAUACAUAAAAUUACUACGAAAAUGUUUUAUUAAUUUUAUCCGAUUUAUGAAAAAAUGCAUGUAUUUUAAAAUAUUUUUAAAUGUGUGACGAUAAAACUAAUUUAUAAAAUUUAUGGUUCAUUUUUCUUUUUUUUUUUAAAAAUUAAUGAGUCAAAACCUAUUUUUUCCUUUUAUUUUUUUUAGUUAUUAUUUUGUUUUAUUUUAAAUGAAAAGUAGAAUAAAAAAAGAAGAUCUAUGUGUGACUUUAUAACCGUUAAAUGUAACAGAAUAUGGUAUAAAUUUACUUUCAGAUUUUAAGUUAUUUGUUUUUUUACCUUUUUAUAAUUUAUUAUAAAUUUUUUACUGAAUCAAAAAAAUCAAAUACCAACAAGAAAAUACCAAGAAUCUCCUCCACACCCUUCUUCGUUUCUGCCCUUACCCUUUUUAUAAACCCUUCACAUCUUCUUCCUGACGCAAGCAAAUCUAGCCGUGCACGUGGUGCUCUUCUGGACAGACAUCACUCCUUCACCUUUCUGCCUCUUGCAACUUUCGGAAGUCGGAACAAUGAAAUGCCGAAACAAGAACCAACCCGAAUGAAAUAAAUAAGCCCAACCCAAGCUCUGAGACAAAGCCCGAGACCUGAAGUCCAUAUCAAAAAUUAACACUUAAACCCAAAGUCAAUCUUUAUUUAUAGCCCAGAGCAAUAUCCAUGCCCAAAUCACUAAUUAUAUUUUCAUUAUAAUAAGAAGUUUUCAUAUUAUUUUUGGAUAUUUGGAAUUAAAUUAAAUUAUAUAUAUAUAUACAUAUAUAUUUAAGUUAUUAGUUUUCAAAUCAAAUAAGAAAAAAGAUGGCAAUUAAAUUUAUAAAUAUUUUUAAUAUAUAAAAUAAAUAAAUUUAACAUUUAACAGUAUUAGGACAAGCCCAAAUCACUAAUUAUAUAUCAUUAUAAAUUUUGUAUUAUAGUAAUUAAAUUUUUAAUAUUUUGAGAUAUUUUGAAAUAUAUUAAAUUGUUUAUUUUCAAAUUAUUAGCUUUCAAAUCAAAAUAAGAAAAAUUGUAACAAUUAAUUUUAUAAAUAAUUUUAAUAUAUAAAAAUAAAUAAAUUUAACAUUUAACGGUAUUAAUUAUUUUAGACAAUUCAUUUAAAGGGAAAUUGAAUGAACUCUCUAGAGCCAAUCAAUACAUCCCAAUACAUAUAUAAAAUUAUUCCAUAGGACCAAAUCACACAUACAUAGUAUCUAGAGCCAAUGACGUGAUUAUAAAAUGCAUAAUCCUUUGGAAAAUAUAAUUUAUUACUUUUAUGAUUUAUAUUAAUCGCCUUCAUUCACUUAGUUGGAUGAAUUCAAUGACAAGCCUUUGUAAUCAAUCGUUGUUUUUAUCUCUACUAAUUGUCAAUAUAAUACUUUUAUUUAUUAAAUAAUAAUAAUAAACAAAUUUCGAAGCCAUAUAUUAUUAUUUGAACCACAUGAAAUAUCCAUGAACUAAAUCAUUAUUUUUCCAUGAACAAGACAAUAUUUCAAUGGUUCGAAAAUUAAAUGUUUUAGUAUAAUCAACAUCAUUAAUCGUUCUAUGUUGAUAUAUCAUAUUCAUGCCAAGUCUAAUACAAAUGAAGGAUAAUUAUCGGAUCUCAUGAAUUGAUGCAAAAUAACAACCUUCUUUAAAUUACUUUGUUAAGAAAUUUAAAUUUUAUUUGUGUCAUAUUACAAAUCUAACCCUUGUACCUGUCAUUAUAAAUAUCAAACUUUGAAGACACAUCGCUUAAUAAAUCAACACCGUAAAAUCUUUAACAAAAUUAUAUUUAACCAUCUUUCUUAUUGUCAAUAUGUGGGAUGAUGAGAUCCAUUUUUCAUAUAGUACAAAGUAUAAAAAAAAGUUAGGAACAUUUUAGGAUGAUUGUUACUAAAGCGAGUGGUAUUAUUAGUCGCCCAUCAUAGAAAAAGAACGAUAGAUCACUUCAAAAUAAUCGUUGAUAAAAUGAAUAAUUUCAUCAAUCAUCAAUGUCAAAUAGACGUUCAACUAAUAUGCUUUAUAUUAAAUAUAAAUAUGAUUAUUAUUUAAUGUGACCAAGAAAAAAAAGUGGUAAAAGGAGAAGAAAAUAUGAAUUUUUUCAAGGAUUGGACAUCAAAUGGACACAUAUUAAGAAGUUUUAGAUCAAUAUCAAAAUAAUUGUCAUUAAAGUGAGCAAACCAUCAAUCACCGGUUUCAAAUUGGGUAGAAGUGUAUGUACCAAAACAUCCCUUGUAUUGAAUAUAAAUAUAAUCAUCAUUUUUUAUUAUAAAGAAAGAGUGAGGAUAUGAGAAGAAAAAAUGAUUUUGUGAAGGGUCUAAUAACGAAUCGCUACAUAUUAAAAGGUAACACCAAUCACAAUAUGUCGAUACUUAUAAUUUAGCCCCCGAUUGACAUUCCUUCAUAACUUCGUCGUCUAUUUUGGUCCAAUUUAUUUCACUGUAUACUCUUUUAACAUUUUCUAUAGGCUCGGCCUAAAAUUUUACUUCUGUGAAGCGAGGUUUUGAAUUUAUCUGCUCAACUCAACAGAAUGAUUAUGUAAGUAUUGUUUCAGUUUGUUGGUGUGUUUUUCUUUGGAAAAUCUUAGGAGGAAAUCGUAUUAGGUUUUAAACUUGAUUUUCCAUUUCUGCAUUUCUUUCGGUGGAUUCCAAUUCUGAUUUGAAAUCUGGAUGAAUUAGCGUUGGAUUUGGAUGUGUAGGAUCGGAACCCUCACAUCCAAAUAGAGCCCGUGAAAGAACCCCAAGCAGUUGCUUUUUCUCUGCAACAAUUCCCCCAACUACAGCUCCCUUCGUCCUCUCCUCAUCAAUUUCCUCUACCUGACCAUUAUCUUCUUCAUCCUCAUCAUCAGAAAUCUCCUCUCAGUGGUCUUUUCAAUCCCGGUGGGUAAGAAAAUACAGGAGAUCUAAGGUCCCGGUUCCGCUUCGUAGUAUCCACACGACACGCGACCAGUUUGAAAGCGAGAAACAUAGAAGCCUGAAUUCUCGCGGAGAGCUCUAUGGCGGUAAAAUUUCCCGCAGAUCUGUUCUCUAUCAUUCCACUUUCCACGUUUUCAUACGAAGGUUUUAAUUUUCCGGGAAAAAUUAUCGACCGUGAUUUUUCAUGUGGCAGGACUCCGCAGGGACGACACUGAUGGAUCUAAUCACGGCGGACCCGACCCCAGCGCCGGGUUCGCAAUCGUCAACGUCUGCAUCUGGAGCAAUGCCUCCUCCACCGCCUCCCUCGGCUCUCGGCAAACCCGUUCACACUGAGCGGAAGUCGAAGAGAACCACUCUGAUGCAGAUCCAGGCCGACACCGUGUCUGCUGCCAAAGCUGCUUUGCAUCCUGUUCGGACCAACAUCAUCCCCCAGAGGCAGAAGAAAAAGGUUUUUCUUUCCUCGCUCUUUCUAUUCCAAUUAUGUCAAUGCUCUCUUUGAUCGUCGAGAAAAUUGAAUAGGAAAACCCUUUGGAUCUCGGUUUUUUCUGCAGUAUAAUAGGGAGGUCGACUUAGCCGAGGUUUGAAACUUCAGAAUUUGCAACUAACAUGAUGUUUGAUUUGGUUCUAUUAGAGGCAGAGUCAGUGAUUUGCUUGGAUUCUGUGAAAGUCAGAUGAAAAAAAAAAAAACAAAUAAAUAGAGAAAAUAUAUAGGCCUUUUUAAAUUUCAAGUCUAUGAGUCCUCAGUCCAAUUGUUAGUAUGAAUUCCAGCUUCAUUGGAUGUAUGUUUAGUUUGGUUUCUGAGAGAAGCUAGGAAAUUAUAAACAUCGAAAUUGAAAAAAUGGUAUUCAAAUUUCAAAUCUGUUUCCAAAAUGCUUAACAAAAUGGUAGGAAUUAUAUAGGUGUCAUAUAAUAGCUCUUUUUUCCCUUCUAUAAAUACAAUUGAAUUUCUUUUCAGUUUCCGGCCCCAUUAGGGUAUCAUGCUUUGUUUUGAUGAUGAGGAAGGGUAGGAAAGAAUGGAAUUUGUAAUUUUGAUUAUGAUACUUUUGAUUAUUCUUUUUAUCAUAAACAACCAUUUUAUUGCAACGAAGUUACAUACAAAUAACGACGAGAAAUCCUUCCACCAAGAAUACAAUAAGCUUUACAAAAUCUGAUCAAAAGAAGGAAAGUAAGCCUAUACUGCUCUAAAUAUCAAUAGCAUCUUAUGAUGGUUGCAAGCACAAACCAAAAAAAAAAAAAAAUUAAAAAAUCAAUGAAUACAACUCAGGAAGGCAAGGAAUCCUCUACGAAAGACUCAAAAUGUUUGGCUUCAUUCUUUACUAAAAGGUCCACUAAAUAGUUAGCUAAGUGCGGAAUCCAAAAAAAGGAACAACCAAACUUUGUGUUGACCUAGUUCUACUAUUUUGUUUAAUUGAGUUGAGUUAUGGGUUUUUCUUAUUUCUUCACUGGAGACAAAAAUUACCCAAAAAAUUCAGUAUUUGAUGCUUCUAUUUUCUCAGCAAGCAAAUGGAGUGAUCACCGAUCUUGUACUUUUGUUUUUGAAAUGUUGUUAAACAUUAUUUUUUGCUCUGUUGAGCGAAUUAUUUCUGGUCACUUUGUCUGAUUUGUGUUGGCAUAGUUAGUUAUUUGGUUGAGAUUAUAUGAUUCAAUAUUUUCCAUUCUCUUUAUAGCCGGUUUCAUACUCACAACUUGCAAGGAGCAUUCAUGAACUAGCUGCUACAUCAGACCAAGUAAGCAUCAGUGCUCCUUCAAUUCUCUUGCUUUCCCCUUUUCACAUAUAUAUAUAUAUAUAUUUUAUUUAUAGUUCUUAAUGUUUUUGUUGUAAUUUCAUGUGUAGAAAAGUUCCCAGAAGCAGCUAGUGCAUCAUGUGUUUCCAAAACUUGCCGUUUACAACUCGGUUGACCCUUCAUUGGCACCUUCUCUUCUCAUGGUACAAUGUUACUUCCUGUUGUACUCUCCUAGUUCUGAUUUUUUUUGGCAAUAUGAUGGAACCUUUUGUCAGUAGUUGGCUUUCAAAGAGUAUAAUGUAACUUUCUAGUAAAACAUUAUUCUACGAGGAACUCCACAACUCUUUGUUCCAUGUCAAUGAUGUGAACCCUAUCACGCCUCUAAACUGAUGUUCUAUCUUGUGAUGAAUCAUGUUAGACAAGCUUAGGAUUGUGAUUGAAUUAUAGCUUUUGUUUUUGUACACCCUAUUGUUUUGAUGGACAAUUAAUGUAUUUGUUUUGGUGGUUGAAAUUUCUUUUGAUGCUAUUAGUAGUCUUACUAUUAGCGGUGUCUGGUUGAAAAAGAGGGGCUUAAAGAAGACAUUUUUUCCCACUUUAAAGCAACGUUUGAAGACCCCUCAAGUGAGAAGACCUAACUUGGCAACAAAGUUAUUCAAGAGCAUUGACUCUUCGGAUAGAGAAGGUUUGGAGGCAGUGGUGGCAUUAGGAAUGUGCUCUACGAGGGGCACAAAUAGAACAAUUAUUUCAGGGGGGCAAUAAAUGGAGAGACAAUGGUAUUUAGUGUAAUGGAAAACAUUCUUUCCCCUUAAACAUGAGGUUAAGGGAUCAAAUCCCAUAUUAUGAUUUUAUUUUUUAGGGAGGUGGGGGUGGGUGGGGUAGGUGGCAUGUGCCCCUUUUGGGCCUUAGCAAGCUCUGCCAGUGCUUGGAGGGGCCUUUUUUGGAUUAGAAGAUGACCAUAGCACUCUCAGAAUUGGAGGGUGACGAGGUGCCAGGGCCACAUGGGUUUUUGGAAGUUUUGCUGGCCUAUAGUAGGUAGGAAAGUGAUGCAAAUAUUUGAGGAAUUUCAUUCAAAGAAUUCCAUGCUUCAUAGCCUUAAUGCAACGUUUUUAGUUCUUAUUUCUAAGAAAGGAGGGGCAGGUGAUGUGAAGGAUUUUAGGUCAAUCAACCUUAUGGGAAGCCUUUAUAAACUUCUUGCAAAAGUCCUAAUUAAUAUGCUGAAAAGAGUGGUUGGCAAGGUGGUGUCAAAGAGUCAGAAUGCUUUUGUGGGGGUAGAUAGAUUCAGGAUGCAACCUUGAUUGUAAAUGAGGCUAUGGACUCGAGGAAAUGUAGUUCCAAUGCGGGCUUGGUUUGCAAAUUGGAUAUAGAAAAGACUUACUAUGAUGUAAGCUGGAAGUUCUUUCUCUCCAUCUCAGAAAAGAUUGGGAUUCGAUCCGAAAUGGAGAUAGUGGAUCCACUAUUGUAUUUCUUUUGUGAGAUUGACAUUUCUUGUUAAUGGUACUCUCACAAACUUCUUCUCGACUACUAGAUGUUUAAGGUAGGGGGACCCUUUCUCGCCCUAUCUUUUUGCGUUGGUCAUGGAAGUACUCAACAAAUUAAUUGCAAAGGGCAAGCGGGGAGGUUUUAUUAGGGGUUUCAAGAUUGAGGGUAGAGGGAAAGAAGAGACUCAAGUCACACCAAUUAUUUGCAGGUGAUGCCCUUAUUUUUUGCGAGAAUAAUGUGGAUUAGUUGAAAUAUUGGAAGUGGAUUGUUACUUGCUUUGAAUUGGUGUCAGGUUUGAAAAUAAAUUUGUAAAAAAGUGAAAUAAUUCUAGUGGGGGAGACAAAGGAUGUAGAUAGAGUGACUUCUCUUUUUGGGUGCAAAGCAGGGCAACUUCCUACUUCUUAUCUAGGCAUACCCUUAGGGGCCCCUCGCAAGCAUUGUGGUGUGUGAGAUUUAAUCAAGGAGAGGUUUAAGAGGAAAUUGUCUGAUUGGAAAAAACAAUACUUAUCUAGAGGAGGAAGACUUAUCCUUAUCUUCCUAUCUAUUUUAUGUCCCUCUUUUGCAAUUCCUAGAAAAGUGAGAAUGGGAUUAGAGAGAAUUCAAAGAGACUUUUUCUGGGGAGAUACGAGAGAAAGGAGAUAGAUCCAUAUGUGUAAGGAUAAAAAGUAUGGGGGAUUGGGACUAAGAAGGUUGGAGGGUCUCAAUCAAGCCUUGCUAGGCAAAUAGUUAUGGAGAUUCAAAUUUCCUAUCGGUUCAAAUUUUUUGAAGAUAAUUUUGUUUGGGUAUUUAUUGGUGUGUAUGGCCUAAUCCAUGGGAGUGAAAGGGAAGAAUUGUGGGCACAACUAGUUGACAUAAAAGGGCUAUGGGAUGAUCCUUGUUUUGUGUGUGUGAGUGGUGAGAUUCUUCAGUGAACAAAGAAAUUGCAAAAGAUUAUCAACAUCAAUGAGGCGCUUUUUAGAUAUUAUAGAGGACAUGAGAUUGAGAGGUCUCCCACUAAUCAGAGGUCCAUUUACUUGGUGUGGUGGUUUGAACAAUCAAAGUGUUUCAAGGCUGGAUCAUUUCUUAGUUUUAGAAGGUUGGCAAGACCACUUCAAUGGUUUGCUAAAGAGGGUGUUGCCAAGACCCGCGUUGGAUCAUACUCCCAUUUUGCUAGAUGGAGGCGGUGUGAGGAAAGACAAAACCCCUUUUAGGUUCGAAAAUAUGUGGUUGAGAGCGGAGGGUUUCAUAGACCUUGUAAAAAAAUGGUGGAUGGUUACAAGAUUAGAGGUUCUUCAACCACAUUUUGGCUCAUAAAUUGAAAGCCUUGAAAAAUGAUCUAAAGAUAUGGAAUAAGGAUGUUUUUGGGAAUAAAAGUAGGAGCAUUGGAGCAAAUUGGUUUUUGGGAAGUAAAAGAGAGGAAAGGGGUUCUAUUUGUUGAAGAGGUUGAGGCUAGAAAAGAGGCCUAAGAUAAUUACAGGUAGGCCAAGAUGAAAGAAUCUUGUUAGAGACAAAGAUAUAGAGAAAUAUGGUUGAAAGAAGAGGAUAGAAAUCCUAGUUCUUUUCAUAAGAUGACAAAUGCACGAAGGAGAGUGAAUCAUAUGGCCAAAAUCAAGGACUCAAACACGCUUUCUGUUGUAAUCUAUGGGAUUGGUCUAGGUUGUUUUUAAUUUCUAGUCCUUUAGUUGUAGAUUUUGUGGAUUGGAUAGGUUCAUUUUGAGGGGGCAUCGUUUUUUGUUGGUCCCUCUCAUUUUGUUUGUGCUUUUAAGCGUUUGUUGUACAUUCCCUGUGUACUUUGGAGUGCUGUUUUGGCACUUUUUGUUUAUAAGAUACUGUUGCUUUACUCAUAAAAAAAAAUAUGGCCAAAAUCAAGGUGAAUGAUGUGUGGCUGAUAGAAGAGUUAGACAUUAAGGAAGGGGUGUUUAAUGCCUAUCAGAGACUGCUUUCUGAGGCAGGGGAUUGACAUCUCGAGGGCUUGUCUUUUAAUUCCCUGGAAAGUAGUGAAUCAAGGAAUGUCGAUGACCCUUUUUCCAAAGAGGAGGUCUUCAUGGCUUUGUCCAGUUUGUGUGGGGAUACAGCCACUGGGCCAGAUGGAUUCUCUUUAGCCUUUUGGUAUCAUUGUCGAGAUUUUGUGAAACAUGAAAUGAUGGGGCUUUUGAAGAGUUCUAUGAGCCAGGCACCUUCAAAUAAAGUCUUAAUGCUACCUUUAUAGUGUUAAUCUCUAAAAAGGAUGGUUUUGACUUUGAUUCUUACCCUCUUUCUACCUAAAAAAAAAAAUCUAAAAAGGGUGGUCUGGAAGACUUGAAAGACAGCUUGGUGGAAGGCUUGCAUAAGAUCCUAGAGAAGGUCUUGGCUAACAGAGUUAAGAAGGUUGUGGGAAAGGUGGCGUGUGAGUCUCAGCAUGCCCUUGUAGAGAGAAAACAUAUUUUGGAUAUGGUUCUUACUGCUCUUAUUCUUCCUUAAUUCCUUUUAUUUUGAUUGAAUUUCUUUUAUUUGUUGAAUUGAUGCCGAGUGUUUUCUGAACUGACACAACUUUAUUUUUUUCUCUCUUUCCUCUUUUAUAGUCUCUUACUUUCCUCUCAAUACCUGAUAUAUUUAUGCUUCAGAUCCAUGAUAUUAUGGUUUAUCUAUCUUUACUCUUUACAUGCUUUCCUCUCUUUCAUACUUUUAGGCUGGGAGUACUCUGUAUUCUUUUUCUCUCCUUUUAAAUGAUCUUUUAAUCCCUUUGUGUCAUACCUGAUAGUUACCUUUCAUAUUCAUGAUGUUGCAGUUUAGCAAUUGUGAAUUUCAUAACAUGGUUUCACCUGAAGAUGUUGAAUGGCAUGAUUACGACAAUCAUGCAAUAUAUAUUGCAUACGAUUCUUCAGAACUUGGUGUCUGGAGCUCAUUCUUUUGGUUUUUGAUCUUGACACAUGAUUUCUUAAUUCUGUCAUCCAUGUCAAGGAAUUUAGAUCUAAUGUAAUAGUAUGAAGUGCUCUGUAAAGAAUGAGUCAUCUAAUUUGUUGACGUAUAAACUACUAUGGUACAUGGCCAUCUUGAUUCUUAUCUGUUUGUUCAUUAUGCAGCUUAAUCAGCAGUGUGAAGAUAGGACUGUUCUGCGAUAUGUCUAUUAUUACCUAGCCAGAAUUUUGUCAGAUACCAGUGCACAAGGUUUAAGUUCUGGUGGUGGGAUCCCCACACCAAACUGGGAUGCUCUUGCUGACAUUGAUGCUGUGGGAGGGGUUACUCGAGCUGAUGUUGUGCCUCGAAUUGUAAAUCAACUCACUGCGGAGGCCUUAAAUGCUGAUGUUGAAUGUAAAAUGAUUUAUAAGUUCCUUGCUUUCACUUGUUUUGAUUAUUUCUUCUAAUUGUUUAAAUAUUGGAUAUCAGCUCCUGUUAUCUGAAGAGAUUGCUGCACAAACUAUCUUUUUAGCCUUUCCAAAGGCAAAUUAUUUUUUUUUCUAGGUUGUGCCUGAUGAUAUAUUAAUUUUUUAUGCUGAAAACAUUUCGAACUUUUCCUAGUUUAACUUUUGGGUGUGCAUUAGCAUCAGGUGUCUCUUGAGUGCCAGAUACUGGCUCAUGUGUAAAUUGGUGCUUUUUGUUGAGUCCUUUAUAGUAAUAGUAUCAAAUUGUUGAACUCCAUGGUGGGAUGUUUCUCUGAAUUCUUUUGGUAGCUGGCUGGUCAUUUUGGGUGUGAAUUUUUUUUUUUGGUUUUGGUCAAUUUUAGUUAUUCAAUCUCAGGAAUUAUUUGGUGCAAAGUAUCUUAACUUUUUUCCAAUGACAUUUGUUAUUAAACAUGGCUAAUUUGUAUUGGACAAUAGUCAAUGAUUAUUAGAAUCAACCCAAACCGACAAAGAUGGGGAUUAUACUGCUGCAAAGAACACAAUGUUGUAACUUAUAUUUUGAAAUACUUAUCCUGAAACUAUCUUUGUUUCUAUUGUCAUAUCUCAAAAAUGCAUGCUUAUAUUGCAUGUGGAAUACAAUCAUUAAAAGGGAUUAAAGGUGGUUUUUGUUGUCUGGUGGAGAUUUUGUUAAGUGAAGAAAGAAAUGUCUUUGUUUUCAAAACAUCCAUUCCUGCAAAUUAUCUUUAAAAUGAGCAUUUCUGGCUUCUAAAAGGCUAAAGGCUGACUGUUUUAUUUGUACAUGACUCUAAUGAAAGUGAUUGGGGAUAGAAUUUGACUUUUUUCUUGUUGCCUUUUUGAAGUUCAUGCACGAAGAUUGCAAGCUUUGAAGGCUCUGACAUAUGCUCCAUCAAGCAACUCAGAAAUUUUGUCUACAUUGUAUGAUAUUGUAUUUGGCAUUCUUGAUAAGGUUUGUACCAUCUAAUUCCUUCCAUAAAUAUUUGAAAGUGAAUGCAGACUGUUUGUUACCUUCUUUUUGCUUAGAUUGAUGUUUGAACAUUCUAGAAAUGUUUCUUUUACUUUAUAGGAGUAAUAAGGUGAGCAACUAAAUGACUCGAGAUAUCUUUGUACACUUAUUGUUUGUUGUAGAUAUUUUACAUGGAUAUCUGACUUUUGAAUGAGAGGGUACUAUGUUUUAGGAGUUUAUAGACAUCACAGGGAUGACUUACAAUAGGUUUUUUCCUUCAUUUUGGUCUCAUUAAUUUUUUUCCCUUUUGAUGUAUUUAUUUCUCCACAUUGUUUCAGUUAAGAAAUCAUGUUUAAAAGUUUUGUAUUUUUGAUUUCUAGGUCGCUGAUGCACCACAAAAACGUAAGAAAGGUGUGUUUGGGAACAAAGGAGGUGAUAAGGAGGUAAUUUAUCUGCUUACGGUUAUGAACUGCGAGUAACUCCUGAACUUCCUAUUUUGUUUGAUUCUCUUAUAUGUGUGUAUUCAUUUUAUUACCAAAUUGAUUCUUUUUGACAUUCUCAAUAUCUAGUACUCAGACAUUCGUUACUGAUUUGUAAAGUUUUCCCUUGAUUUCAUUGACCUUCUUGAUCUUUUCUUGUGGUGUUGGAGUGAUAUCCAUCACAUUUUUAUCACAUAUGUGUUUCUCACAUCUCUCUCUCUCUGUCUGUGUACAUGUGCUACUGCAACAUCAUUAGGAUAAGGCACAAUUUUCUCUUGAUUCAUUGAUCAUCGUCAUUUUCUGCUGUUGUUGUUAUCUCAUCUGUGUGUGUGGUGUUACAACAUUGUUAGAAUGAGGCAUGGCAUUCCAUCACCUUUGAUUGGUGAAGUUUUUUCUUGAUUCAUUUAUCUUCAUGGAUUUUUUUUUUCUUGAUGUUGAAAUGAUAUUUGUAACAUUUUUGUCAUAUAUGUAUUUCUUUUUACUUCUUAUCUCUGUCUCUCUCUUCACUCUCCCUUCUCUAUGUGUGUGUGUGUGUUGUUGCAGCAUCAUUCGAAUAAGACAUGACUUUCCAUGUACUGGAUUUAAAGGAUUAGUGCACCGUUCAGGGCAACAUAACAACAUCCCUUUGGAAAUGGAAACCAAAAAGAAAAAUUUAUUCGAGAGAGAAAUGAAAGAUAUUUUGUUCCACCACAGAAAAUUAUUUGAUUCUUGCAGUUCAAAGAAUUUCCAUAAUACAUCAGAACAAUUAUUUAUGGGUUUAAUGAUUCCUAAGAGCAGAUUCAUUCUUUUAACUAUCUGUUUAAUGGCAUCUUUGGUUGCUAAAGUUUUCUCUUGAUUCAUUGAUGUUCAUGAUUUUUUGUUGGUGGUGUCAAAAUGAUAUUCAUAUCAUUUUUGUUAUAUAUGUAUUUCUCAUCUUUGUGUGUGCGGUUGUUGCUCUUGCAUGACUUCUGAUCUUCUUUUGAUUUGUCAAGUUUUCUCUUGAUUUAUUGAUUUUCAUGAUUUCGUGUUGGUGGUGUUAAAAAUGAUAUUCAUAACAUUUUUAUUAUGUGUUAAUCAUCUGUGUACGCAUAUCAUCUUGAGAAUAAGGCAUGACUUUCCUUGUUUGUUUUUUUUUUUUUUUUUGAACAGAAUGAAUGAAAAAUUUACUGAAAGAAAGGGUAAAAAUUCAACCUGCGUCACAGUUCAAUCCUGGAUAUUUUUUUUUUUUUUUGAUAAGUAAGCAGAUGUUAUAUUAAAAAGGCAAAAAGCCACACAGCAUACAGGACGUAUACAAAGCAGCCAAACCCAAAAACCACAAAGAGCCCACAAUCCUACCUACCCUCAAUUGGACGCGAGCCACUCUAGAAAACCUAACAAUGAAGAGGACUCCUCUCCAAUAUACACCCUAGCCCAACUCCACAGAUUACAUACAAAAGAAUUUUUGAGUUUCUGUAUAGAUAAGAAUCCCCCCCUAAAAGCUAAUCUAUUCCUUUCCUUCCAAACCGUCCAAAAAAUACACAACGGGAUGGAAGUCCAAACCUUUUUCCUUUUUUUCCCCACAAAAGAACCCCUCCAACUGAAAAGCAUAUCUUUAACCGUUUCAGGGAACACCCACUGAAUGCCAAACAAGACUAAGACAAUCUCCCAAAGGACCCGGACCACUGUACAAUGUAGAAGAAUGUGAUUUACAGUCUCCUCUUCACACCCACACAAAAAACAACGGUUAGGGAACUGCCACCCCCUUCUUUGUAGCCUAUCCAAAGUUAAGACCUUUCCCCACGUGGCCUCCCAAGCAAAAAACACAACUUUAGUUGGGACCUUGUCCACCCAAAUGCCCUUAUUCGGGAAUACAAUAUCAUUCGAAGCAACAAGGAAAUUGUAAGCCUCCUUAACCCUAAAGAUGCCACUUCCCCCACCUUUCCAUAAAACCGAAUCCUCUUCUGAAGAGAUUUUGUAGUCCCUUAGCAUGUACAGCAAAUUACCAACCAAAUCCACCUCCCAAUCGUUAAAGUCUCUAGAGAAACUGAUAUUCCAACUUCCUUGGCCAAAGCUAGGGUCCCAAACUUCGUUCACCGUUGCAUUCCUAUGAGCUGCCAAUUCGAACAAAAGGGGGAAAGUUUGGGACAGCGCUGCAUUGCCGCACCAAUGGUCAGUCCAAAACCUAACUUUGGUCCCUUUACCCACCUUGAACUCUAUGUUAUCCCAACACCAAUCAACUUCCUUCAGAAUCUCCUUCCAAACUCCCACUCCAAACGUCCCACGAGCCUCAUUAGUCCUCCAACCAAGGCCCUCUUGACCAAACUUCUCCAUAAUCACCUUCUUCCACAGCUUAUCUUCUUCAAAGGCAAACCUCCAUAACCAUUUUCCCAACAAAACCUUGUUCAAACGGGCAAUCCUCCUAAUGCCAAGGCCCCCCUUCUCCUUUUGAGCACAUACCGCCUCCCAGUUAAUUAAAUGUACUUUCCUUUCCAAGCUUCCCCCUCCCCAAAGAAAGUCUCUUUGGAGCUUUUCAAGUCUUCUUGCCACCAUCUUGGGCAUUCGAAAAAGGGACAGUUGGUAGAUCGGCAUGCUGGCCAGCGUGCUCUUAAUGAGGGUAACCCUCCCGCCUUUGGAGAUGUAUUGCCUCUUCCACAAGGCUAAUCUCCUCCUCAUCUUCUCCUCCACCCCAUCCCACAUCGAGGAAGCCUUGUGAGGAACCCCUAACGGCAGCCCCAAGUACACAUUGGGCAAAGACCCCACCCUACAACCUAGCUCCACAGCCAUCUCCUCAAUCUCUUCCACUUCGCCAACUGGAAUUAACUCACUUUUGGCUAGAUUUAUCCUUAACCCAGACGCAGCCUCGAACCAAGCCAGAAUCCAGCUUAGAAAAGUCAUGUUUUCUUUCCUUGCUUUACAAAAAAUAAUUGUGUCAUCCGCAAAAAGCAAAUGAGAGAUAUUUAGCUCCAUCCUGCCCCUCCCCCAAAAUCUGCAGCCUGAAACGAAUCCCCCGAUAGCAGCCCUUCUUAACAGUGCACUAAGCACUUCCAUACCCAAGAUAAAGAGAUAAGGAGAGAGGGGGUCUCCCUGACGCAACCCCUUGGUGCUUGAAAAGAAACCUGCUGGCACACCAUUAACAAGAACAAAGAAUUUGGCAGUAGAGAUGCACCACCAAAUCCACUCCAUCCACCUAGACCCAAAGCCCAAUUUACGCAGAAUCUUCAUAAGAAAAUCCCAACUUAUGCUGUCAUAGGCUUUUUCAAUGUCCAACUUACAAAUCAACCCUUUCUCCUUACGUUUUUGCCAAGCAUCAAUCACCUCGUUAGCUAUAAGCGAAGCAUCCAAUAUUUGUCUCCCCUUCACAAACGCAUUUUGGUCCAAUGAGACCACCCUUCCUAGGACCUUCUUCAGCCUAUUUGUCAACACCUUUGCCAAAAGCUUGUACAAACCUCCUAGCAGGCUGAUCGGCCGAAAGUCACCCAAAUCCUCGACGCCUCCUUUCUUUGGAAUAAGAACCAGAAACGUUGUAUUCAAGCUCUUAACAAAAGAUUUUUGUUCAUAAAAUUCCUUAAAUAGCUCCAGGAUCUCCUCCUUCACAAAGUCCCAGCAUUCUUGCCAAAAAGCUACUGUAAACCCAUCCGGGCCUGGGGCUUUGUCCCCAUCCAUCUCCAACAAGGCAGAAUGUAUUUCAUCUUCAGAGAAAGGUAGCUCCAGAUUUCCAGCUUCUUGACUACUUAAAUGACUUAGAUGCAGCCCCUCUAUGUCAGCUUUCCAGCCUGACUCUUCUGAGAGAAGCUGCUGAAAGACAUUAACAAUCCCCUCCUUCACCUCCUGCUCCUCUGAUAGCCAUACCCCAUUAAUCUUGAUUCUAUCCAAUGUAUUAUUUCUUCGGUGUGCAUUUGCCAUUCGAUGGAAAUAGCCUGUGUUCCUAUCCCCUUCCUUUAACCAAAGUUCCCUGGACAAUUGCCUCCAAUGAAGUUCUUCCAGCAGCACCCACUUCUGAUAGUUUUCCUUGGCUUCUUUCUUCAGCUCUGUCUCCCUUUCUGAGAGGAUCCUCUCACUCUCCACCCCAUCCCAGUGCUCUACUUGAUGGAGAGCUAAAUUUUUGUUAACUUCCAACCGACCAAAAACUUCCCUAUUCCAUACUUUGAUCUUCUUCUUCAACUCCUUCAACUUUGAGGCCAGUCUGAAGCUGGCAGUCCCUCUCACCACAGUCUCCUGCCACCACCCCCGGAGUAAAUUCUUAAACCCAACAACUUUCAGCCACAUAUUUUCGAACCUAAACGGGGAUGGACCCCUCCUAAGACCUCCGCACUCUAGCAAUAUGGGAAAGUGGUCUGACGUGGGUCUUGGCAGCCUGCUCUGAACCACCCCACUGAAAUGAUCAAGCCAAUUCUGCGUCACCAAAAAUCUGUCGAGUCUAGCCCACGACUGACUCCCCCUACCCCCAUUCCAAGUACACCUCCCCCCUUGCAAAGGAAGGUCAGUCAGCUCAAACUCAUCCACCAUCUGGGCGAAUCUUCUCAUCGCCCCAGUAGUCCUUCCUUGCCUACUUCUUUCCCCUUGAAAAAGGGUGAUAUUGAAAUCCCCCCCUAAGCACCAAGGAACAUCCCACAGACCCCUAAUCGCCCCUAGCUCCUCCCACAAACACUCCCUUUCCUCUCUAGAGAAAGGUCCAUACACGCCUGUGAACAUCCAACAAAAACCAUCUUCUACAUUCCGGACUCUAUAGGAAAUUGAGAAUUGGCCCACCUCCACAUCUAACACAUCCAACGUCCUUCUAUCCCAACAUACCAAAAUCCCUCCAGCAGAGCCUGAAGCUUCUAAGGCCCCCCACCCUAGGAACCUACCCGUACCCAAGCUUCUCACCACACCCUCCGACAUAGCUUGAAUUUUUGUUUCCUGGAGGCAGAACACAUCCACCCUCUGGCUCCUAAUCAGGGCCUUAAUCACCUUCCUUUUGGAGCUAUCAUUAGCUCCACAGACAUUCCAGCUCAGAAGUCUUAACUUCAUAGGACUUCUAAUAUUUGACACCCUCUUCCUUGCCUGCCACUAACCUGCCUUUUCCCUCCUUCGUAGUUGAUAGAACACUCUAAUCUUCUUAGCUCCCUCUCAAAUUUAGAUUUUUCCAACAAAGACUUAUUGUGGAUUCUUUCCCUUCUCUUUCUAAUUUUACCCAGAAAAUCCAUGAUCUCCUUCUCCAGUCCCUCUGUGGAAAACCCCAAAAAAUUGCUGAAUCUAGCCAAAUCGCUUUCCUCCCAGCUGGCCUCCUCCCAAUCGCUACCUUCAUGAGGCUUAGGUUGGACUGGUCUCAAUUCCUCUCCGCUUACUAUAUUGCAACCAUUAUUUGCCUCCACCAGCUCCCACCGAGAAACGGUUUUACCCUCCGUGAAACCCGAACAUUGAGCAUACAUAACGGCGUUUCCCCCUGACCAGCCUCACACACAGCCCCAGAAUAGUCGUAAUACUCCCUUUCAGGAGUCCGACCAUGAAAAAAACAGAGAGGGGGAGAGAGACCAGAGACUAAUGUUCCUUUAAAGUUAAGAACAUUCCCAUACCUCGAAGCUUCCUCAAUUAAGGCCAGAUCAGUCUUCGAUUUCUCCAUAGCUUGGCUCUCUUUUUCAAAUUGCUUACGUAAAUCAUCCUUCUCCCAGAAAAUGGAAGACUCUGAUACUGGCCUUCCCACGACAUAUGGAUCUACUCUCACUAAAGAAGAGGCCUCUCCCACUUGGGCUUUACCCCCUGGCCCUGAGUGAUACUGACCCCUUACCAGCCCAAGAUCCACAUUUAUUCCACUAUCCUUGGUCUGCCCAUGAGCCAUCCUUGUGCACAGCCCAUAACUACUCGGCCCAGCCACACUGAGAGAAAAUGGGCCUGGCCCAAAGGAGCCAAAAGCUAAAUCAUUUGGGCUAGGGAAAGGGACCUCAACUGGGCCCUUCUUGGAAGAUCCACCCAGCACUGGCCCGCUUCCACUGGUCCGGCCCAACAUCCCAUCAUGGCCUCGAAUAAAGCCCAAAGGACGCCCUGACCCAGACGACUGACACUGCGUCCCAUCUGCAGACUGAAUCAUGACCUCGUAACUUGUGUCGUUGCCCUCCUCCACCACGCGUUUCCCCGCGCGUGUUACUGCCUCACCCCCUACCUCGACAUCUACUGCAGCUUUCUUCCCGCUUUGAUCAGUCGGAAAAAUCCUCAGAAGCGGUCUGAUUUCCCACCACAGGGUUAGCACGUAGCACCUCUCAUCAACCCAAAUUUCCACCGCACUAGGAAGGUCGUCACCGUUUACCUUCACCAGUAUCCGGGCCCACUGCAGCUCCUCCAGCUUCUCCGUUUGAGUGUCGACUGCCAAGAAACCCCCACAUUCCUCCCCUACUCUUUUUAGAAUGUCCCGAUCCCAAAGCGAUACCGGUAACCCCACUAUCCUCACCCAGGCCUCGCUUCUAGCUUCCCCUUCCAUCACACACCCCGUUUCGGGGCUCCAAUCUUCCACGCGUAAGGGAGUCCCCCCAACCAACACUUUCCCAGAUUUGAGAGCUUUCCUAGCUUCUUCCAACCACUCAAACUCCAGCAAUAUCUUACCCCUUUCCAGUUUUGCCAACCCUAGCUUACCCCUCAAUCCCCACAUACUUGCCAUUUGGGUUCCCCACCCUUUCAGAUCGUCACCUCUCCCUGAGUUUGGAUUCCAAAAUCCAACGAGACAGUGGUUCAACUUGUUUAAAUUACUGCUCAAGGCCUCUUUCCUAAUCUUCACCUUCGCCACUGCUUUACCUUUACUCCUUGGCGUCUGUUCCACCUCCGCGAAGGAUUUCCUCAGUUCCGGUUCCGACAACCUCACAUCCAACUGUUGCCUUUCCUUUCUAUCCAUGACAACCCCCAAAUUGCGUAAUGUCUUCGCCAUUAAAGACCAUCCUCCUUUCACCCCUCUUCCCUUAGGAAUGAAAAUGCUGAACCUUUUACUUUCCAAGUCCACCACGCCCAAACGUAGAUAGCAACCCCCUUUAUUCGCAUCACGCAACAGCGAAUAGGACCUGCCGUUCUCUUCCCACCUUUUUUCCCAUUUUUCCUCACUCUUCUCUUCUAAACAGAGGAGUAAGCACUCCAGAAACAGCCCCAGACUCACCGGUCCCAACUUGACCCACGAGGAGAUCCCUCUUUUCCUCUCCACCAUUGUAGCUUUCAUUUUACCUUUCCUCUCCUCCACUACGACCUCGAACAAUUUCGAUUCCACUCCAAAGUUGCUCACCCUCCGGCUUUUCCUAGUCCCCAACCAUGUCUCACCCUCUGUCCCCUCGCCCGCACCCACAGAUUUCUCUGCCCCACCAACUCUCUCUUGCUCUCUCUCUCUAACUUUCUCUCUCUCUCUCUCCUCCAUUUGUUUCCAGUUCAAUCCUGGAUAUUAUGAAUAGUUUAAUCCUAUACUAUGAUUUUUCCUUUUUAUUUUUUGGAACUUUUUUUUUUUUUCAGUAGAAAACAAACAUUUGUCCUUCCAAGGCAACCUAGAGAAAAGAACUAGAAAGAAAAGAUUUUCAGCACAAAAGAUGUGAGUUUGGUCACUGUAAAUGCUAGCAAUGAAGGGGAACUCAGAUAAAUCCUCGGGGAGAUAGAAUAGAGAAUAAAUCUCAACUUGUAGGCUCUACUGCUUAGGAACAGUUGGUCCUAACUUUGAGUCUGGGGCAUAUACGAUACAUGGUUUGGGAGGGCUUCAUGUAUUCAUGGUUUCCUUUAGUCCUACAGAGUGAGGCUGGUGGGUUUCCACUUUGUAAAAAGGGAAUUCUAAAAUGUGAUUUCUUGACUAGAGUUCCUCCUAGAAAUCAUUUUUUGAACGAUCUCCCACCAAGAAACAAAUAAAUGGAGAAAAAUCUGAGGAGGCUUGGUAGAUGCUCUCUAGAGGUUGAUCUUGAGGUCAUUUGUGUAUAACAUUGAGAGGAGUUGAGUCCGGUCUUAAGGAGAUUUGUGUAUGCCUAUGUAUAUAGUUCUCCUUGUAUGGUGGUGGUGUCUAGUCUUACUUUGAUCAGGUUUUGUAUGCUGAGGGGAGCAUCUCUCAUCCUUCUCUCGUACUUUUCAUCAUAAUUAAUAUAUCUUUUGUUUCUGAUAAAAAAAAUUGCUCUCUAGAGGCCAUGAUUUGGCGAUCCUAUAUGUUUAAAUGCAAUCCAUAGGUAUUUCUAAUACGAUUAUGCAAAAAUGAAUCACUCUCCUUAAAACUCCAAGCUGAAUGCUCCAUUCUUAAUUUAUAGCUACAAAUUAAUGGAGGUUAUUAGUACUUCAUUUAAUGAAUCUGCAAUAAUAAAACAUCUUACUAGUGCACUAUGAAUGGCAUUGUCCAAUUGCACCUCAAUUCCUUCAUGAAAGUAUUUGAAAGUACACUAGAGCUCAAAAGCCAUACUCUUGAAUUGUUCCCAAGGAUAAGACAACUUGAGCGGCGUGUAAUUCCUUUGGGUUGGUCUAGUCUAGAGAGUUUGUUCGUUAUUACAUUGUAUUUUCUUGUUUUCGUAUUCUUGUAGUUUAGUUUUCUUUGGUGGGAGGAUUCCUCAUCCUUCUCUUGUACUUCUUUUUUCUAUCAAUAUAUUCCUUUGUCGCUUCCUAUCUAAAAAAAUAAGACAAUCAAACUUAGUAGUACCCACCAUCUGCAAGAACAGCGUAAUGACAACUUUCUUAAACAGUCAAUUGAGUUAAGAAGGAAAUGAAAUUUUUGAUAGUAAAUCAAUUGAGUUAAUAAGGAAAUGAUAUUCCAUGGUUCCUAACCUGUCUAUGGGCAGAUCUCAUAGUCAAAACUAGGAACAGAGUAAGAACUAAUGGCUUUGAAGAUUUUAAUGGCAGAUUAAAACAUUGCUACUUCUUCCUCAACCCCCACCCUCCCACAUGCACACACCAACACAAGCGAGUUUUUUUCAAACUUCUUCCAUCUUAUCUAAGAAAAAGAUGGUUGUGUUUCUGGGUUCUACCUCAAGUUUGCACAAUCCUGGAAAAAGAAAAAGAAAAUAAUGCAUGUAUUUGAGCGUAUGUCAAGCCGCAUCAUAUCAUGUACCUUUCCCCUCCCCUCAUUUUGUGGACUUGUGUUGUUUAGCUUUAUAUGUUCCUAGGUCAUCCACUCCUUUUCCCUUUCUCCUCCAUUAUGACACAUUUAAAUGGAUCUGAAUAAUCUGAAAUUUAUCUUAUUAUAUAAUUUUUUGUGUGAUUUAUUUAUUUAAGGAGUCUGAAUGAACAAUCAUGUUGUACAAUUUUCAGUCCAUUAUACGGAGUAAUUUGCAAUAUGCGGCUCUAAGUGCUUUGAGAAGACUUCCUCUAGAUCCAGGAAAUCCAGCAUUUCUUCAUCGGGCUGUGCAGGGGUAACUAUUUUCUGUUCUCUGCUUGUCAAUGUUUGUAUUGCAUUCAAGUGUGGUAUAAGUGUUCCUUUCUUGGUUAAUAGUAUUCUGCUGAUUAUUGGAAUGAUUGGAAGAGUCAUCUGAUUUCAACCUAUUGAUUUUUAGGUGGUGUUUGUUUUUUGGUUGAAUAUUUGGCUUUUUUUAUUCUGCUAAAAGUAACCCGUUGAUAUUGUCUAACAUAACUAAAGUGAACCUAUUGAUAACAAGUUCACUUUAAUUAUGUUGGACGAUGUCAACAGUUCAACCAAAAGCAAACACCACCUUAGUGAUAUUAAAAUUUGGUUUUGUUUUAUUUUUUGUUUUCAUUACUCAAUAAUUCUCAAUGCGCUCAAAGGAACUUUCUCAGAUGCUGGAGCAUAUGAAAUCAAUUAUUUUAUGUUGUAUAUUCUUCUGUUGGUAUCUUCAUUGGGGCAACUAAAGGAUUCAGGCUAGGCUUUGGACUGUUAUAUCAUCAUCAUCAUCCUCAUUAUUAUUAUUUGUUUUUUUGUUAAGAACAAAGAAUUAAUUUGAAAUAUGACAAUAUUUUGGAGGUAGGAUGACUAGCAAAGAAACAGGUAUACCCCCCAACCCCUCAAAAAAAAGAAAAAAAGAAAAGAAGAUGAAGAAGAAGAAGAAAGAGAUGAAAGUACUGAACACACAAUACGUAAAUAAAGUGUGCUUAAAACACCCAAUAUGCAACAUCAAUGGGGCUAAAGAGUUUUCUUUGAAGUUUCAAGUAAGGAAGUUCCCUUGUUUACUUACAAAGAUGAAUUCGUCCAGUCAGGAAGACAAUGCAGCACUGAACCCACAAAAGUCUAGGUUCAUUUUGUCAGUGGCAGAUAGGAAAGUUAUGCAAAAUGUUGACAGGUUCAUGGAGGCCUAAUAAAGCUAAUAGACCUGAUUGUUGUGUCUUGGGAUUGGGAAUGGGGGAUGGUGGAUUAUCUCUUCCUCCGUUGUCUUUUGUUUAGGAGUUAUAGUAUAAAUUUUUUCUAUGGUGGGGCUUGCAUGGGUAGUUCCUAUGACAUCUUUGUCACAUUAGUUUUCUUUUGGGGAUUUGGUAGUAAUCUAGAGAGAGGGCUUUCUAGGAGGGGCUAUUCAAGCUACAUUGGGGUUGAUAUGGUUUUUUAGGAUUUUUCCAUAUUUACUCAUUUUGUGGUAGGUAAUGGGGCAAGAAUUUGUUUUUGGGAAAAUUUGUGGUGGGGCGAUCAACUAUCGUGCUCUCAGUUUACUAGAUGUUCCAAAGUUGCCACAGUUAUUUAUCUUCCUAUCUCAACUAUCCUUGGCUUCUCUUUUCCUUUUUUUUGGAACCAAAAUUUUUACUGUAACCUCAAUGACUUGGAGACGGAGGAUCUUGAAAGACUAAUAUUCUCUCUUAUCAGUGUACACUUGCCCCCAUCCAUUCCAAACACAAUAACUUGGUUAUUAUCUUUCUCAAGCUUAUUUUUGGUAAAUUCGUUUUUCCUAUCUUGGUCCAAUCCUAUAGACGUAGUUCCUUUCUCUAUAGCUGAAUUUCUAUGGAAAUCUAAAGUGUCAUCUAAGGUAAAAACUUUUGCUUGGAUGGUGACACAUAAGAAGAUAAACACUAAGGAGAUGUUACAAUUAAGAGGACCUUACAAAGCCCUCAGCCCUGAAUGAGACAUUUUGUGCUCAAGGAGUGGAAAAACGGUUGACCAUAUUUUUUUUCAUUGCAUGGUGACUUUGGGUCCUAUGGCGAAUGCCAUUUUGAUUAAGCCAAUUUGGAUUGGGUUCCUAUUAAGAGCAUAUGUGAUUUGAUGACCAUCUUGUAUAGGGGUUUUAGAAGCUUGAUCAAAGGCAGAGCCUUAUGAUAGAUCACUUUUCUUUCGUUGAUAUGGUUUGAAUAGAUGGAAAAAAAAAAUGUUAGAAUUUUCGAGGACAAGUGGAGGAUUCCAGAGACAAUUAGGGAUCUAAGUCAUUUCUAUUCAUCUUUAUGGCCCUAUUGUACCACGACAUUCAAGGACAUCCCUCUCAUUGUUGUUCAGCUCAAUUGACAUUUGACAUGUAGGUCAUAAGGGUUUGCAUGAUGAGGAAAGGAGUAUUGUUCCAAUCCUAUUUGAUUGAGAUGUUGGUAUUCCUCAUGGAUGCUAAGAUGUACAAAAGUUAUUCAAUUGAGAGGUUUUGUACUAAUUUGUCUCUUAUGGUUCUACAUAGAUGCAUAGGUCUUAAGUAUAUCCAAGAGGCCAAUCUUUUUAUUUUAUUUUUUUAUUUAGCUUUUGUAAAUCUGGGGAGGAUUCCUCAUCCUCCUCAUGCUCGCUUUAUCCAUUUCUAAUACAUUUUUGUUUCCGAUAAAAUAAAUAAAUAAAUAAAAUCUAAAAAAUAUGAAUAUAAAUCCUAAAAUAUCAGUGGUGGGUCAUGAAUGCCCUAUGCAAUAGAGGAAUCUAAUCAUUGUAACAACCACUAGUUACGUCAUACGCCACACUCUUCUCUUCUUUUUCUUUUCUUAUUAGCGUUAAAACCUGAUUUGGGUUGUGUUUCUUUUAUCUCUUAACUCCAAAAUGACACAUUUUGAUAUUGGCUUUUGGGGGGAAAAAAGGGUAAAAACAUCAUCAUUUUGGCUAUGAGGAGAAAAAAUGAAAGAUAAAAAUGGCAGAUGCACACUUGUGGAAAGCCUUGCUCUUGGUUCAAGGCGUGCCCCUUUUGCCCCUAGGCUAUGCCUCUUUAAAGGGGUUGUGCUUGACCUUAGGUGAGGUGUAGGUAGCAUUGCAUCUUGUUGCCUUACUCCGAGGGUGCGCCUUUUAAAACUAUGAUAUUGUGAUAUUUGAGGAUAGGAGGAGAUCAAUGGUGGAACUAUGAGAAUGUUUUGUUUUCUCUCAACUUUUUGGAGGCCCUUUGAGCAUCACUUAGAUGGACUGAAGAUCGGUGAGCCUCCAAAAUAAGAGAGUGAUAGAGAAUAGGGUGUGGUGCACUCCACUUGAAGUUUCCUUGAAGCUUAAUUUUGAUAAAUGAGGAAAAAUAGCCUUAAUGGUUCGCUUGAGUGGGAUUACUUGAGCUUUCUCAGAGGAAGUGGGUUUUGGUCUUGAAUCAAAGAUCUUAACAAAAAGUUAAUAGUAUCUAGUCUUAUGGUUGAGGGAUACCCAAUGACAUUUGUUUCUUGGGGAUGAGAGGAUCAUGGCAAUAGUUUCAUUAGAUGCACUAAUUGCAUCUCUCUUUAGAAUGUUAGGUUGUUUUAUUCUCCUAUUAGUUUAGAUACUCUAAUAAGAAUGUUAAUAAGGCUUUGUUUGGGAAGGGUUUUCGAAAGCAGUUCUGAAAAUAGUUCUUGAGAAUAAUUUUUUAAAACUAUUCUUUGAUGUUUUGUAGAAUAAAAUUUUGUUUAAGAAUUUAAAAUGUUCUUAACUUAUUUUUUAUGUUUUUAAAUAUGUUUUAAAAAUAAUUUUUAUAUGUAGUUCUUUAUUUUUAAUUAUUUUUUAUAUUUGUAUAAUUAUUUUUAAAAUAGUCUUUAAAAAACAAGCGAAAACAACUAAAAACAAUCAAAAGAUGUCCCCUGAAAACACUCUUCUUUUUGUUUUUAAGAAUAGAAAACUGUUUUUUGUUUCUUGAUUACCAAACGUGUUAUCUUGUUUUUUUUUUUGGUUUUGGAGGAGAGAAAACAAUUAUAAAACAAGACCUAGGUGAUUCUAGAGAAAAGGCAUGUGGUUUUGGGAUAGAUGGGAGUAUUAUUUUUAUGGGAAUCUCUUUUCAUGUUUUCUUACUUAUAUUUCUUUUUCUAAAGAAUCUCUCAUCUUUCUUUGUAUAUCUUUCUUCCAUAUAAUAUAAUAAAUAUGAUUGUUUUAUAAAAAAAGACAUAUUGGUUAGGAGACAUUGUUAUCAGACGCAUUGGUCUGCCAUUUGUUGAAAUUUAAAAUUGUUUUUCUCCUAUUUAAUCAUAUUUUAAUUGAAACUUGAUGGGCGCUUUGUUUGCUUAGAAGUUCAUUUCUGGAACUUAUGGUUAAUGUGUCAAACAUAGAUUAUUCCUAGAGUGAGGUGGUGGAAGUAGAGGCAUGAUUAACAUGUUAUCUUUCUACUUGGAUUGCCCUGGGUACUCCUUUUAAUUUGAGAGCAGCGUGUGAUCUGGUAGUUGAGAAGCGUGAGAAACAGUUAGAUUGUGGAUGAAGCAAUAUUUGUCCAAAGGAGAUGGACUUACACACAUCUAGAGCACCCUCUCGAGCUUGCCAGCAUACUUUAUGUCUACCUUUGUGAUGGGUGACAUCAAUUUUUUUGAGGUUAAAGUAGCUACAGAGGGAUUUUUAGCAGGAUGGAGAUGAGGGAGGUAAACUACAUGGCUGAGAAGAGAAGGAAGGAGGAGGGGGGUUUGUGGGUUGGGUGUGGUUUUGAGUUAAAUGAACUUGGCAGUUUAAAAUUGAGCUCAUUGUAUAAGUGGUUUUGGAGGUUCUCAGUGGAAGGAGAUUGAUUUUGGAGGAAAGUAGUGGUAGAUAAUUUUGGGAGGUGGAAGGGGGUCGAUAUUUGGUGAAAGAAAUAUCAUGGAUUGGAUUGUGUGGAAACUUGUUAAGAAGGGUUGCAAAGGUUUUUUGGGCUUCAUUUCCUGCUCAGUGGAGGAUGGGCAGAGGAUUAGGUGUUGGGCCUUUGGCUUGGGGUGUGAAGUGGGGGUUGAAUUUGGAGUCCUAAUUUUCAUCCUAUUUGACCUAGAAAUUAACAUGAGAGCUUGGGAAGCUGAUUAUUGGUGUGAGAAGGGCUGCACUGGCCACUGGAAUCCUCCUUUUAUUUGGAGAUUAAAUGGUUGGAAUUUGAAAGAGGAGAGGAGUUCUUCAGCUUUAUUUACUUGAAGCAAGGUAGCAUAUGGAAGAGUGAAAUACAUUUUUGGGAUACCUGAACAGGGGCCUUUCUGUCUGUUGGUAUCCCUUAGCUCCAAUUUGAUGUUUGCUCCUUGGAUAACCUCGGUUAGAUGGGAUUUGGCGACCUUGUAUAAGAAUUUAGAGUUGAAAUCAUUCAAAUUUCUCCAAGGCCACUUUGAGCUAGCCAUGGAAGUAGCGAUACUGGUAUUACUAAUGGAUCUUAAAAUGACAGGCGAGUUUUGUGCCUUUAAUGGUAUAAUGGAGGGAGAUUUGACAACAGUUCUUUCUUGGGUGGCAAAUGGGUGAAGAGGGUCAUGGAGAUCUGACAACUGGAUCUGAAUGAUUUUGAAUCUCGUUAGAAUGUUGGGCUGCUCAUUUCUUGGAAGCUAAAAUUGGCAAAUCAUGAAGCAUAGGCUGGCCAAGAGAGGAGCCAUCUCCCUUGUUGAAUUUGUCAGGGAAGGGAACUAAUCCUUCAACUCUAUUUUUUUUUUCUUCUUCUUUUAUUUAUUUAUUUAUUUUGUUUUGUUUUGUUUUUGCUGUGUGUGUCUGUAUGGAGAGAGCUUUGCUUUGUUUCUAGUUGCUUGUGUAUAUUUUUAAGGGAGCAACUAUUGUACUUGUUUUAUGGGAACCAAUCCUUCAACUCUACUUUUGAUGUUUUUUAUUUUUUAUUCUUUUAUUUUGUUGUGUGUGAGCGCGUGCAUCUAGAGAGCAUUGUUUUCUUUCUAGUUUCUUGUGUAGAUUUAACGGCUAUUGUAUUUGGGCUUCAUGUUGUUGAUGGCUCAUGGAGAAUGGUAAUUGGUAUCUGAUCAAAAAAAAAAAAGGGUAAUUGGUAGUUCUAGCAAUGGCUCUUGAUUCACCAGAAAUAAAUCAAUAAAGAACCCUCCAGAAAUCUUCUAAGAUUUUGUAUCCGAUAUUUUUGGUAGUUAGGAAUCCAUCUCCUGGUAUUUUAAAUUCUCAGUUGGGCAGCUCUGAUUUAUUCAGGUCUUUAUGCUUGCAGAUUUUGUUUUAUCAUCCUUUUUCUGCUAUUGGCAUUAAUUGCUUCAAUUCUUCUGUCCUACUGUAUCCAGCUGUGAUAUUUAGAUAUUGCUCUUAUGCUAUAUUUUCAAAUGGCCAAUUUUAACAUGAAUUCAUUCACAACCUCAGGGUUUCUUUUGCUGAUCCUGUUGCUGUAAGGCAUGCUUUGGAAAUUCUCUCCGAAUUAGCUACAAAAGACCCUUAUGCAGUUGCAAUGGCCUUAGGUGAUUUAAUUAAUUUCACAUUUUCACUCUUGACAUCCCAUUAUGUUUGCAUGCACAGAAUGUGUGAUAUGCACACCUCUGCAUGGUCUCUACAAGCAUUAUAUUCAUACAAAUAAUUAGCACAAUUGUUAGGAGAUCAAUGUGGACAAGUUGGUAGACAUGAUAUAUAUUUAUCACGUUCCUAGCUUGUUGUAUGAGCUUCUCUCCAUUUUCCCCACAACUGCGGGAGAGGAAUUUCUUUUAUUCAGCACUUGUUAAGAAGGUUGGUGGAGUCUCUCUCUCUCUCUCUCUCUCUCUCUCUCUCUCUCGGUCCCUUGCUCGAACUUGAACUUGGAACUUCCACAUCCCAGCCUAAUCGUUUGCCACUUGAGUCAGGACUGAAGGGCUUCUUACCUUUGAAAGUGGGGUGAAAAGUGAGAUCUAUUAAAAUGAGCCUCUAUUUUUCCUAGGAAAGAAACAUUACCAACAGCCUAACUGAAUCUGACUCAGAAGUUGCUAUAAACCAAUUCAUAUAGUGGAUGCCAAUACCGCCCUCGUGGAGCUUUAAAACCCUAUUUGGGGAAGAGCUCCGAUACACUCAAAUCAACAUUUAAACCCUAUAGUUUGUUUAGAUAAAACUCCUAAAUGUGGGCUCUACAAAGCUCAAUGUGAUUGGCAUCAAUGGUCUAGUUAACAAGACUAGAACUCAUUUCAAACAGUUGUCUUUGGUUGAUUCCUGCCUGCACUGGAGGAAGCUUAUUAAGGUGACAUUAGUAACAUGAACAUUUGUCUCUCCCUGCUCGUAGUGCUUUUAUCUUUGUGAAACAUACACACUUGCAAAUCUAUAUACAAAUAUAUAUACAUUAAGAUGUAUUCAUAGAACUAAACUACAGCGUUUUUCCUUCUCUUCUCUUUUCUUUUUCUUUUCAUGUAUCUGACACUUCGUUUUUUUCUUUUUGCAGGGAAGCUUGUACAACAUGGAGGUAUUCUUCAUAUUCUUUAUUUUCAUGAUUAAUUUUGGCCAAUUAAAAUUUUAUGUUGCACCUGAGGAGCAUUGCUAAUUAUUAUUUUUACUAUUAUUUUCAUUAUUAUUAUUGCUGUUGUUAUUAUGAAUUGGCUGUUAUCUGUUAGCUGCAGUAGAGGAGAUCAUAUGGUUAUAGAAUCCUGUUUGUGCUUAUUCAUAGUUACUGAAGCAUGAUGUGUGUGUGCAUGAGCACAUGCAUUUGUUUUCCUCCAUAAUUAGUUUUUUAUCAUAAAAAAAUACAGUGCCUUUCACUUUCAAAGCUGCUGGAAGGUUACCUACUAAUACAUGCAUGAAAAAUAGACUUCUGAAAUACCUUUCACAACCUGCCUAUUUUUUAUUUUUUAUUUUUAAUUAAUAAUGAAAAAAUGACAUAGUUAACAUGUUGGAUAGCAUGCUUUCAAAAACUGUUUUAAGAAACAUCUACUGGUAAUAGGUCAUUUUAGAAAUAUGUUAACAUAUUGUGUUUGUUUAAAAAUGUGAGCAUCGAUAAAGAAAGUUAUCCAAAAAUGACAAAUUUUUUAAGAUGCUCAUUGUUUUCAUUUUUUGAAAGAGGACAUUUUUGAAGAAAACCAUUUCAUUUAUGCUGCUAGACAGGCUCUGACUUUUUCUGAAUUAAUAGACCUCCAUUAUAACAGCCUAUAUAACGUCUUCUGUCUGUGCUUCAUGGAAAUUUGAAGUUUUUGGAUUUUGAUUUUGUUUGACCCAUAUGAAUGGCAGAAAUUUUAAAAUAGGAUGGCUCUCUUUCUGUCCAAGCAUGCAUGUUAUCUGCCUUUUUAGUUGCAUGGAUGCAGAGAAGAAGUAUGUCACUCUUCUUUUGUCUUGUCUAGCAUUUGGAGCCUUGUAUGUGUAGCUAAAGCAGAUGAAACAUUAUUCUAAAGUACAUGCUAAAAUAGAUUGCCCAUUAUGCUUAAAUAGUGAGGCCUCUCUGUAUACCAGAAUCUCUUCCUCUAUUUAAGUCAAUGUUACCGGUCACUUGUAGAAUUCAAAAUCUUUAGCUAUUUAGGUUCUUUGACAUUUUUGCAAAUUCAAGCUCUUAUGAAAUGAUUAUUUUAACUCUUAACAUAGGUUAAAUGAUAGCUCUUACAACUCAACCAGUUUUGAGUUUGGAAAGGACAACAUUGGGCACAAUUCUUCUGUUCAAAUAUCUUUCAUUUAAUGAAAGGGUGAAGCAAUUAAAUUCAGUACAUGAAACUUGAUUCGGAUCUUUUUGAGUAUAACUCUCCAGUCCAUUUAUCUAUCCUGGUUACUUUCUUCACUGAGGUGGAUAUUAAGUGAUGUGAUACUUAUUCAUGUGCUUUAAAUUAUAUUCCUUUACGUCAUUUCUGGCUGAUGUCCUCAAGUUGCUUGGGUGUUUUAUGAGUCAGGGGCUUUGCAAGAUGUUCUCCAUUUGCAUGAUGUUCUUGCUAGAGUUGCACUUGCCCGGUUGUGCUAUACAAUAUCUAGAGCUCGGGCACUAGAUGGUGAGUGCGUUUGAUUUUAUUUAUAUUUUUUGAAAUUUUAAAAUUUUUAUUUCAUUCCUUUGAAAUUUAUAGGAUGGUUGGUAUCUUGGUAUUGUUGUGUGGACAGAAAGACCUGACAUUAGAUCUCAGUUCAACUCGGUGCUCUAUCAACUUCUCCUUGAUCCUAGUGAAAGAGUCUGUUUUGAGGCAAUCUUAUGUGUAUUGGGAAAAUUUGAUAACGCAGAGCGGUACUAAUUUGUGUCAUCUUCAAUUCUCUUUCUUAAAUUUAUGAAUUUAUGGCAUUUGAAAGUUAUCAUUCUGUUUCACAUCUGUUCCCAUAAUAUUUAACUGGUCAAUUUCUCUUAAAUCUAUUCACUACAGGACUGAAGAACGAGCUGCUGGGUGGUACCGUUUAACCAGAGAGAUUCUCAAGUUGCCAGAGGCACCAUCUAUAUCAUCGAAAGAAUCCAAUACUGGGUCAAAAGAUGGGCUUCCUCCAAAGGCAACGAAAGAUAAAUCUCAAAAGACAAGGCGACCACAACCCCUGAUCAAACUUGUAAUGAGAAGGUUCAAAAGCAUUUCUGUUUUUUCUCUAUGUUCUUGACAAAAACAUUUAUGCUUAUGAGAUUAUUUUUAUAUAUGGAUUUUGAAGGUAGGAAGUGCACUUGAAUUUUGCCAACUUCAGCUAAAAAUUAGUUACUGUAACUUUUGUAAGCUGGAGUCUUCCUUUUAGUUUAAUGGGUUUUUUUUUUUUGUGUGCGCUUUUUGUUUUUUCUGUUUUUCCCUACCUAUGCUUCAGGUUGGAGAGUUCUUUCCGAAAUUUCUCUAGGCCGGUACUUCAUUCAGCAGCACGAGUUGUGCAAGAGAUGGGGAAAAGUCGGGCUGCAGCAUUUGCCUUAGGCAUACAAGACAUUGAUGAAGGAGCUCAUGUCAACACAUUCUCAGAGACUGCUGAUUCACUCGAUACAGAUGGCUAUGAAAACUCACAUUCUGAAGGUUUUUACUUCUUUUAUGUUCACUAGUUCAUCUCUUGCAUAGCACUCUUUAUGUAUUCAUCUUGAGAUUUAUUGAUUAUGUUUAAGGUGAUAAGUUUUAUUUAUGAAUCAUUUAAUCUGGUGUUUCAUUUACUUCAAUAAUGGUUUAAUAUUUGAAGUAGUUGGGUUAGCUUCUGGAAAAAACUUGAUUGUCCAUAGUACUUGAUGUGAGUGUGGCUUAUAGUUUUCAAAUCUAUGAAAUAAUUAGUUAUCUUUAACUUACUUGUCUAGUUAAUAACUUUUUUACCCUCAUGUUACAUUGUGGGUACGAAUGAAGUAUGCGACUUUUGCUGAAGUUGAGAACGUCACUGAUCAGUUAGGCUUUGAGAUUGUAGAGGAGCCUCAAAAUCCAAAUGUGAUAAAUAGUCCCAUUUCAUCAGCCUAGGGUCAGUUUUCCUUAAAACAGUUGGCAUAUCUGUUCCAUUCUGUAAAAGAAACCUAAAAUCAUGAUUAGGUUUUGUUGAUCGUGAAUCACUUAAUAAGCAGAGUGAAUUUUGAGUAGCAGUUGGAUGUGCAGGGUGUGUGGUCAAUGGCUUAUCUCUUUCUCUCUAAUUUUUUUUUUUAAAUUUUUUUAUUGUUAGUGGCUCGGUUUAUGGAGUCAAUAGAUUCUCUCCUUUUAUUGUUAGUGGCUUGACCUGAGGAUCAUGUGUAAGAACAGUAUUGUGCAAUAAAAAAAAUUGUGAGGCAAGCCUAAUGAAGUCGCCUUCUUGAUUCGAGGGGGUCAAGCAUUCCUUGUGAAGACAUCCAAGUACCUAUCUUCCCUAUUGGAACAUCUAGUGGCUGCCUGGCUGGUUGACCUAGUUUUCCUACUGAAAGAAUCCUCCAUGCCUCUAUAGAUAAAUAAGAUUCUCUUGAUUUUAGUGCUGGGGAUUCUCGUCCUGCAAGUCAAUGAGGAGAUGACCACCAAAGAAUCCCCCUAAAUGAGGAGAUCUCUAAACGUCAAAGGGGGAAAAGGGGGAAAAAAGAGCUUUUGUUGCAUAUUCCAACAAGGCUUAAAACUUGUCUUGUUUCUGAAUUCAGUACCAGCCGGUUUGUAUAAAAGCUAGAUCAUAUCCUUCGUGUAGUUUCUUAUAGUACUAGUACGCCUAUUCACUGGAAUGUUUCCAUCAAUCCAAAUCCAUCUUCCCCUCCUUGACUGCCUUUCUAUAACUAAAAUGGACUCUGUAUUCUUUGUACUAAUUGGAUGGUAAUAUUGCCGUUGGCAUAUAUUCUUAUGGUGUGAUUCUUUAGUCUAUUUGGUGAGUCAUAACUCAUCUCAUUCCAUCUUUUUUUUUUUGUUUUUCUUUUUUUACACAGGAGUCCGAAGAACUACUUCUAUGUCUAAUGGAGCAGGUGGCAAAGAUACAGUUGCGAGCUUAUUAGCUUCAUUAAUGGAAGUGGUGCGGACAACUGUGGCAUGUGAAUGUGUUUUUGUUCGAGCAAUGGUAAUUAAGGCUUUGAUCUGGAUGCAAAGUCCACAUGAAUCACUUGACGAACUAAAGUCCAUUAUUGCAUCAGAGCUUUCUGAUCCAGCUUGGCCAGCAGCACUAUUGAAUGAUGUCUUGCUCACAUUGCAUGCUCGUUUCAAGGUAACAACAUUGAGGAAUAGGUUCUGUUUGUGUUGAAGCUGCGCUUCUAGCAUCUAAAUUUCUAUUAUGAAACAUAAUUUGACCAUUUUGUUCUUCUGUUACUUGUUUCACUGAUUCCUAUUAUUGUCCAUCCAAUUGUUUGCUUUUGAUUUAGGGAAAAGUGGGUUUUGAUUACUAAUAUGAAAAAAUAUAGAAAAAGAACCCCAACUUUUGUAAAUCAAUUUUUUCUUCAUCUAUUUAAAAAUAUUUUAAAAUACAUGCAUUUUUUCAUAAGUCAGAUAUUUAUUUCCUGAAAUGACCUUUUACUUUUCAGGUUAAUAACAUUAAUUAAUUUGUUUCCUUCAUCAGUUUAGUAUCAGCCAUGUACAAAAUUUGUACGUUCCCAAUUUCAAAUGUGAAUGUUCCUCCUGUGUGAUUGAUAGACGAUGGGUUAAUGCCUGAAAAAGAAGCAAUCCAGUCUGGCUUAAGAAGAGACCAUUUUAGUUGUUUCUGAAAAUAAAAAGGGAAAAAAAAAGAAGUUAAAUUUAGCUACUCCAUUGAUACUUUUUAAGAAGCUGCAACUUCGCAUUAUAUACAAAGUGAGAAUUUCAUGGAUGUAGUCACAUGUUAUAUAACAUAAAUCUGCUUCAAAUUAAAACUGUAAUACCGUAUUUGCUAGUCCAUUGAUUGAAAUAAGGGAAGACCGUGAAAGAAGAAAAAUCAAGUGGUGGGGGUGUUUCACUGCAUGCAGCAUCGACCAUGGACAUUGUCCACUUCAUCUCAGGAAUAUUACCCAUUACAAAAGAUGAAGUGGGACCUCUGAUCCCUUGCCUUCUAAGCUUGGACCGGAUCACCUUGGGCUUUAGCAAAAUAUCAUGACAAAGACAUAUAAACAAAAAGAUUCACCAGACAAGCAGAAAAACUACUAAAGUGAAACAUAUGGGAAGAAAACACUUUUUCAUUGGUUAUACAUUUCUUAUUCGUUCUUUUAAUUUUAGGACACUCAUUAUAGUCAAUUCAUUUGUUGCAUCAUCAAUGAUUUUGUAUUCUUGAGAUUGUACUUUUCUUUAUGGAUUUGUAGUUGUACUUUUAUGCACUAUAUAUAUCUUUUCGACUUUUUCCUCCUCCAUUACACAUGUAUUGUGCCAUGUCCUUAAUUCUAUACCUUAUUUUUAUGGCAUUUCACAUAUGCUUAUGCCCUAUGCCAUGUUUUUUUUUUACUUUAUUGACAAGUUUUUCCUUUCAUUCAUACCAUAUAAAAUGGUUUUUGCUUCCUUUUGUACUGUGUAUAUACCUGGUUUGUGUACUUAAUCAAUAUUUUAUUUUCUUUUUCCUUGUUGGCUUAUUAGGCAACUCCAGAUAUGGCUGUGACUCUCCUUGAAAUUGCAAGAAUUUUUGCUACUAAAGUUCCUGGGAAGAUUGAUGCUGAUGUAUUACAACUACUAUGGAAAGUAGGUCCAGGCUAACUCCUAAGCUAUAAUAAUUCGUUAUUAUUUAUUGUAAAUCUUUGUUGUUAAAUGUUUUUAUUUUUAUUUUUGAUAGGUUUUGUUAUUAGAAUUAUAUAGCUUCCAGGAUAUAGUUUCUUGCAGCUUCACAAUGUGCUUAGGUAACAAAUUGAUAGGUUUUGUUGUUGGAACUAUAUAGCUUCCAGGAUAUAGUUUCUUGCAGUUUCACAAUAUGCUUAGGUAACAAAGUGGGGAGAGAUGAUAACAUGUGAAGGACAGCAAAUGUGUUUGGAUGCACAAAUGUGUAUGUUAAAACUUUCUAACAACCUGAGGAGAUUUGAAAUUGGUCCUUUUAUAUUUUUGAACCUACAGCUCCUUACCAAAAAGAUUCCACCAAUUUAUUUUUUCGAGUGCACCAUAAAAUGAGGGGAGAUUCAGCCCUCAAUGUGAGUAUGAUUGUGUUGUUUAUCUACUUGACCACAUCCAUUUCAUUCUGUGCGUAACAGAACACAUUCAAGUUGGCUAGGGAGAUCAUUCCGUCAUAGUUGUGGAAUUAUGCAUUGAUAGGGCAAUUGAUCCAUCAGUUCUUUGUAUUUUUCCCAUUAAUGUCCUCUUCCUGCUAAUGAAGUUAUCAGUAUUUCAAAUUUGUGCCCAAAAUUGUUCAUGCAGGAAAGCAAACUUUUUGUGUUGCUGAUGGCUUUGAGCCCCUUAAUUCAAAAAGAUUUUUGCCUUUUACCAUCAAUCUCCUGUCAAGCAGGUGGCAAGUUGCCAAUGCCAUUGGAAUAGGUAUUUGAGGCAAAAAAAGAUUUUGUGGUCUUUAUAUAUCCCUGCCAUUGAGAUGACAUCUGUUAAACUCUUCCCUUUUCCAGUGAGCACCAAGUCUCUGAAAUUUUAUUUGAGGAUUCUUUCAGAAAAAUUUAUCUUCCACCCUUGCAUCUGUAAUCGGUUAGUUGCAUACUCAUUUUCUCAUCAACAUUUUUCUGCAAAGCCUUUAAGCUUCCUUGCUUUAUUCUCAUUAACUUUUAAGUCAACCUUUGAACUAUUCGUCAUCCUAUUCCUACCUUUACCCUCCUGUGGUUUAACUAAGAUGGGGCUAACUUCAGAUUUCCCACAGAUCUCUUAUUGGAACCUUAUGUCUUAUCAUUGCUUAUGAAUAUCCAGACAAAGUUUACUCAGGAUAAAUGUUACUUUGAUAUUGAUUUCUCUUGGCCGAUCCAUCAUCCUUUGCAAUCUGUCUCACCCUAAGAAUGGUAGGCAAGCCAUUUGAGUAACUUUGACACACUUAGAAGAAGUACAAGCAGUUUAGUGGAAGAUGAAUAGAAUAGAGAUUUCUUGGAACAGGUAUUGUAGUUGAGGUUGUAUUUGAUGUUAUCAUGUGGUUGACUCAAAAGCUUCUAAUUUUAAUACAAAAACUAUAUUAUAAGGUGGGAGAUGCACGGCCUAACAGAGCACGAUGAGAUGCCCUUUUUUUGUUGUAAAUAUAAAAAACAAUAUAUUUGCUUUUACUAAAUAAUCAUUUUUUAAGUACCCCAGGUUCUGCACCAUGUAUCAAUGACCUCCGAUUAAAUUCAUACUUAUUCCCUUACUUUGUGUUAAUGUUGAUAAAAUAAUCCUUGCCUAAUGAAUAAAUUUUAAGAUUUUGUUUAAAAUUAACAAGUAAAAAAUGGAAAUUUUAUAAUUUUUGUGUGUGUGUGUAUGUGUGCACAUUCAUGCCCCCAGGUUUUGAUUACUCUGAAAUUUGCUGCCAGAUACCCCUGUGUCUGUUGACACUGGGGAACCAUGUCCUUGUCUUAAAGCCAUAGCUGCCAUAUUGUUUCAUAACCAUGCAAAUUAAGAAUGGGUUCAUAUACUCCCUGCGCUCAUCUACUUGUGCCUUCAUCUGAAUGUGGAUUAAUGAUAGCUGCACCUUUUUCUUCUAGUUUGGAGUGGUGAGAAAAUAUAUGUUGUUGAAUGGACCUGGCUCAAGUGGUACAAGGGUUGGGGGGUUUGUGGGUGGUUAUAGGUUCAAGUCCCAAUAGGGACAAAAAUUUACCUAUCGAAAAAAAGAAAAAGAAAAAGGAAUUGAUAAAUUCUGUUGAAUGUAUGUAAUCUUUUGCAUUGCGGGAGAUUACAUCCAUAACUUGAGGCCCACCAGAGAAUAAUUUUUCAUGGGUUUGGAUCUGACUUUUGGAAUUGGUUUUCCUAAAGUAUAAAGAAUCUUGAUAUUUUGUUAGUUGUCAGUAGUUAUUUCUGAUUUUUAUAGCAAUGCCUUUUCGGUUAUAAUGUUGCUUUUUCAGUUUCUUCUUGCCGUCUUUAUAUUUAAGGUUUGUUGUCUUUGCCAUUUGCUUUUAUUGAUGAGAUCUUUCAAGUAUUUAUUGACAAUUCCAUUUCAGACGUGCCUUGUCGGAGCUGGUCCUGAUGGGAAACACACAGCUCUGGAAGCAGUCACAAUAGUUCUUGAUCUACCACCACCACAACCUGGUUCAAUGUUAGGACUUACAUCAAUUGAUAGGGUAUCAGCAUCUGAUCCAAAGUCAGCUUUGGCAUUACAGAGAUUAGUCCAGGCAGCUGUAAGCAUCUAAGUUGAUGUAGAAUCUUUCUUUGUCCUUCAGUUACUGCUCAUCCAAGAAAAUACUAUAAAUUUGAUUUUUUAUUUUUAAAUCUGGAUUAAUGCACAUGCAGGUAUGGUUCCUUGGUGAAAAUGCCAAUUAUGCUGCUUCUGAAUAUGCUUGGGAGUCUGCAACUCCUCCUGGUACUGCAUUGAUGAUGUUAGAUGCAGAUAAAAUGGUUGCUGCAGCAAGUUCUCGUAACCCUACUCUGGCUAGUGCAAUGACUCGACUCCAAAGGUGUGCUUUCAGUGGCAGCUGGGAGGUAUAAGUUUCCAUCUGGUUGCUCACUUGAGAGGUUACAUGUCUAUUGCUUGUAUUAGAGAGUAAGGGGUAGGUUAAGCAUGACAUUUAUCCUGCCUGGCCCUACUGGCAUUGGACUGGCUCAAUAUCACAGUUGGGGCAGAAACUGUUUUUAUACUGUCAGUCCAUUACCAGUCAUGAUAGCUAGUAGUCUUCAAAAUAGUAAGUGUCAUGUGCCAGUUAGCUGAUUAGUAUAGUGCCCACGUACAAUGACUGGGGUUCAUCAUUAGCUGAACAUGAAUGGAGUGUGCUUCACUUAUUUGUUCUUUGGGUUUUCUUUCCUAAUUUUUACAUAUGGUUUUUUCAUAAACAUUUUGGACUUUUUGUUUAAUAGGUAUAUUGUACCAAAAAUGAUUUAAUAUAACCAUAUAUAGCCAAUUAACAAGAAAAAAAGAAAAAGAAAAUCUGCACUUAGUCUCUGCCUGCCCCUCUUGCCCUAUACUACUUCUAUUAAUGAUGGUAAUGGAAUUAAAAUUUCCAAAUCUGUUCCUUGGAAAGGUGGCAAUACAUUGUUGCUGUAGUAAUAGAAUCACCUUGCACCAUGUUGAAAUUUGUGCAGAAGUCCAUGACUAGUAGAAAAGAGGCUUGCAGUACACAGAAAAGUUGUCUGGGUCAUGUGGAAGUUCUUCACUUUGUUUGUUUGUCGUUGUAUUUUUUUUUUUUUUGGCUGCAUUAAUGCUAUUGAGUCAACCGAAUUCACUCUUUUAUUUUUCUCCUCUUCAAUUUUUUUUUUUUUUUCUUCUGUUGUUUUGCAUUCAUGCUAUUGAGUGGAUGAGAUUCAGGACUGGUUUUGAGGUAUUUUGUGAAACGUGUUUCUUUUAAUAUUUGACUUCUUGAUAAAGAAAUCUACCUCCUUUACCGUUUCUGUACUCUUUACCAGGCCUUAGUCAAUAGGAUCAAGGGGAUACUCUAGGAUAAAUCGCACCAACUCAUACACAACAGUUAAAUGUCUCUAAAAUGAACUUUUUUCUAUGUUUCUUUAAUGACAAAUCUUCUUAAUUUGGUGAAAUUCCUUUUGAAAAUUUUGUUGUCUUUUGGGUUUUAAAUUGCAGUAAUACAAGUUGGAAGUUGACUGUUUGUAUGCUCAGUUGAGCAUCACAAUAAAUUUUUUCAGAAUAGCCUGUAAUCUUAGUUUUUUUUUCCUCUUUCUGGUUGUAAUGGUCCCUCCAGGUUCGUAUCGUUGCUGCUCAAGCUCUUACGACCCUGGCAAUCAGGUCUGGUGAGCCUUUUAGGCUACAAAUCUUUGAAUUCUUACAGGCUUUAGCACAGGGUGGUGUGCAGUCCCAACUUUCAGAUGUGCAUGUAAGUAAUGGGGAAGAUCAAGGGGCCAGUGGUACAGGAAUCGGUGUUCUGAUAAGUCCCAUGUUAAAGGUUCUUGAUGAAAUGUAUGGAGCACAGGAUGAGCUGAUCAAGUAAGAGCUAAAAUUUGUCUUCUACUUGAAUUCAAUUGUGUCAUUUCUUUAAUGGACCUUAUUAAAUAUUUCCCAUUAUAUCCAGGGACAUACGCAACCAUGAUAACAUGAAAAAAGAAUGGACAGAUGAGGAACUUAAGAAACUGUAUGAAACCCAUGAGAGGUUGCUAGAUCUUGUUUCACUGUUUUGUUAUGUUCCAAGAGCGAAGUAUCUACCUUUGGGGCCUAUAAGGUACACUUUCAUCCUAUAAGAAAAAAAAAUACACUUUUUGGAGUGCAUUUUAUCUUUCUAGUUGAUGUGGAACUAACGACAUCCUGUAUUUUAUUUUAAGGACAAAAGAUCAAUUAAAACAUUCAAUAUCCAUAUAAAAAGAGGCAAUGUCAGGGCAAUUUCCCUUUUUUCUCCUUGCAAUUACAAAGAUGAUAGGAAAUUUUGGAUGCAAGGACUAAGAUCAACAGGUGUAAAUCAAUUGGAGAGACUUAACUGCUAUGCACAAUUAGCUCUUGUUUCACAAAAUUUUAGUAGUAAACAGGCAAAUUAUACCUUUCCAAGAUACAAUAUUUCUUUACUGACCAUUGGAGAGAAUAAUGUUCUUGUUGUUGUAGAUAGAACUAGCUUAUCAUAUUUGAACUCUCAGUAUACAAUACUGCGCCAAGAAUACCAUAUUUUGGAACAUAUUUUUGUAUUUUGGCUGUUUGUUGAUGAUUGUAUUCUUAAUUGAAUGAUAGGUGUAGAUUUAGUCAUGUAAAGUUCUCCAAUGCAAUCUUAAAUCAUUUGUUAACUCAAGUCUGUAUUGCUUGAUUAUUUCUUGUUUUAAUCACAUGCUUUUGUUCGUUUGCUUUUUUUUUUUCUCUGAUAGAAUUCAUUUUGUUAACAGUGCAAAACUUAUUGACAUUUAUCGCACACGCCACAAUAUAAGUGCAACAAGUGGUUUGAGUGAUCCAGCUGUCGCUACAGGAAUUUCUGACCUUGUUUAUGAAUCUAAACCAGCCUCUGCUGAGCCUGAUGCACUUGAUGAUGAUCUAGUAAAUGCUUGGGCAGCAAACCUUGGUGAUGAUGGCCUGUGGGGUAAAAAUGCACCAGCAAUGAAUAGAGUAAGAGUUAUGUCUUAUCUCAUGUUAAGAUUUGAAUUGCAUUCUUGCUUUUGAAUUAUAAUUUGGAAAACAGGAUAUAGUUAACUUAUUUUGUCUUGACUUCUUAAUUAUGAGAAUGCAGCUGUCUCAUGGGUCCUUAAUUAGCUCUCUCUAAAAUCCCUCUGUAAUUGUCAAACAUGAAAAUUGGUAGGAUCUUAUAGUUUGAAGCCCAAUAUAUAAAUAUAAAUGUUUAUGUUGUAGGCAAAUGCAAAAAAGGGAGGUGCAACCAAGUACAAAGUGUAAAAAGUGUGCCAAAUGCCAAAGAAACUAGAAAGACCAAGCAAUAGGCACUACAUUUCUCUGACCCCUAUGCAAACUAUCAAUGAAAUCUAAAAUGAGAACUAUUAACUAUUCUCCCCCAGUGAAUCCCAAAACCAUGCAAAGAGGAUUUAAUAAAAAUAUCUAUCUGCACCAACUCCAAAUGCUCUAAACCUUUAUAAUUACUUCAAUUCUUCUUUUUUCAUAUGCACUAAACCAAACAUAGAGGGUUUAACCUCAAAAUUCUAUUUUGAGUCUUGCCCACAAACUAUCUGGUCAACCCAAUGACUCCCUAACAGAAUGGGGAAGCACUCAUGAGAAUCCAAACAAAGAUAACAACAAAGUCUACAAACAAGGAGCCUUCCCAAAAUGGAUGACAAUAUAUUUAGCUGACUUCUCACUAUGCUUGCACAAGUAAUGGCAAUUUAUCUCCACCACCUAUGCUAAUAAACCAUGCGAAAUUUUUACUGAACAGCUCCCAGGCAAAAAAUCAACUUUAAACAGAGCCCUUGAAAACACAUUCUUAGCUGGACAUGAUUGGGAUGCAAUGGGCUUAAUUAAUUGCAGAACAAUUUAAUGAAGAUGCAAUUUGCUUCACUAAACUUCAUGCCAAACGAGGAAAAAAAAAAAGCCUCCACUGACCACCAUAGACUGGAUAUGCUGUAGAAUGAACCAGAGACUGCUAACCAUCCAAGGGUUCUACCUUUUAUGCAUUCCCUUCCUAGGUCUUAGAGUGUGUUUGAUAGUGAUUUUAAAAAGCGUUUCUAAUCUUUCUAAUACUUGAAAGAUAAAAAUUUUUAAGUGUUAGAAAGGUUAGAAAUGCUUCCUAGAAUCACUGCAAACGGACUUUUAGUUCCUAGUCAUAAUCACUAAAACCUGAAACUAUAAUUUGGGGAAACUGAGAUUGGUAUAUACCUAAAUAAAGUAGUUCUAAUUGGUCAUUUCCAUGAUAGGAAGGUAUUCUGUUACCACCCACUCAUAAGAUGUUCAGUCCAGGUUAGGGUAUCUGACCAAUUAAUCUGAAACAAAUGGUAUGAUUUUUGAAGUUAUUUGAUUCUUGUUCUUCUAAAUGUAUAGAAUAAAUUCAUGACCCCCAGGGAUCUUCUAGGACUCCAGGCAAUUUUUAUUGUUACUGUGCCUCCUUUAAUUUUCAAUUGUGUUUUUCUUUUUCUUGGGGCAUUUCUUGUCUUUAGUUCUUUUGCCUUAACAAAAAUUUUGUUGCCUAUCAUAACAGAUAAAUAAUAAAUAAUGAAUAAAUAAAUAAAUUCAUGAUUAGCACUCUUUUAUCUUAUUCUUAAUGUUUGUAAAUGUAAUAGACUUAGGAACCCAAGCCUUGUGUAUUUCCAAAUGAGAAUAGAGAUAAAUUUGUGAUUACUACUCUUAACCCUUUGGAUACACAAAAGUUCUCUUAACUCUCUUUUUCUGUGGAGGAAGCAUUAUCCACACUGCCUGUAAAUCAAUCAUAUUGCUUUUUACUUGAGCAAAACGUGUCCAUUGGUAGAGGUAACAUAACCAGUUCAGUAAUUAUGCAAAUGGCAAGUUCCCUAGUGCCACCUUCAACCCCGAAGUUUUUUUUUGAUUUCGCUCUCCUACUGCAAAAAUAGAAAGGGACCUGAUCCUUUUUGAAUUAGUACCUAUGAAAGAACAGAAAUCGGUUUCACCUUUUUACUGGAUAAUCCCCAAACUCUGUCAUGCUAUAUUUUGGGAUUUACUUUCUGGUGGAUCUUACUUUUUCUCCUUUUUCCCUUCCCCUAAAUAAAUUUUUUUGGUACAAGACAUACCGUUUGAAUUAAUUUGUCCAUUCCAUCUGAACAAGUGAACUAGGAUAUAUAUAUAUUUUUUGGUCCCUUACUCCCUAAUAUACAGAAGUGAGAUAUUGUGGGUUUAGCCAAGUGCGUUACCAUCAAAUAAUGGGCUUGAAUGUCUAGAGCCUUGGCCAUUGGCAUGUGCAAACUGCCUCCUACAUGGUUUUUAUAAUGGUCUCUUCCUUUUCUGUGGUCUGCUUUUAUGCUUUGGACUCUAGUAGCUAUUAAAUUUGAUUAAUACAUAUGCUAAAGAUGGUUUUAAUGUCUUUCUACCUGAAAUUUUGAUGCAUUGAUCAAUGUUUUGAGCAAAAGGUCAUAUCUCUACUCUAUGUUAGGUCAAUGAAUUUCUUGCUGGUGCUGGAACUGACGCUCCAGAUGUUGAGGAGGAGAACAUCAUAUCCAGACCUUCAGUUAGUUAUGAUGAUUUGUGGGCCAAAACACUCUUAGAGACAUCGGAAAUGGAGGUACAAGUUUUUCAAAAAUUCUUUCAACUAGGCAUCAGAGACAAUAGUGGAUUGAACUGGGCAUGCGUGUUAAUUCCUAUCUAGUUGAUGAAGAAAAUGAGCUAUUUGCUAAAUGUGCUCCUUUCAUCUUGCAGGAAGAUGAUGCCAGGUCAUCAGGGACAUCUUCCCCAGAGUCAACGGGAUCAGUUGAAACUUCUAUAUCAUCCCACUUUGGUGGAAUGAACUAUCCAUCUUUGUUCAGUUCACGACCGUCUGGCUAUGGGACUUCACAAUCCUCAGUAUGUAACUAAUUCAACGAGGUUAUUUUAAUGUCUGUUAUUUUCUAAGUGUGGGUAUUGAUUGACCUGGUUUCUAGUUAAGAAUAUGAAAAACAUUGAAAUAUUGGGGAUAGUUAUCAAACUAUAAUUCUUACACUUGAGUCAUAAUUCGCCUUAUGACGGGAGCACAAGAUGUAGUGUUGCAAUCUACAUUUGCUACCCCCUCUCAAUUCUCACAGCUGGUAUACCACCCUGUUUAUUGUUAGCAUGACUGUAUCCAUCUGUAUUAAUUGUGAUGGAAUUUCUAUACAACAUAAACUUUUCUAAUAUUUCCUUUUCUUUCUUAUUAUUUUCUUUAAGUGGUACUUUCAAUUGUUGGGGACACUAAAAAAUUUAACUUAGACCUUUGAUUUAGGUUUUUGUCAACAGGUACUUGGGGGCUGAAGUUGCAUGAAUUGCAUCCAAGUGAUAUUAGUUUUAAAUAUUUUUUUAUAACAAAAGAAGUAUGCUUGUCUUGCUUAUUUUUGGCGCUAUCUCAAUCUUCAUGCACAAUACUGAUGUUGACUCACUAGUCAAUGCAUUGCUUCAACUAGGCCCUUUGCUUUCCCUAGUAAAGGGCCCAUUUGAUUGGCUCCAGGGGGCCUAUGGUGAUAUAGGAGCUCCUGGGUGAUUUACUACAAAUCCGAACCUUGGGGACUCUUUGUAUGGUUGGAAGGCUGCCUUCCAGUGCAUGGCAUGGGGAAGAUGUGAGUGCUGUAAAGUCUAGGGUAAGGGUUUUGCCUGUGUAAGUAAACAAGGGGAGAAAGAUUAAUAUGACCUGCUAGUGAUUGGCGUUUAGCUUAAAUAUCAGACAUCUAACCAAGUUGGGAAUAUAGAUCAUCUAUGAACACAUUUUGGUUUCUGUAACAAGAGAAGAAGCUGACUAAUUAUUGGGUUGGUUUAGUGUUCCAUUUUUUCUUGUAGUUUGCAUUUUCAAAGCAGAUUUCCUGCAUUUAAAUUAUUUGGAACAAUUUUUACGGACAAAAACAGGGAGUCUACUUCCAAACUGUUCCCAAGCUUAUGCUAAGGCUUACAUUUGUUUUGUGAACUUAGUCAAGGAAGCAUGGAAGGGAUAUUCUGUGUUGGCUUUGAGAAAUAUCUUGUUUACAUAUUCAGUUGUUUGUAACAGGAGAGGCCAGCAGCAAGCAGGUUUAGCAAUUCAUCCACGGGUGGUCCUUCCUCCAUGUACGAGGGUUUAGGUUCUCCGGUUAGUGCUCAUGACAUCCUAUCACUUUGGUUUUGUAUCUUAUGAUCUGAGAUUAAGUUCUAAUCCUUCAAGCCUGUUCAGAUCAGAGAAGAGCCUCCACCAUACACAUCACCUUCUAGGCAACGAUACGAGUCAUUUGAGAACCCCUUAGCUGGCGGUGGGUCCCAGAGUUUUGGCUCCCUAGAUGAGGAGCGGGUCUCAUCUGGAAAUCCCCAAUUUGGAACGGCACUCUAUGACUUCACUGCUGGUGGAGAUGAUGAGGUAAAUUGACUCUUGGUUUUGGAAAGCCUUUCUACAUGCAUUUGUGCCGCAGCACACUUUUUUAAAUAGAGAAUUGGAACUGAGGUUUAUGUAUGAUAGACCAUAACCCCAGAGGGGAUGGGGGAGGUGGGAGUUUUGUUAAAGAGCUCCUCCUGGAGUCUAAUGCACAGUUAGUUGGAUUAGGCUUUUUGGCAGUUGGUGUUCCCAUGCUUUGAUGUCUUCAUUGAUACUCAAAUCUAUCUUCAUUAAUUAUAGUUUUAUUUCUUGCAGUUAAAUUUGACAGCAGGAGAAGAGGUUGAGAUCGAUUAUGAAGUUGAUGGCUGGUUUUAUGUAAGUAUAGUAGAGGGGAUUAGAAAAAGAAAAAGAUGGCAUGUUCCCUUAGUAUGUCAAUUUAUAAUAUGUAGAUGAUAGCAAGGAUGGCAUCUCCCUAAAGUAGUUGAAUAUGAUCAUCACACUGCUAAUACAUCUUCUUUCUAAUCUUCCCAUCAUUUAUCGAACUGUGUUUUUUUAUUUCUUAGUCUGGCGGUUUCUCUUCUGCCAAGCUUUAAAUAAAUCUCAUUGUGGGGACGAGAAUUGGUUGUUUAUAAGCAAGUCAGUGAGUUUUGUAAGAAUUAUAUAUUGCUUGGGCUGAUGUUCUUGAACUGCACACACUCUUGUUGCAGGUAAAGAAGAAACGUCCUGGGAGGGAUGGGAAGAUGGCGGGGCUGGUCCCCGUCCUCUAUGUCAGUCAAUCCUGAUAUUAACAACAUAUCUCCCAAGAAAGUCCAAGUCACCGUGCCUGAUUUUGCAUGGAUAUGAUGCGCUUAUAUCUGAUCCUGAAGUGUUUUCGGAGGGGCUUCAUUGGCUAUUCAUCUUAUUAUUCGUUUCCUAGUCUUAUCAAAGAUAACAGUUGAAGGAGAUGUUUCGUUUGGCCACACUUGGGUAUCUUGAUCAUCCACAUUCUUUUGGAGCUGAGGGAUUUACGUAAAAGAUUCUGCCACUGCUUCCAUCUUUCAGUUUUUGUUCUUAUUUCUACCUUAUAUAUUAAAAAAAAAAAAAUCCAAGUUCAUUCGGUUGCCUUCUAACUCACUUUUUUGUUGUGUGCUUAUUGUAGUUACGGGAGGACCCAAUCCUUUUUGAGUGAGGACCAAACUAACUAUAUUCGUUUUGCUUGUAAAUUUAGUUUCAUUACUUGCUACUGCGUGGCCAUUAAAUAUAGGAGAUGAUAUAUACAUUUCUUUUCUUUUUAUUGUUAUCCAUUUGAAGCUGAGGAAAUAUCUUUUUCUUUCUUCUCUUUGAUGCCUGUCAUUUUUCUUGUCUUUCUGUUUUUUGUGAUUAUUAUUUCAUUUAUUUUAUGGAACUCAUUUCUUAGAUGGAAAAUCAGUGUUGUACAAAUUUUCAGUAGCUCUUAAGGGAUUUCUUUCUGGUAGCUAAAGUUAGAUGUCUUUUUGUAUGACUUGAAAUAUUGAGUUAUGUUAGCCGGUGAAUUGGGGAAAUUUUUAAAAUUUUAGAAAAUACGUCAAAUUUUAAAAAUAACGAGUAAAACAGGUCAUCAAAAUUGAUUUUUAAGAUUUUAAACUUAUCAGAAGUAACUAAAGUAUUGGGGUUGAUAUUCCAUAAUAUCCGAAAAUAUAACUUUGAUAUAGAAGAUCGAGAGUAUUUUUGUUAGGUGAUGUAUUAAAAGAGGGAACAUGAUAUGUCAAAAAGAAUGAAAAUUGUAAAAAGGAAAAUAUAAGAAAAUUUUUAGUUGAGAUUAUUUUUAUAGUGUAAGAAAUAUAUAUAUAUAUAUAUAUAUAUAUAUAUAUAUAUAUAUAUAUAUAUAUAUAUAUAUAUAUAUAUAUAUAUAUAUAUAUAUAUAUAUAUAUAUAUAUAUAUAUAUAUAUAAAAAAAAAUAUAUAUAUACUGAAAAAAAUAUAUAUAUAUAUAUAAAAAAAANNNNNNNNNNNNNNNNNNNNNNNNNNNNNNNNNNNNNNNNNNNNNNNNNNNNNNNNNNNNNNNNNNNNNNNNNNNNNNNNNNNNNNNNNNNNNNNNNNNNUUUUGUAUAACUUGAAAUAUUGAGUUAUGUUUGCCGGGGAGUGGGGGAAAUUUUUUAAAUUUUUGAAAAUAUGUCAAAUUUUAUAAAUAUCGAGUAAAACACGUCAUAAAAAUUGAUUUUUUUGAUUUUUAACUUAUCAGAAAUAAAUAAAGUAUGGGGGUGGAUAUUUCAUAAUAUCUGAAAAUAUAUCUUUUAUAUAGAAGAUAGAGAGUAUUUUUGUUUGGUGAUGUAUUAAAAGAGAGAACAUGAUAUGUCUAAAAGAGAGAAAAAUGUAAAAAGAAAAAUAUAUAAAAAUUUUUAUUUGAGUUUAUUUUUAUAUAGAAAGAAAUAUAUAUAUAUAUAUAUAUAUAUAUAUAUAUAUAUAUAUAUAUAUAUAUAUAUAUAUAUAUAUAUAUAUAUAUAUAUAUAUAUAUAUAUAUAUUAGUGUACAAAAAUAAGAAAGAUAAUAAGAAUUUUCAGUAAAUAAAUUAUUUAAUUAUUUAAAAAAAAUAAAGAAAUAUGGAAAAAUAAGGUUGGAAUAAAAAGAAAUAUUAGAAAAUUUUAAUAUAGAAAAGUUAAUUUAGAAAACAGAAAGUUGAAUUUACUUAUUUUCUAAGAGAUUUUUAAAACACAUCCAUCAUAUAUCAAUUUACAUUCAUAAAAAAAUAAAAUUAAAAUAAAUGUAAAAGGGUAAUAUCACCUCUUUUAUUAUUUAUUAUAAUAGAUGAUUUAAAGUUGAUAUAUUUAGGAUAUUUGUAGAUUUUUUUAAAAAUGCCUUUCCUAUCCUCAAAAAUCAAGUACUUUUUUUUUAAUUCAAUAAAACUUUUUAUAUCUAUUCCACUAAUUUUAAAUAGCAUAUGAUUUAAAAUAUAUAUAUAUAUAUAAUAUAAAAGUCAAGAAAAUAUUGUUUUCUGGUAAAUGAUGAGUUGCUAACAAUAUGAAGGCCAAAAUGCAUAAAAUAAAUCUCUCUAACACCAUUUUUCAUAUAUAUAUAUAUAUAUAUAUAUAUAAAGAGGAUUCUUCAAUUAGAAAAAAAGACUAAAAUAAAAGUGGAAGUAUAUAAUUACUCAGCUAUACCAUCAACGUAUAUCAACUUAACGGCGAAAGCAUCGCAAAGCCAAGACACACACAAUGAUACAUAAUAUUCCAUGUAUAAACUGAUCGAUAAGCAUGCAAAGCUGCAUUUUUCAGAACAUAAAGAGAGAACACAGUGCAAGACUUUCCUGGGGCUCCCAAAAUAGUUAUUCAAAAUACAACUACAUCAAGUCAGUUUAAAGCCUUGAAAAUGAAAUAUAAUCACUUCACCAAAAACGAGAGAGAAAAUUAAGAAAAAAGUGAAAAUAUUGCCAAGAAAAAUGGAACCUCAUAACUAGUAUCCGUAUUGGAAAUGGUAGACGUACCAGAUUUUGGUGGGACUAUUGGGUUGGAGAUUCUAAGCUGAAGGAGCUCUUUCCUUUGCUCUUCAGAAUUGCAACCUAUAAUUCUGCUGUAGUGGCUGAUCUUUGGGGGAGACAAGGAAGUGGUGGCAGGGGAUGGGAGGUGCACUUUAGAAGACCUUUUCAUGAUUGGGAAUUGGAGGAGGUGAAUCGUUUUCUAAUUCACAUCUCUACAGUAAAGGUCCAAGAAGGGGAGGAUUCUCUAAUUUGGAAGAUUGAGAGGAAAGGAAAGUUCAAUGUUAAAUCUUAUUAUUGGUUUUUAAAGAUGGAGAACAGCUCCUUAUUUCCAGCAAAUGAGGUAUGGGGUUCGUGUGCCUUUUUAAGAAUUCGUUUUUUUGCUUGGGAAGCUGUUUGGGAUAAAAUUUCUACUGUUGAUAUGUUAAUAAGGAGGGAUUGAUGUAUGGUUAAUAGAUGCAAUCUUUGUAAAGAGAAUGAGGAAUCGGCGGAUCAUAUUCUAAUUCAUUGCGGUAAGACAAGGGAGCUUUGGACUGUGGUACUCUCUUCUUUUGGGGUGGUGUGGGUGUUCCCGAACUCAGUGAGAAAUUUGCUUCUUGAAUGGAAAAUUAAGGGCCUAGAAAAAAAAGGAGUGUAGUUUGGAAAAUGACGCCUAUUUGUUUGUUUUGGUGUAUUUGGGGAGAGCGGAAUAGAAGAGUGUUCCAAGAAGAAGAGAAGUUAGAUACGAGCUUGAAGAAUCUCUUCCUUCGAUCUCUUCUUGAAUGGUCUCAACAGUUCAUGGACGUGGACUAUCUCUCUUUUAUGAAUGUGUUGGGUGGUUGAUUUGUUGGUCAUCUUUGACAUUUCUAGGUUUUUGUUUCUCCUUUGUUGCCUUGGAUGAGGCUUUCUUCGUAUACUGCCGGUGUACUUAGGGAGCGCCCCCUGUUUUGGCGUGUUCUAAUAUGAUUUCUUCUCAUGGUUUAUAAAAAAAAAAAAAAAAGGAGUGUCUUGCCUGUUGUGCCUACAUCUUUGCCCACAGCAUCGAUUCCAAGAGAAGAACUGUUGCAGUCCCGAAAAGAAUGAUGAAAAGGUUGACCUGAACUAAACUUCAACCAUAAAAGCAAAAGUACCUAGCCACUGCUUAGAGUACUGAAACUGAAACGCAACUGCCCAUUCCUUCAAUACCUUGCGAUAUUCAUUUGGUGUCCCAUGAGUUUUGGUCGCUAUUAUAAUAAUGAAACAUCAGUAAUGGAGCCUGAUGCUUCUCCUUGAACACCCAAACCUACAAAUAAAAGAUCCAUUACAGCCAGAUGAUAAAGUUUUGAUAUUAUUGGUCAAUGGUCCCACAUCAAACAUUAUUAAACAUAAUAGUAUAGCCUGAGUCCUAAUUAAUAAAUUCAAAAUUUACCAAAAAGAAAAAAAAUAAAAAGAAAGUUUUUGAUACACUAAAUUAAGUACUCCAAAAAAAUGCUAUUCCUAAUAAAUACAACACUCAAUGAAAAAGAGAACUAGUCUUAUCAUAUUUCCUUUUUCUUCUUUCUUUUAAACACCCAUCUGCUUUGGCAAUCAUUUUAUUUAUACAUAAAAUAGAUGGUUUGAAUGCUUAUGCUCAAUGUAUGUUUUGGUGAUUUUCCAAUUGCACCACAAAAUCAUCCAAGCUACAUCAUUUCCACCAGAAGAAAAAAGAUCACCUCAGCAAGAAGAUCGACUAUAGAAGUCAGCAUUUAAUUCCAUUAAGUUUCUUGAUACUCAUAUUUAUGGUUAAGAAUAAAUGUGCACUAAUUUCACUCUUUAUCAAACCCCAACCAAACCAUCACAAGUCCAUUUCUUCCAUUAAUAUAUAUCUUUUGACUAAAACAUCAAGAAUAUUACAAAACUGCUAAACCCCAACAUCACAGCAAACAUAAGCAAAUGGAAAACCAUCUACAUGCAUCAACAAUUAAGUAAAAUAAAAUGAAAUUGAGUGUAACUGUAUAUCACAUAGCACUCCCUAGAAAACCAAUGGAAGUUUUUCCAGCUUCUUGCAUGGGUUUACACCAAAUUUAACAGAAAUUUAACCAGUUUACUAAAUGAGUCAACCUGAACUAGACUGUGUUUCAUUUGGCCUCCAAGGUGUAUGCUAGUUGUAUUGUAUAACGUUUCUAUAUGCAACCAUAGCAUUUGCUAAAAUAUCAAUGGAAGUUUUGAAAUCAGUUAUACCAUUUUUCAACUUUACUUCCCACCUGCAAUAAAAAUAAAUAAACAUAUAAACCAAAAUCAAAGAAGAAAUAUUGAAUAAAUUCAAAUCACCCAAAAAUCUUUUAUGUUCUCAUGCCGUUCAUCUAUUAAUAUACCAUCUGGAAGCCUGCCAUGACCAAAGAGCUAAGAAAUCCGAAUUAAAAGAUAUUAAUUGCAAGGAGUCCCCACCCUCUAAAUAAAGCGAGUGAUCACAUAGAUAGCGCAAACUUAUUACCUUAGUGAUUUUAUUGUACCAGCAUCAGACUGUUAUUCAUCAGCUUUUCCAAACCCUAGUCAAGUCAAACAGGGAUUCCAAAUGGCACUGCAGUUGUGAAAGGCCUCAGACAAGAGCUUAUUGCUCUUAAUUACAACUCAAUCUAAAGGAAAGACUGAAAUAAUUUCAACCAAUGCAAUGCCUUCAGCUGGCAAUAGUAUUUGCGAAAUCAGAUAUUGUUUAUACAUGCAGAAACACAUAUCGGUAUGCAACAAGCAUAUGGCAAUGGCUCGUUAAUCAAAACAAAAUGAUACCUGGUAAGAAUCUUUUAUUUUACCAAGGUUUUGCAUCGUUUCCCUUAAAUCAAAAAUCUAAUUUCCCGUCAUCUGCGAUAAAAGAAAAAGACACGGAGCAGAUAAAUUCCAAACUGAAAACCCUCUGUUUGGUUGACAGUAAAUAUGAUGAAAGAAAAUCAUAAUAAAAUUUUCUUUUUGCAUUUUUUUUUCUUUUUAUCUGUUCCUUAGAAAAACAAAAACACAACCUAAAUUGAGCCAAAUAAUCCUACAAUACAACUUUAUAUUUUUCUGUCUCAUGGCGACCAAAAAUUCAGAGUGUAAUAUAGGCUGAGCUGCUCGGAAAAAUAUAAUGCUAGAAAAGAAAAGAAAGAAAAAAGGCCUAAAAUUCAUUUCCCUCAUUACUUUCAAUUCCUUUCCAGCGGUCAAAAAAGGCUUAAGAUCCAUUUCCUUCCCUAAUUUCAAUCUUUUUGCGAGCCAUAAAACGUAUAACAAUAAGGUUUUCCAAUUCCAUUUCGAUUGCAAAAGCACACUUCGAAAUUUAAAGAAUUUCUUCCAUUAAUUUAAUCUUUUUCCAGCGAUCAAUCGAGCUCAACAUUAUGGUUUUCCAUUUCGAUCUCGAUUGCCAAAAAAUCACUCCACAAUGUUAAUCAUCUCGUUCAUCAAUCUCAAUCCAUUUCAAGCGAUCAACCGAAGUUCGACAUUACGGAUUUCCAUUUCCACUUCGAUUGCCAAAAAAACAAUUCAAAAAACGGAAUCUCUUUUACUAGAACAAUAAAUAAUAAAAAAAACCUACAAACACAAAAAACAGCUAUCAAUGGAUGCUUCUACAGUUUUACUACAAGAACCGAAACAAUCUAAGAAAGAGAAAUACGCUGCGAUAAUCAGAUAGCACCGGUCUGUUAUCCGAUUCCGGUGACGAUGCCGCGAUCUCCGAGGACGUCGUUUAUGGUUUAGGGUUCGAAUGGAGCAGGGCACCACAGCAAAAGUAAGUUUCGAAAUGUGAAGAAAAAGGCGGGGGGUUUCAUGUGAAUGCCAUUUCAACUGCUUUAUAUAUACAUAUAUUCAUUUUUCUUUUAAUAUUUAAAUAUCAAUCUUAUCGUGGCCGUAAUUUAAUUGGCGAGAGUUGCACGGCCCGCACGGGUGUCUGACCACGUCAUCCUCAGGUGAAGCAGUCAUUUUCUCACUUUUGUUUGCGGAAUUACUGAAAUACCCCCUCUCUUACCUACUAUUACAAUAAUAAACUCUCUCGUCAAUACUUCUAAAUUUAUCCACGGCUAGAAUUAGAGACUCCUCCUAUUUAUCAAAUAUAAUCCGAAAAUAUUUUUUUAUUAAAAAAAGAAAUACGAAUAAAUUACAAAAAUCAUCCUCGUAUUUUAAACCUUUUUUUUUUUUAAUAAUAUCAAUUAUAUAAAAAAAAAUCCAAUAAUAUUAUGCAAAUAUAUAUAAAAUAUUAAAUUAAGGAGCCUUUGGAGAGUGUUUGGGUGAGUGGUGGCAUCAUGCUACGACCAUAUCCAUCAUUGCACCAAGACUAAGGCCCGUGGCCGAUUAUUUAUGAGUAAAGGGAGGUGGACCAAGAGCAUCACCUCCACCAAAAUAUUUUAAGGUCCAAGUGGAACCUCCUUUUGGGGAUGACGAGGGAGAUGCUAUUUGCAUAGUUUGGUCAAAUCUUAGAGGAUUUGUUUGGGAAUUACCACCAAACAGUAAAAGUACUUUAUUUUUUAAAAUAAAUUUGAAUUAUUUUCAAGUAUUUUUUUAAUGGAGUUUUUAAAAUUUAAUUAAACAUACUAAUAAUAUUUUCAAAAUUCAUUUUAUAAAGUAUAAAUUGAGAAAAUCAUUUCUUUUUAUAGUCUUCAAAUAAAUUUUAUUUUAAAAAAAUAAUUGAAAAUUGUUUUUGCAACAACUCCUUUUGGCAACAUUUUCAAAAUCUAGUUUUGAAAUUGUUUUCAAAAAAUAAAACAUUGUUUGAAAACUCAUAUAAGAAAUUAGUUUUUUAGCUUUUUUUUUUUUUUAGUUUUCUCUAUAUUUUUAAUUAUAAUUCAAAACAUUUAAAAAAUUAAAAAUACUUAAAAUAUAUUCUAAAAUGUAAUAAAAUUUUAGAAUAAAUUCAACUAUUUGCAAUUAAAAAGAACUAUUUUUAUUAAAAAAUAAUAUUUAAAAAAAAAUUCUAUAAUAAAACAACUUUCAAUCGUUUUUAGGAACAAAACUAUGUUUAAAAAUUCAAAUAUAAAAAGGAUUAUAUAAAUGGGAAUGCUUGUAGAACAUUCUCUAUAGUUUAGACUGUUGAAAAAGGUGGUCUAUUUUGAAAACAAAUUCUCGAAAACCGUGUUUUCAAGAACUGUAUCCAAACAGGUUCUUAAUGGCAUUUACGUAGUUUUCCAAUAAACAAGGGGACUGCCUCGUAAAACAACACUUAUAUUCAUCUAUGUUUUACGGGAUGUGCGUUUUGGGCUUCUAGAACCAGAACCAAUCGAAAUUCUCUGUAAAUUAAAUAAUUAUUAUUUUUUUAUUAUUUUUCUCUCACCACUGUAUCCACCUCUGUCACGGUCUAACCUCUCCAACCCCUCUCAUCUCUCUGCUUCAUCUCUCUGAAAACCCUAAUUCGGAGUCGCCGUUGGAUUUUUCAUCUCUGUGAGCGACAACGACCAGGUGACGUAGCAUCUUCAUAACGUGUGGAACUCUUACGGGUUCGAUCUUCGGAAUUUGAUAUGGUUGUAAUGGCGUGUGAGUACUCGAUUCGAUUUGUGGAAUUUUCUUGAAUCAAGGUCGUGGCGGCGUGGAUUGAUGUUAAUUUUGAUUGAAUUGUUUGUUUUGGGUGUGAGUGUGUUGAUUGAUUAGGGAAUUCGCCCGCUUUUAAAAAAGCUGGGGUUGGAUUCUCUGCAUGCUGUUGGUUUGAAUUGUUUUUUUGUCUUGGAUUGGGUAUUGGUAAUGGUAUGUUUGGUUGGGGAGAAAAAAGUGAGGUUACGAGAGGGAAAGACGAUUUUGUGAAUUGAGGUUAGGUUUUGAAUUUUAUUGUGCUCAACUCACAUGAAUGAUUGUACGAGUUUUUGUUUGAGUUUGUUGCUGUGUUUUUCUCUGGGAAAUCGCAAGAGGAAAUUUUAUUGGGAUUCAAAUUUGAUUUUCCUUUUUUUUUUCUUUUCAUUUCUUUGUAAAUUCCAAUUCUGAUUUGAAAACUGGAUGAAUUAAUGUUGGAUUUAGAUGUGUAGGAUCAGAACUUGGGUGGGUUUUCAAAUUAUUUUUAUUGAAUUCAGAUUUUGCGUUGGGUUCUUUCUUAAAUGCUGUACUGAAGGUUUGAUUGUUGUUGUUAUAGCGUGAACGUAGUCAGAACUCAUUUUAUCCAUGUAGAGGAAUAACUUGCUGCGUUGAAAAGCAAUUUAUUGGAAGAGGACUGAUGGAGGCUAACAUUUGUGACAUAAACCACUUGGAUGCGGAUGUCCUUUUGCCUCCUCGAAAGCGACUCCUUGCUGGAUUGAAGAAACAGAGUUCUGAUGGGGAUGCCACUUUGCAUCCGUCUCCAAUUGCUAUGACUUCAAAUGAAUUUGAUGCCCGGCUGAACAAGCUGCUGAGCUCUCAUUUGAAAAACCCUAGUUUAACACCUGAGGAGAUCGUGGAAGCAUCAAGAUCAGCUGCCAAAGCUGCAGCUAAGGCAGCUGAGGCAGCAAGGGCUGCUGCUGAAGAGAAGGCUGCAAUAGCAGCAAAAGCAAUGGCUGCAGCCAAGAGUGCUUUAGAAUUGAUUGCUUCUGUUUCUGAAGAGACGUCCUCUAAGGAACGAUAUCUGAAGAAGAAUAAAUCAAAGAAGCAUGUCCCGGUUCAGCUCUUGUACAAAAAGCACCAACCAGUUGAGAACUACAGGACAGAUGAGGAAUUAGCCCGCAAGUUACAUCGUGCUAUGAACAGCUCUCCCAGAAUUUCGAAGAACUCUUCAAGUUCUGACUGGAAGAAUCAUAAACACAAGAAGCCUAAAAUCUUUCCAGCAGUUGAAAAAACCAGAGUUCCAAAUGGGGGUAUGGUAUUAGAAGGUAACUCACCUUCUACAUGCAAUGGGAGUAGUAUAGCCGGUGAUGCGGAUUCUCAAAACUCGGCCCGGGAGGUAUAUACUGUUAAAGUAGAUGAAAGAGCAUUACGAUCUCACAGAGCUGACCAAUUAGAAACAGAUAAUGGGGAAGCAGGUUGCUCAAAGGAGAAAAACUCAGAAGCACUGGAUCAUUUGAGUACCACUGGCCGAAAGAGGGGAAGAAUUAAGCUAAAAAAGUUGCCCUUAAGCAUUUGUACUAUUAGGGAUCGAGCAAACCCCAAGGAAGAGCUGAAAUCUAGAAGUGCCCCAAUGACUGAAGAGAACAUAUUCAAACAAACAGUCAAACCUACUGCAGGCAAUAUCCCUUUGUUUUCUGUGGGGCCUUCUGCAGGCAGUGUGAUGCCAGUUGAGGCAACAACAAUGUGGAAAUGCCAAGAGUUCAAAGCACCAGCAUGUGUGAAACAAAAUAAAGUUGUGCAGUCAUAAAGUUGAAAUCCUAUUAUGACUGGUGGCUACCAUGAUAGUUGAUAGCUGAGGUAGGAUCCAUAAUGCUUUUCCUAUGGAAUCGGCCCUGUUAAAUUUGUCUUUUUACUUGUCGUGGCAAUGUAAUGAAGUUGAACUGACUAUGAUGUAUAUUUACUGUUUUAAUUGCUUGCAUCUACACAUUACAUCUCAUGCAUUGCCUGUUGCCUUUUUGACAGCAAAUCUUGAAGUUAACAUAGGAUGAAGAGGAAUGCAAUAAAUGGGAAAGUACUUUGUUGAUAUAUUGAGUGUGUGCCCUGCUUUCUUGUUCUGAUAAUAGAUGUACAUAUCAACAGAAUGCUUUAUAGGUGUUGUAUUUUUAGCAAAUCAAUGUUCUUCGACCAUGGUGCUCCUUGUUUAGAUCUCAGGAAGAAUGAGAGAAAGGCAAGGAAUAUGCUGAAAAUUACUUAAAAAUUGACUCCUUUUUCAUUUCCUCGUCUAUCUGUCAUUCUUUAUGAGAUUCAAGCAAACCGUUAGGUCAUGCAUGAAAUUGAUACCAAAAUUGUAUGAUUUUCUUUCACAUGGAAGUAUAAGAAAAUAAGGAAAGCUCCAGGGGGGAAAAGUUACCCAAGGUUUUCUAACUUCAUCUAACUAUGAAGUUCACAGUCGAUAUCUCCUAGACAGGGAAUGUUAGCUUGAUCAAUAGGCUUUAUUAUGAGAUUUGAUUUUAUUAUAGCUCCCAUAUGAUUAAAUUUCUACACGUAAGCUAGAGAGAUUUGUGGCAAUGAAUUUGCCAGACUUGUGGUAUAUUUGUGAUGGUGAUAGGCUUUCUGUUCAUUUAGGAGAACUAGUCCUGGAUGGUGAUGUAAGCUGUUUGAUCUAGGUUAUGCUGUCGGCAAUAUAAAACCAUAAAAAACUUAACAAUGGUGCUCAUAUGGAUUUCUAGUGGCAACUUUUCUUUAAUUAAUCUGGGUAACCUCUAAAGGUGCUUGUGAGGUUUUAUGACAGUGACUUCCAUUUCACUGAUCUGGAUAUCCUUUUAUGUUUGGAUAUUUAGUUAUGUAAAAAGGUCCAGAACAUUAUUAAUUAUUUUUCUUGAAUGUAACUACCAUCUUUUCAAUUGUUAUACCGUUGUAUCAGUUUAAUAUACUUCCUUGUAUUUCCAGCCUUAAGUGUGAGUGUUGUGAACUGUCUUUUCUUAGUUAGACAACUAGAUGUGUGAACAAAAUAUGAAGAGAUGGUCAUCAAACAAGCAUGGAAGAGGAGAAGCAUCAGCAUUUCUUAACUGAUCUGCACCCCUGAGAAUAGUAUCUUGGCAUACCUAGUUUAGUAGUAAUCUUCUUCAGUUACAAAUACCGUUUAUUUUGAGUGUGUGCAAGACUAGGGUUCUGUCUCGGGGUCAUUUUCAUCACAAACAGAAAGUGAGGUUACAUUGUUGCGAGCUAUCAGGUACUAAGUUCCUACAACCAUCAGGACCUGUUCUCCUUGUGUUAGAAUGUAGCAGGUGCCAUCAUCACCAUUCAAAGGUUGUUCCUCCCCCAGUUGGGUAAUACCUAACCGGCAUGCUGAUGCAAUAGAUACAUAAUUGGCACCUACUAGGUAAUAUCCUCAAACUCAUACGAUUCUCCCAUGCUUCAGCAUCUUCUAUACAGAAAAAAUGAAUUGCAGUUCCUCCCAGUCUUUUAGAUCACUUCCUCUGCAACAUUUCCUCCUAAAUCUUUGUUUCUCUGUGUUGAUAUGACAUUUAGCCAAUGCUCGUGUGCAGGCAUGUGUUCUCAAGUACUCUCAAUGUAUCCAUUUAUGCUGGUAAAUUCUUCAAAUUUGUUUUUAUAGACUUGGUCCAUGGGUGUACUUUCAAUUUAUCCAUCUAUGCCUCAGAAUUAAUAUUCUCCUAUAUGAAUUGGCAUUAUUUAUUUGACUAGCUGGUGACAUGUAUUCCAUAUGUAAUCAUAGUGGCUAGUAAAACAAGCUUCAUUUUCCGUGUCUUCUUCCUGUAAGAUAUAUAAACAUGCAUCAAUUAUUUAUUUUAUUUUCACUCCAUUUUUAAAAAAUAAAUAUCACAUGCCCCUUUUCUUUCCUCUAGGUAAAAUAAAGGCAAUAUAGGGAAAGAGAAAGGAUGGGGUCUGGAGAAAUGGCUGCAAACCACAUUGUUCUCAUACCCUGGCAUUCCCCUGAUCUCAUUUGAUAGUAAUUGAUUUGCCUUUUAUUGUCCUUUUUAUUUUCUUUUUCACAUACCUCAUAUACUGGACUGCUAGGCUCCAUGGGUGAAUGAUAACUAUCUUGUGGAUUGUCCUGGAUUAGAUAUUAAGCAACUACAGUAAAGCAGAAAAGGUCCAAAAGGGUUUCACUCAAAGAAAUUUUCUGCAGGAGUUGUCAAAAAACCAAAACCCUAGUCUGAGAUGUUUUUCCUUUUGGAGAAGUUGGCUUAAAGCUUAGGAAAAGCAAAAGAGACCUCCAAAAAGUACUACCACCUGUGAUGUGAGGAGGAGGAGCAGCACCAGUUCAUUGCUAGAAGGAAUGUUGGUAGAAUCCAUUUAAAUUGCCUGGGGACCCAUUCAAAAGUGAGAAAUCAAAUCAUAGGGCUGAGAAUGCGGUCACUUCAUAUUGCCUGUGUAGGCCGCAGAAGGCCAAUUUUGAGUCAUACAUAUGCCACCAAUGGAUGCAAGUUGCCUUAAGCGGCCCCUCUUCUUCGUUCCUUUCUGUGUUUAUUUUGUUUUAUUUUAUUUUCUUUGCUCUCACCAAAAAUGCUAAGGUAUGAAGGGGGCAUCAAGGUGAACUUCCAACAUGACAUGUGUACUCAAAUAUGAGUCAUCAAAUAAUGAUAUAUAAAGAAAUGGGAUCAAGCCAAAUCACAAUACAAACAAAUAAGACAAGCAUAUAAAUAAAGACCAUUUUUGCCUUGUAUUAAUUUAUGAUUUGCUAUGGCUUUUCUGUGUGGUGCACUCACGGGGAAGGGUCUUUUUAUAACACCGAAGAAGAAAGUAACAUCUGAUCACAAAUGCCUUCUUUCCCGCUUCUGACAGCUUCUUUACUGUAGAUCGAAGACUGGUAAUAGCGACUCGAGAGAGCAUCCUCUCGAUGAAAGCUUUCUGACAACUUCUUCUUUACUGUAGAUUGAAGAAUGGUAAUAGUGACUGAGCAUCCAAUCUUGUUUUCCUCAUGAUUGUAAGUUGUCAGACAUUGAUCCUGAGCUCAUGAUAUAUUUUCUCUUAUCAUUCUCAGCAUUCAUAGUCAAAUAGUGUGAUAUAGCCCCCCGGUUACUAAAUUCAUGAAUUCAUAAUAAUAUGCGAUAAUGAUUGAACAAUGCGUGAUUAAUGACUCAUGAUCAGUACAUCACAUGGCGACAAAGUAAAAACGACAGUCCAAAAAAAAAUGAUAAGCCAGGUGAAGAUGAAUCCAAGUGUUCACUUAAUGGCUAAAGUCAUUGAUGCGGCAUUUACUAGUUGGAAUAUAAUGCAUGAAAUGGAAUGAAAGUAUAAUGAUUGCUCGAGUUUAUGCCAGAUCCACUGAUUAUCACUUAUUUUUCUAUGGCGCUAUGCUUAACACCUAAAUGCUCCGAUGCCAAUCAGGUACAUGGCGCUAUAUUUAGGCCUACAUAGCAUCGUUUCAUGCCUAAAUGUUCCGAUACCAAUCAGGUACAACUUUCCAACUGCUGCUAUACCUAUGUACUUUUAUAUAUAUAUAUAAGUAUAAACAAACAAAAAAAAACAACUAUACACAAGAUAAUAAGUCCAAUGUAAAGAAAAAAGAUUGAAAAAGAAAACGACAAGGGUUCAAAUAAAUAAAAUCUAAAGUAAAAGUAAAAUACAAUAUUUUUGCUGUGUGAUUAUUUUUCAUUAACUAACACUUUUUUAUGUGAUUAUUUCUAAUUAAACAUCACUUUUCAAUGACAUUGAAAUGACUAUAUAAAGACCCAAAAUAUUUUCACACUUAUGCUGAUUUAGAUAAAAGGACAAGAGUUUGGAACUGUUACGAGUAUUAGGUUGUGUUUGUUCCCGAAAAAAUAUUAAGAAAAUAAAAAAAAAAUGAUUUUUUUAUAUUUGAUUAUUUUAUAAAAAUAAAUAAAAUUAAUUAAAAUUUAUAUAUAUUUAAUUUAUUUAAUCUUUAUAUAGAUGAAUUAAAAUAAAUUUAUUAACUUUUAACUUAUUUUUUAUCUUAUUUUAUUUUUUUUUUUCGAUUUUUUAGUAAUCAAACAUAACAUAGCAUUAAGGACCACUAGUUGAGUGGAAGGCGCAAAAAGUAUAAAAAGUUGGACAAAGUUCCUUUAUUAUCAUUUUCAUUUAAUUUUUUUUUCCCUUCGGGGGGGAGGGGGAGAGGGGGGCGCUUCUGAAAAUCUUUCCUGGAAGGAAAUGGGCAAUUCCUUUCAAAUUGGAAAAAACUUCGAAUAUUAACAUGAAUUAAUAAUAUUACUGUUGUGGUGACAAUAAAUAAGUUCGUUAGACAAGGUAGUCAAGUUUGUCUCCCUCAUGUCAUUUCCUCACAAUAAUCAUUCACUAAUUUACAUCUUAGUUAAUAAAAAAAUUGAUUCUUAUUGAAAUCUUAACAAACCCAAAAUAAAUCACAAACAUACUCACGCAGGUGGAGGGAGGGGCUUAGCAAAGGUCCGGGUUCCGGGGCAGUGAGUGCCGGCGCCUUCAUUCAUUCCCUUCUUCACUUACCCACCUCAAUCUGAAGUUUGCUCAUCCCAACAUCUAAUUUCUCCAUGUUAGAUUUGCUCUUGGUCUCAUUCGCGGCCAAAUUGGUGAGAUUGAGCCAUGGGUGUUGCAGGCACUGCUGAGCAGUUGGCCGCUUCUCUGGUGCAAAAUCGAGAAGGGGAACCAGAAAGUCUGCAAACUCACGUGCAUCAGAUUCAGAAAAUUUGUAUCUAUCAACCAGUAUUCGGUCAAGUGGCCAGAAUUUCAGCCUUCGGAUUCUUUUCAGAUCCCCAUGUCUGUCAAAGAGGUCUUUUGAUCGAGCUCCCCCAAUGGCUACCUGCUUAUCAAGCAUAGAUAUAUGGAUAUUGCAUAUAAUUGUCAGAGAGCUAAUGAAAGGCGGGUAAGUGCUAAAAAUGAGUAUUUCGGAAAGCAAACCGAAAUAGAGGCAUAAUGUGCUCACCUUCCGAGGUAUUUUUCCAAGGAGUUCCAUCAUCAGAGCAAGGUGAUCCUGAAACCAAACCGAUCAACAACAAUUUUUUUAAUAUGUUGGCCUAUACAAAUAGUUCCAUGAAAUAUGGCUUGAAGUCAAGCAUUUUUCAUAACCAACAAUUGAUAACAAUUUUAUUAGUCAUAUUUAAGAAUCAACCAGAGUUAAUAAUAAUAAAAUGGGAAUCACAUAGAGUCUAGUUAGGAUCAUUCCCUAGGUAGUUAACAGAAAACCCAAACUUCAGAAUCAAUCCACUACAGUACAUCAAUACAUCAAAAACCCGUUUUAACAAAUUCAACAGAACCUCUGAAACAAACCUGUGUGUCAACUUUUUUCCAACUGAGAAGGGAUAAAGGUGGAGUAUAGCCUAACAAAUAUAUCACAAGGAUUAUUUAUCCUGUUCUUGGAUUAUGGGAAAAGUGCCCAUAUAACAUAUUAACUUUGAUAUCAAUCAAAGAACUUGUUUGGUAGUGACAAUGAUUCUAUGAAACGUUUAUAACCUUUCUAGCACUUGAAAAUAACUUUUUUAAUAAAAAAUUUCAAGUAUUAAAAAGUUAGAAGUACUUCUUAGAGUCACCACCAAAAAGGCUCUAACACAACUGCAUCAAUAUAGCAUUAUCUUUUUCAGUAUGCAUGAUAAUAUUUUCCUUUAUGCCCAAAAAAGGAAAAUUUUCCAUCUUCCAACCCAUUCUGGAUAGAUAUUGAUAUUUGAUGCAGUCAGUAAGUGCUCCUACAAUGUUUCCAAACUUCAAUACCAUAGCGUCAGUUUUAAUAGCACAUCAACAUCAUGCUAGGCAUGCAAUGAAUUAAAUCAAAAUGAAGCAUAGGUAAACCAUCCUACCUCAUCCUCGCUAUAACCUUGUCCAUUUUUGGGAGCAAACAGCAUGUCACCAGUAGCAAGCUCAAAGGCAGUGCAAGCAAACGACCACAUAUCAACAGAGGUGGAGUACCCAGCCUGGAGCACAACUUCAGGAGCUCGAUACUGCCUUGUUUGAAUUUCUCCUGUGAAUUGUCUGUCUGCCCAACAUGCAUUUCCAAAAUCCACAAUCUUGCAUCUCACAUCAAUCCCGUCCAGAGAUCUCUCGGCCUUUGGAGUCUCUCCCCCCAUUGAAGCUCUUUUUCCUGAUAUUUUAGCCACUGCUCUCCUUGCCCUUGCUUUCAGCUUUUUCUCAAUACUAUUUAUAGUAACUCCACCAGUGGGGUUUCCUUCAGGCCUUUCAAGAAUUGGGGUUAGGCCAGACCUGAUUGGGUCUUUGGCAGGAUCAAUGGUGGAAAAGAGAAGGAUAUUUUCAGGUUUUAGGUCUGUGUGGAUUAUACCAAGUUCUCUAUGCAUGUAAUCCAGACCUGUCAAAAUGCAUUUGCAGAUCUCCCGAACUUUAUUAAAUUCAAGCCCUUUAUAACGGUUAUACUUGAUCAGCCGAAGUAUACUAUCACCAAGAAAUUCAAGUACCAUGCAGACAUGCUGUCCAUUUGGCCCUGUGUGCUUAAAAUGGUCAAUCAGUCGCACAACACACUUGGAAUUUGAGGGGUCACCAUUAGCAAUAGCUGAAAGGACUUCAAUCUCAUGAAGAGCAGCUUGAGCAAAUUGUACUGCACUUUUCUGGAUCUUUAGAGCAACGUAUUUCUGUCCGUUAAAAAAGGUAAGCAUUAGGUACUGAAGAAAAUAAAUUUAAGAUCAAUUGGGAAAGCCAAUGCAAGAGAUGGAGACAGCAUAUAUAAAAAGAAAUGACCCUUCCAAGAUACUAUUUUAAUGAGAUAUGCAAAUUAAUGAAAACCAACAAAAUACUAUGGUAAACCAGAAGUUUGAAGCAUGAGGGUCCAUUUAUUCUUGAAGUUGACAUCUCCAAAUAGUUCAUUAAGAAAUGAUGACCCUAGCAAAUAAAUUUUGCAUCACUGUGCAAUAACUUUUCUUUCUUUUCUUCUUUUGUUUUAAUCCCACAGGACAAUAGGCGUUUGGCUCUAAGAUAUAUAAUGACUUACUCAGACCAACCAACAUCUCAAUAUUAUCUGACUGUUCCUUGUUGUCUGCAGUUACUCUUGUUUAUUUUGUGUGUUCUAAUGCCCAAUUAAUAAUUAUAACAGGCAAUGUCUACCUACUACAAGACUGCCUAAUCCUUCUUAUGGAACAGAAAAUAUUUUGUCAAAAAACACAAUUAUGUCAUAAAUAAUUGUGAACUGUGCAUCCAAAUAGAAAAUGAUUGCAAGGGAUUUCAAUCUUUAGAAUGCAUAUGGUAGUUCCAUGGAAUUGAAUGGCUCUAUGAGAUUCAAAUAGCAUUUGGCUGAAAAUUUUUAUCAAAAGUGGAGCCAUUGAAGGAAGCUACAUCCCACAUGGUAAUGAAAAUUUGAAAAAUUGCAUUUCACGAAAACCAAAAUGGUUUUCAUCCCAUUGUUUGUGGCAAUAGCUCAUUUUUCUAAUGAUUGCAUUCACAAGCAUGGAUUUUAAUCUUCAGAUGCUAAGUGAAGCUCAUCCCCACAGCAUGAUGAAUAUCAUUUAAGGGAUGUGAUUUUUUGCGAUCUCACCAUAUUCUAUUGAAUGGAAAAAAUAUGUGAUACAAAAAUGAGAGCUAAAUAGUGGUUUGGUUAGAUCGAAGAAGCAUUAUAUGCUCUCUUGAUAGGAAACAUAAACCACAUUCUCUAUGUCAUUAAAUUACUAGUUACCUCCUCAUUAGUAGCCUCAAGCCACACGUGAAGAGACAAAUAAUCAGCUACAAACAACAAAAAGGGGAAUAUGAAGAGACUCAAGGUAAAGACUUUUUUGGAUGAAAGCUCUGAAACCAUGUUAAACUACCAAUUAUCUCAAAAGAAGACACAUCUUUUACUCCUUUAUCUAGGGAAUAUAAUUUAAUUAUGUACUCAGUCAACUCUAUGCACAAUCAGAACUUUUUCUUUUUAAAAUUUGGAUGCUUGUGGUUGUAAUGAACAAAAAUCAUGCAGAAAGAAGGGAUGGACAGUAGGGAAAGUUUGGAUACCAUCUAUAUGUAGCAAAACUACUGGUGAUUUGAGAGUCGAAUUUAAACCUGAAUCCUAUUUUCAUUUAAAAUUUCACAGGAUUUAUGAGUAGCGUGCUAAAUUUUACAAAUUCAUGGCAGAAUUUUUGUCCAAGAUUUGUUCUAGUUGAAUCCAAUGUUCCCAUUGAAGUCCAAAUUAGGUAAAUAUGGCUGAAUUUUAGAAUCAUUCUACAGGGGGAUAGAUCUUGAUAAAAGAGCUAAAUAACAUAUGAAAACAUAUGGUCAUUUAAACACUGAUCCAAUAAAAAAUAGACUCAAUCCAACCAAUUUUUUUCUCUUAAAAUAAAUCAAAACAAUCAAAUCUAGAAAUGAUAAAGUAAUCGUCCCUUGCAAAUAAGGAUAUAUACAUAAUAAAUGAAGAAUUGAUUGGUUUACGAAUUGAAAAAUCACAUUAAAAUAUGAUAAAGAAGGCGCUUAUUGUAGAAAGAACGAAGAUCUUUUGCUGAUGAUUGUCUCAAUUUCUGGAAUAACAACAUACAUAAAUGAAAACAAAAACUCCACGCAAAAAAAAAAUGAUAAAUCAAUAUCAAAGAGAGAAAAAACGUACAAAAGAUCGCGCGAUAAAAUGCAGAAAUGAACACAAAAAUCAACAACGCUCGUAAUUUUCAAACUCCAACAUAAAUUUCACGCAACAAAAAACUAGAUAAAUAAAACAGAAUGAUCGCGUAAAAAAAAUACAGAAAUGAACACAAAAAAACAACUCCUCUCAUAGCAUGCUCCAAUAUAAAUUUCACACAAUAAAUAAAUAAAUCAGAAUCAAAGAGAGAAUAACCAACAGAGGAUCGCGCAACAAAAAACGUGAACGAAGACCAAAAAGCAACGCCGCUUUCGAGGGAAAAAAAAAAGAAGAAGAUAGAUAAAUCAGAAUGAAAGAGAGAAGAAGAACGUACAGAGGAUCGCGUGUCGUAAGCAAGCCAGACGGUGGAGAACUCGCCCCAACCGAGCUUCCUCUGCGCGAUGUACCGACCUCCGGAGAACGGAUCGCCGACUCGGACGGCGUGGUAGCCUCCUUUGCGGUAGGAGUCGGUGCCCUCGUCCUCUUCCUCCGACGCCGACGACGAUGAACACGACAUCGCUUCACCUCCGUCUGAUCUCCGAUUUGAAUCCUGAGCUUACGUUUCGGAUGAUUCUGCGAAUUGAAUAAAAAAAAUUCUUCGAUUUUUCCUCGUAUUUGAUGUGGAAAUUUAGACGGAAGAAUUUUCCUUCAGAGGAGGAGAGACUGUUAUGAUGUGUGGCCUUCAACACAAGGCUGAAGCCCCUCCCACUUUUCUCUCCUUUUUCUUCUUUCCAUGCCUCCCUUUUAAAAGACGACACCCGUGUUUCCGAUUUUGCCCCUCUCUGCUACAUGCGCGUCGGGGUUGGGUUAAGUUUGGUGGAGUGGCGUAAUCAAAGUGGGGAAGCGCCAACUGCCAUAAUCUCGCUUCCUAAAAGAAUUGAAAUGGGCUUCUGGCCCAUUUCGUGGAUGUGGGUUUGGGCUAAGUUCGUCGGCCUAGGCCCAACAUAUUUUCUCUUUUUCUUUUCCCUUUUGGAAACGAAACUGAGCGACGCCCCACAUAAAUCGCUUAAAUUAGGGUAUUAUUUGGGCAUUUAAAGUCUUUUUUUUUUUUUCAUGGAAUGUAUAAAAACUUUCUGAAUAAGUUUUAAAAAAUGACUUUUACGAGAAGCAACAUAUUUUUGUCUUUUAAAAAUAAUAAAAAUAAUAAUAUAAAUUAUAAAAUUAUUCUUAUAUUUUUUAAUAGUCUGCCUAAAAUUUUCCAUUUUUUUAACGGAGAGUGUAUUAAAAGCGGACACGGCUCCGUAUGAACAAACGUCAUGUUGCAUGAUGUGGCACUUCUUCCUUGUCCUUUUGCACACGAACCGGGGGCCUAAGCCCCUGUGACACUGACGUGUGAAACCCACCCAGCCCUUUUGUGUAUAUUUAUUAUCCUCUUCCACGUCACAUCUAUUCUAUCCCUUCACACCUCCACUUCUUUUAUUUUUUUAUUUUAAAAUAAGAAAAAAAAAUGUAAAGUCAAAAUCAAAUUAGAGCUAUAUAUAUAAAUUUAUUUCGCCUUAUUCUCUAUGAAAAGUGCUUUAUAUAUAUAUAUACACUAAAAAACACUUAAAAAUAAAAUUUCUAGAGAGCAUGCAAAAAGUAAGUAGGAAAGGGUGGGAGGGGGAAAGAAGAGAUUGUAUGGGUGGGUGGGCGGGCGAAGACAGAAGGCCACACAAAUUUUUAAUAUAACUCGUAACUCUUUCCUAGCUAUUUCGUGUCCCUAUAGCCCCAUUUCUUCUCCAUACUUGGGCACACAGGGGCGGCUCCAAACCAUGCUUCAAGGGCAAUUCUGAGUUUUUUUUUUUGUUUUUUAGUUGUGGCAAUUGUCACGUGUGUAAUAAUGUAUCCGAAAUCUUUAGACCAUAAGGAGAUCUGAUCUACCAAAAUAUCAGCAAACACUACUGUUAUCCACCGACAGUGGGCAAAAACCAAAACCAAAUUACAAAAAUGAUUCAGAGCAAGAUCCAUGGAUAGAAAAACAAGCCAAAUCUCAUAUUUUGAUCACAAAAUAUUAUAAUUUCCAGCAUUGCAAGUACUGAUUGUGGUAUUACUUAUGAUGGGUGUGAUCAGGCACUGGGCGAGACGAUUUCCAAAAGAGAAGACCAGGUUCCAGAGACUCCAAAAACCAGUCCAAGAACCAGAAUGGCCACAUCCAAGGCCAUGCCUUUCCUGCUCAGCUGAUCCUUGAAGACUAUCAGAUGAAACAAAGAGGGCAACACAAAGGCCAGAACACAGCACACACUGCUGCCCACUAGAGAUAAGAAGUCUGCGAAAUUGGGGACCAUCAGAGCCACCAGGAUCACCCCCAGCACCGCCACCCAUCUCAGCCAGAGGCAGUAGGCGCCAUCACGGAACCGCCUCUCCAUCACUUCGUAGACGGGAUUCAUCAUGAGAGGAAAAGUGAAGAAGAGGUUCACACAGAGACCCAACUGAACCAUGAUGCUCAGCGGACCUUGCCCCAGAUUGGUGGUGAUAAUGUCUUUGGUUUCUUCCCCGAAUGCGAAGUAGCCCAAAGCGCCGAACCCUCCGUACAUCACAGAAAUGAAGGCCAUGGACAGGGCGAGAACUUUUCCGAAUUUGUCUUUGUCUUUAGCCUCUGAUUCUAAUGGCAAGACCAUGCCGAUUCCUUCAAAAGCGUAGACAGCAACGCCCAGACCAUAGAAGAAAACAGAGAAACCCCCAAAAGCCCGCAGGGCAGGCCUUUGCUUCAGAAAAAUCAAUACAUCUUCCACCAUAACCACGCCCAUGGCUCCGAUCUCGACCACAUCCGCGAAAAUACUCAAGGGAGCUAAGUGAGUCAGCGUGGGAAUCGAAUUCAACCCCAGUUGAAACGGAAAGCAACCCCAGAUGUAGAACGAUUUGGGAGUUAAACCCAGAAUCGGAUUCGAGGGCGAGCUGUUGGAAACGUACGCCAGAGUGUUGGCAAUGAAGAUGAGGUAGCUGAUGCAGAACCCAGCCUGGGAGAGAACGAUCAUGGCGUCCACGGCGACCCGUCCUAUGGAGCCGCAGACGGCGAAGCCCAGGUCGCCGAAGGAGGCGAUCUUGGAGAAGCCGUGGAGGGAGUCGAGUUUCCGGCGAGUGUGGACCAGGAGCAUCAUACAGUGGUAGGUAAGGAUAGCAACGGCGAAGAGCAUCAAAGACCCCAAUACCCAUCCCGUUCUCUUGAAGGUGUAAGGUAGGCCGAGGACGCCGGCCCCAACUAUGGCUAUGAAGACGUUGGCAAAGGUCUUGGUUUGGGAGGAGAGGGGUCUGGACUUGGACAGCAGUGGGGUGUCUUCUCUAGGCACAGAAUCAAGGCCAUAGGAGGAGGAGCUGGCUUCUUUCUCAAACCCCAUCUUCUGGGUUACUGCUUUCGAUCUCUUCCACAACUCUAUUUCAAAACAAUUCUGAAAUUCAGAAGAAAGAUGCGGAUACACGGAGGAGGACACCACUGGGGAAAGAAUAGAAUGAUGAUUUUUGAUUUUUCCAUUGAACAAGGCAAGUUGUAUAUAAGAUGAUAGUCGGUCCAAAACAGGCAAAGCGACGGCGCAGACAAGUCGCAAUUAAUGUUUAAAUACAGCUUGAAUUUAUUGCUAGUUCUAUCUUUCAAUGAUUUCAACCGUCUUCGAGUCGGGGGUUUACUUUAGUCCAUGGUGGAGGAGGAUUCAUUAUUAUCAGGAAAAAUGAAAAAUCAGACAACGUUGCCUUUAAAUAUUAAUUUUAUAAAUAGUGCAUAUUUACAUCAUUCCCUUAAAUAUUAAUUUUUUUUAUUAAAGCUUUUCAGUAGAAUUUUAUUUUGGAAAAAGAUUAAUAGCUGUUAUUAUAAUUAAUUUUAAUUUUUAAUAGUUGAGUUUGGAAAUGUAGGCAAGGGGCCUCAAAACCUUAUGAUUCAUAAUUAGAAAAAAAAAUUCUUAAUAUAAAUGGUUUCAAAUUAAUAAUUAGUUGGGCUGCUUUGCGGAUAAGUAUGUCAUGUUAAAUAAUAAUAAUAAAUCGAAUACAAAUAAUCUAUUUACAUAUAUAUUCACUAUUUAACACUAUCAUAACUUAUUUAAGUCCAUCAAAAUUAUAAAUUUAUAGACAUUGAAGAUUGUAAAUUGUUGAUCCUUUGACAGUGAUUUUAAAAAACGUUUUUAAUAUUUUUAAUACUUCAAAAUUUUUAUCAUUCAAACAUUAAAAAUAUUAAAAACGUUUUUUAAAAUGAAGUAUUUUAUGUUUGGAUCGGGUGUUUUAACCCCAAUAAAUUUAAUUAACAAAUUAGGUGGAUUGAUAUAAACAUGCUACAAGCAAGGUUGAUCUCAAAAGUUAGGAGGCCAAAGGAAGUUAGUGGGCCUAAGGCGAUGUUGAUUGGUGAUGACAUAUACGAACCAAACAAAAGGAAGAGUGGUGUAAAACAUGAAGAAGGAUACAUGAUAAGAUGAGAAUAUAAUAAUGACACGCGGACAAAUUGGAAGUAUAAUUUAUAUUGUCUUUAAAAAUUAUUAAAAUUUGAGAUGGUGAAAAAGUUUAAAUACCUUGAUUAUUUAAAUAAUUUUAAAAAUAAUUAGCUUUUAAUGUAAAUUUUAAAGAGUUCUUACAAAAUUAGAUUUGAUAUAUAAGAAGGUUAUUAUUUUAUGUUUUAAAAUGUGAAAAACAAAUGUAUCCAAACGAUAUACUCAAAUGAUAAUUUACCUAAAUUGAUAAUUUUUUAAAAUUUGUUUUCAAAAUUAAAGAAUAAAAAACAUUUUUAUAGUGUUUUCUAAAAAUAAGAAUGUUUGGCAAAUUGUUUUUAAAAAAUUUUAAAAACUUGUUUGGAUUAAUUGAUUUAAAAAAAAAAAUUUGUGUCGGUUUUGUAAAAAUAUUACAAAUUUAGUUUAUAUAAUAUAAAUUAAAUUUAAUACAUGUCUUUUUAGAAAUUAAAAUAUAUUUUUUAAUUACAAACAAACUAAAAAAAUAUUUUUUAAUAAAACAUGAAUAAUAAUAUUAUAAUAAAAUCAUGAAUUAUUUUUUUAUAAAAAAAUACUAUUUAAGUAUAUGUUAGAACAUAAGGAUGUUAAUAUCUUUGAAUUUUUUUAUUAAAUGAAUAAUAACAAUUUUUAAUAAUAUUUGAUUUAAAAUGAACAAGGAAUAAAGUUAAACCUUUUUAAAGGUAAAUGAGUCAAAUUUUUUUAUUACAUAUACAUAAUAUUCUAAAAUGUUUUUAUUUAAUCUACAAUUAAUUAGUUCACUUUUUUAAUUCAAAAUUAUUCUUAAAAUUUUUAAAAAUAAUUUAAAUUAUUAAUUAUGUCUUACCUAAUUUAUAAUUUAUUAAUCUAAAUUCCAAAUAUAUAUAUAUAUAUAUAUAUAUAUAGAAAAAACAGUAAAAUCAUAGUUCAUAAUAUAUCAAUUUUGAUUUAUUAUAUUUUUUUAAUGAUUAAAUCCAUUUUCUGAGUUUCCUAUUAUUUUAAAAAUUUAUUAAACUCAUUAAUAAAUUGAAUACAAUGAAUCACUUGAUUUAAAGUCUACUUGAAUAAUGAAAAAAUUUAUAAAAAUAUAAUUAUAUGGAGAGAAAAAUAAUAGAAUGAACUAAUUUUUAUUUAUAAAUUAAUAGUAUUAAUGAUUUUAUUAUUUAAUUUUAAAAAAUUACUAAACUUGUUAAUGAAUCGACACAUUAAAUUUUGUAUAAUUUGAAGCUUAUUUGUCUAGUUAAUAAUAAUAAUAAUAAUAAUUUUAUAUAGAAGAAAAACAUUAAAAUCAUUUUUAACUAUUUUUUAUCCAUAAAAUUUUUAUAUUUAAAACAAAUUUUAAUCUAGAACUUACUAAUAUCAUUGAAUGUCAUGACCUUUUAGUAUUAAUUAAAUCGAUUUUUAAAUCAAAAUAUUUUUUUAAUUAAUAAAUUUUAUUUAUUAAGUAUAAUUUGAUUUGAAAUUUAUUUGAUUAAUAAAAAAAUUAAAGUUAAAAAGAAAUUUAAAAAAAAGUGCAUGUAAUUUAAAUAAAUAUCAAUAUUAUUUUAUUUUUAAAAAAUUUAUUAUAUUUUCCUUUUAUUUUUAAAAAUUAGUGAAAAAAACUUAUACUUAUUUUCUAAAAUGGUUCUUUAUUUCACUUUAUUUUAAAAAUAAUAUUAGAAAUUUUUAAAAACAAAAAAGCUAUUUUUAAAUCACGGAAAGGAGGCUUCUAACCACCAGUACCGUUGGCUCAUGCCAGAGUAAAUGCUUAAUGCCGCAUGUGCGAUUCCCUCUCAUGCCAACUGGUUAUAGGGAUUUUAUAUAAGGGCUGAUGGAGAUUAAGAGAUUUUCGAGAGAGAAAGCAAAUGGGCAAAAGUCCAACACAUUUGACAGACAUGGAUGUUUUGUACAGUUUGACCCAUUAACAAAAACUGAAUCAAACCCAAGAGCAGAAGAUGAUUAAAGAAAGACCGAAAAUUCUUCCUUGACUCGACCCAACUCCAUUAUACAAUUUCAGAAACAUCACAGCAAGGGUGGCUGAUCCGCUGUCUUCCCAGUUUGGCUGACUAGGCUUAGGCUAAUGCUGACACAGUAAUAAGCUAAAAGAAUUCAAGUUAAGCUGUUGCAGGAACUGCUACUAGCAGAAAGAGAACCAGUACCAAAAUUGAUAGUUCUAAAAACUCUCACUCACCAUUGCUUUUGUAUGUUUUCAUAACUUCCAAUACAAAUGCAAAUGGAAACACAAUGCAACAAUUCACCUCCGCAAGACAAUCAAAUGUUCCCUGGAGUAAAUGAUGGACAAAGUGACAAAGUUCAAAACCAUCCCAGAGGUUAUCCAAAGAAAUCACCUCCUUUUGGAAAGGUUUUAGUUGUUUUUCUUCUUUUUUCCCCCUAAUCAAAUUAAAGUAAUGUAUUACACCUCCAAACGAAAAACAAAAGGGCACCCCUACCUUUUUCAUAUCCACCAUAUAAAAUGGAGCUUACAGUUGAUCCUUGGCUUAAUAGUAAAAACCUUCCACACAGCUCUGGCUGAAGUCAACUUCACCAACUCCAACAUGACUUUCCGACCUAUUUCAUUGCUAAAUAAGGUUACUAAGAUUAAGGGCCCAUAUGCUGUGGCUAUAGCUUUAAGGUAAGUGCUUCUUUAAGAAUGGCUAUGUAAAGAGAAGAGGUUGCUGUUAGAAAACCUUGUUUGCCAUAGAGUGUUCUUGUUUGUAAUUACAUAUGUUCCAUCACACAUAUCCAGGGAAGAAGUGCUUUCAGAUUGACCAAAAGCUGUAGACAGAUCCCUAACAAAUACUCUCCUCUUGGUAAGCAAUCAAUACUUGGGUAUCAAUUAAGGAGGUGGAUUUGCAGCUUCAAAGCUCAAAUGCAAUGGGAAAAACUAUAGAACAAAUCAUUUCUAGAGGACAUUGAAACACAAGCUUUUUCUUCAAUAGGCAAAUAAGAAUAUAUUAUAAGUACCAAUUAAAACAGUGAAACACACACUUACGUUCUUUAGUAUCCACCCAAUCCACAUGGAAAUAGUUACAGUAAGUAGAAUGGUUUUCAAUGAUAUUUCUUAAUAUGAUGUUGAUCCCUGAUCUAUGUCAUCCACUGAUUGGAGAUGGUUUUGAGAAUAAUUAUAAUGAUUGAUCAGCUGAUGAUUACAGGAUGGAGAAUGGGUAAUUUAUGUUGCCCCUGCAGCAACAUGAGGAGCUGAUGGAAUACAUUCUUAAUCAGUGUAAAUUGGCAUUGAGCUUGUGCCAUAUGAUCAUCUCUUGUUCAAGGGUUUCUUAGGGGGUCCUUCCCUUAGUCAGUUAAAGAUGUGUUACUUAGUUGACAUGACAGUUUUAUUGCCAGAAUCACAAGGAAGUGUGGAGAAUCACCCCAGAGCAAAAGAGUUGUUGAAAGCAUGGAGAGGUCACAAUGGGCUGUCAGAUGGUUUUCUUAAGGCUAUAUUUUGUGGUGUACUAGUGUUAAAAGAAUUGACAAUCUUUCCCUUCUGAAACUUGUAGGUAUUCUGGGAUGUCAUAGUUAUGAGUGUGUCAUCUUUAAGUUUUUUUUUCUUUUUUCUCUUCACCUUUGUACACUUUGUGUAUUUUUUGUGUACCAGGAUUGCACUUCCUUUUUUGUUGGGCACCAUUUUAAUGGAAUUCAAAAAAGAUUACAAGCUGAAAGUGUUGACUCAAAUAUUCCCCUCAUUGCAAUCAUACCAAGCUUAAAGAAUAGAAUGGUUCACUACAUUCCAGAAAAACAAAUUACCAUGUUAAGAUGAAAUAAACUUUGCAAAUUUCAUAGUUUUUGGCCAAUUAUCAACAUCAUCACAUGCUUUUCUCCUCUUUGGUGAGGAGCAAGGAGAAGUAUGAAUUAAUAAUAAGUGCCUAACAAAAAGAAACGGCAGAAUCCAAGCACAAGAGAAAUGUAUAGGGAACACCAGUGAGCAAAAAUUAAGAAGUGCAGAAAAAGAGAAAACAACAUACUGCAACCCCUCACUCUUAACUAAUCCCAUCAACAAAAUCCAGGAGCAUAACAUUGACAUUUUUGGAUACAGCCUAAACCAACCAGUUUUAGAGACUGGUGAAAGCACUGCUCCUCUUCAAAUUCCAUUGCAUGCCCCCCAUAUACAUCAAAACAAGAAGAGAGGCCCUGACUCCCAAACCUUCAUAUGUCACCUACGUACUCCUCUAACAUGUCCCAUUUCUUGUAAUAUUUGCAAACGAAAAAAAAAUAUAUAUAUAUCAAAUUCAAGUGCAAAUCAUGAUUGAACUCUUCAGCACAAUCCAAUUUAAAACACAACAAAUAGGGCAAACGUCUAAAAAUCUAAAAGAUAAAGAAAAAAUGUAUGCCAAAAUUAUUCUUGCCUCUUCAACCCAACAGGAGGAUCCGAUAAAACCCUAGAAUUUUGGAAAUCAAUCUAAUUCCUUGACGACCUGAAUCCCCAUGGUAUUUGCGGUUCCAAUAAUGGAUUUGCAAAUGGAUUCCAAUGACAUGUACUGGCAAUAAGGAUCGGAUUGCUUUACCUUCGCAAUCUCGUAGAUGUGCUUUAAGGUCACGCUGGAGGCGACGACGUGACCGGGGCGGCCGCUGCCUAACUCGAUUCCGGCGGCCUUCUUGAGGUACCAGGUGACCGACGGAGACUUCACGGUAAACUCGAAGGUGUUAUCCUUGUAGGCGGUGAUGGUCACGGCCAUGGGCGUAUCCGGCUUGUACUUUUGCGUUCGAGCGUUGAAGUCCUUGCAGAACGCCAUCAGAUUCAACCGGUACUGACCCAGAGCCGGUCCUACCGGUGGUGCCGGCCGGGCUGCU
rnacentral:lncRNA from 1 species